rnacentral:lncRNA from 1 species
AUAUUUGAACCAAAUAUUCCACGCCUUAUGUCUAUAUUGGCGUAGGAUUGAUAUACGAAUUUGGUAAAAGUCCACUUCUUUUUGUAGACCUAUCACUCCACCAAUACGAUGUCUAUACAUACCUUGGGCUUGGAAGUGGACACUGAGAAUAGAAAGGAUGACAAGGGUGACAAACAUAUGUGAGUAUGUCGCCAUGGGUAUCUAAUAAGAGAGAUCACUUCGGGGUUUGUUUUGUGCUCUGAAUGGGUAGAAACAUUGGACGGGUGAGGAAAAUAUAUAGGCGGGUGUAGAUGCAUAUCAAGGCAUGCAUUUAUGAUAUUAUUAAUUUAAUUAAUUUGUUGGCAUUAAAUCCCUUCUUGAGAUAUUGCGUUCCUUCCUACUCGGUGCAGGAUAUUGCAUUUUGGAGCAAGUAUUCAUUGCCCACAUUUAUAUUCUCUGAUCUUUCUCUGAUACUAAGAUAAACGUAACCAGAAAAAUUUGGGAGCUAUACAUUUAAUCUCGACAAUGCAGUGGUUGGAUGGUUAGGUCGACAGUGGUAUCUAGGGUUGAAGUCCUGGUGCUCGCAUUCAUUCCUGGAUUUAUUUCAGGAUUUUCGGCGAUGCGUGUUUAGUGGGAGGAGACGUUCCCGUCGACUACAAGGCCCCUUUGUGACUUCGUCAAUCUCAGAAUGAUAUACCGGUUUAGUCUCUCGGAGGUGCUCAUAGAUAUAGGGUGCGCGUGUCUAUUCAUAGGGAUGAGUGUAUACGUGUAUAUAUGAGCAUUUGUGUUUGUAUUGUGUUAAAAACAAUGCACUCUAAGAGGCUCUACCAUUUUGUUUUAUUUUUAUGGUAGACUGUAGCAUUUAGACUGGUAGGCAAGUUACCUGUCAUAUAUUUUAUGCACUAAGGCCUUGAGAUCUAUGGGCUGACUAUUUAAUUAUUAAUGCAAAUCAUAAGAAAAGGUAUGGAGCAUGCUGGGAACCCUCAGGGGCAUGAUAUGGUUAGAAUGACUAGUGGACCCGUUGUGUCAAAUGGCGCAGAUGCGCGCUAGUACGUGAUGAAAAAUAUAUUCAUGAUUUAAUCCCCUUUAAUAGGAAACACGGCGGAUUGUUAUCUAUAAUGAUAUGUAUAAUUUGUACUUGCUACCAUGUUUGUAGAGGCCCAUUUGAAAUCAUGUUCACAUUGAUCUCUACUCGUAAAGGAGGAGUUUGUGGUUGUGAUGGUAGAUAUGUCUUCGUUUGUCAUCUCCACGUCGCUUCCCACGCCCCCCCNNNNNNNNNNNNNNNNNNNNNNNNNNNNNNNNNNNNNNNNNNNNNNNNNNNNNNNNNNNNNNNNNNNNNNNNNNNNNNNNNNNNNNNNNNAUUUUUUCUUCUCAGAAACGAAAAGUCCUUCUCCUUUAACCCUAUCUCAGCAGAGACAAUGAUCCCCACCGCGGGAGCUAUUUCUCGCAUUCAGCGAGCCUAAACACUUCUCUGGCUGAAUCAUUCCGACUAAUCGAGCUGGCCUACUAGCGCACAGUAAAUAAAAAAAACUAUGAAUUGAAGCAUUCCAACUAAUCGGGUCGGACCACUAGCGCACAGUACACAUAAAAACUUUGAAGAAAAUGGAUUCGAACCGUGCUUGCUUCGAUCAAGAGUAGAGGCCACUCUGAACUUAGUGUUCACAUACGAGGUGCACUCUACUUGAGGUAAAACACCGGAGUUUGUUUUUAUUUCUCUAGUUUUCCUCUCUUUUUUUGUUUCUUUGUUUGGUUUUCUUAUUUUUCUCCGGUUUUCUUUCAUUAGCCAUUAUAAUUCGGUCCUUUUUUUUGUUUUUUCCAUUGAUUUUCUGUUUUCAAUGCUUUUCUCCGUUUUCUUUUCUUUUUCCCUUUUUUUCUCUGGUUUUUGUUUUGUUUUCAUUUUUUAUUCUUUCUACAUUUGUUUAUUCAGUUCUUUUUAAUUUGUGGGGGUUUAGUUUGUUUGUUUUUUGUUUUUGGUUUUUGGUUUUCUUUCGUUUCUUUUGUUUUUUNNNNNNNNNNNNNNNNNNNNNNNNNNNNNNNNNNNNNNNNNNNNNNNNNNNNNNNNCCUUUUUUUCUCUGGUUUUUGUUUUGUUUUCAUUUUUUAUUCUUUCUACAUUUGUUUAUUCAGUUUUUUUUAAUUUGUGGGGGUUUAGUUUGUUUGUUUUUUGUUUUUGGUUUUUGGUUUUCUUUCGUUUCUUUUGUUUUUUAGUCUACAUUUUUUGUAUGUCAAAAACAUUUUUUAAUAAGUGAUCAACAUUUUUGUUAUACACGUUCAACAUUGCCUGAACGUUUAUUCAACAUUUUUCAAAUACUAGUUCAACAUUUUAAUACUUAUUCAACAUUUUUUAAUACUCGUUCAACAUUUUUUAAUACUUAUCCAAUAUUUUUUAAUACUUAUUCAACAUUUUUCAAAUACUGGUUUAACAUUUUUCAAAUACUCGUUCAAAACAAUUUAUACUUGUUCAACAUUUUUCAAUACUUUUUCAAUAUUCUCAAAUACUUGUUCAUCAUUUUUCAAAUUCUUGUUUAACAUUUUCUUAUAUUUAUUCAACAUUUUCAAAUGCAGGUUUAACAUUUUUCAUAUACUCAUUCAAAAAUAUUAAUACUUGUUCAACAUUUUCUAAUACUCGUUCAACAUUUUUCAAAUUCUUGUUCAACAUUUUCUAAUACUUAUUCAACAUUUUUCAAAUACUUGUUCCACAUUUUAUAAAAAAAAUUAACCUUUUUCAAAUACUUGUUCAACAUUUCUUAAGUACAUGAUCAGCCUUUUUCAUACACAUUUGUAUUUUACUGUAUAACUUUUGUGCAUAGAUUAAAACGAUUUUCAUGUAUGCAUCAAAAUUUAUUAUCAAAUGCUUAGUUAACAUUUUUUAAAUGUUUUUUACUUUAAUUGACAGUUAGUUCAUCAUUUCUCAGUCUGUUGAUACAUCACGUCCUAGGUCGAUGGUGCGAUGGCUAGCAUCAGGCGCUCCUCGCGAAGCGAGCAGGGUUCGAAUCUAGUUCCUGUUUUCUCUUAGGCCAACUCCAGCGCGCGACCCCAUCUUGUUCGGGUGCGUCUGUUCGGGGUAGAACGGAUGAAUAGCGCGGCCCCAAAUGGUCAAAUGUCUGGAUUUCGUUUGUUUUCGACCCAUUCCCGACCCAAACUUGCGCCGAGUUUGGGGUGAAACGGACAUCACGCGGACGGGCUCGACGCACGCCCUUGACCCCCGUAGCCCGCCUGUCAGGGACACUAGCAGUCUCUUCGCUUCCAACGCCUCCACCAGCUCCCCCCCACCCUGCCACCGGCGCCGCCACUAUUCUUCAGCCGCCUCCUCACUGCUCACCCCCCACCGUCCAUACCAAACCACGUCUCGACAUGACCGCCAUCAAACCAGUACAACAAGGGAUACUACCUAGCUGAUGGUAUAUAUCCUCAGUGGUCAACUUUUGUGAAGACAAUCUCAAACCCCCAAGGUGAGAAGAGAAAGAGAUUUGCCUAAAUGCAAGAGAGUGUUAGAAAGGAUGUGGAACGUGAUUUUGGUGUGCUUCAAUCCCGAUGGGGUAUCGUUCGAAACCCUGCACUGACAUGGGAUGAAGGGAAGCUUUGGGAGGUGAUGACUGCUUGUGUGAUCAUGCACACCAUGAUCGUCGAGGACGAGCAUGAUGACAGGAUCUUCGACCAAGUAUUUGAUUUUCAAGAUGAAAAUGUUGAGCCCCUGCACCAAGAACCGGCCACAUUUGAACAGUUUGUCCAUUUUCAUCUUGAAAUGCGUGUUUAGCACACUCAUUUGGAUCUUCAAAAUGACUUGGUUGAGCACGUGUGGACUCACGUUGGCAACGAAUAGAUGUAUUGAUUCAUUAUGUUCAUUCAAGACAAUUUUGAUUUGGUUGUAAAACUAUUUUAUUAGAGACAAUUUCGAUUGGGUUGUAAAACUAUUUUUAUUUUUAGACAAUUAAUAUUUGGACAUGCAAACUUGUUUUGAACAUUGAAAUAUGAAUAUAUGGGCAUUUUUGGCUGUGGCGGACAAGAUGGGGCCGAAGGAUGCGUCCGCGCGCUGGGCGCACGGCCACCGCAUCCCAGGACAGACCCGGGCACGACCCCAUUGCCCUACCCAAACGGACUCGUUGUAAAACGCCUAUUUCACACAUUAGAAAACAUAUAUUUUCAGUUGUUCCAAAAGAAUUGGCUCCCUAACUUCUGAAAACCGAUUUCACUCAUUUCGAAAAGUUCAUUUCUUUAUGUUUAGAAAAUCAAUUCCACUCAUUAGAAGAAACUGAUGUCACUAAUUUGAAAAGAAAUAAUUUCACCCAAUUGAGAUAAUAGAUUUCACUCAGUUUAAAAGAAUGAUCUCGCUCAUUUCAGAAAAAUAUUUCGCUCAUUCCAAAAAGUAUGUUUCACUAUGUUCAAAAAACCAGAUUCCGCUCAUUUCAAAAGAUGGAUUUCUCCUUAUUCAAAAAACUUAUUUCACUCGUUUCAAACAAUAUAUUUAAAUCAUUUCAACACAGAUGAUUUCACUAAAUUGGAAAACAUAUUUCACUCAGUUUAAUAGAAUGCACUAAAUUGAAAAAACAUAUUUCACUCAGUUUGACAGAAUGAUUUUAUCAUUUCAAAAAAUGAUUCCACUCAUCAAAAAAUGAUUUCACUCAUUUUAACAAACAUGUUUAACCUAGUCAAAACACUGGUUUCACUCAUUCCAAAAAAUAUAUUUAAAUCGUUUCAAAACGGUUGAUUGCACUAAAUUAAAAAAACAUUUCACUCGGCUUAAUGAGAAUGAUUUCACUCAUUUCAAAAAAUUGAUUUUAAUAAUUUUAACAAACAUGUUUCACUCAUUCAAAACACUGGUUUCACUCAUUCCAAAAUAUAUAUUUAAAUCAUUUCAAUACGGUUGAUUCACUAAAUUGGAAAAAAAUAUUUCACUUAGCCUAAUAGAAUGAUUUCUAUUAUUUAAAAAAAGAUUUCACUCAUUUCAAAAAGUGAUUUCACUCAUUUUAACAAACAUGUUUCACUCAUUCAAAACACUGGUUUUACUCAUUCCAAAAAGUAUGUUUCAUUGUGCUCAAAAAACAGAUUCCGCUCAUUCGAAAAACUUAUUUCACUCGUUUCAAAAGUUGGGUAUAACUUAUUUAAAAAUGGUAGAUUUCAGUAAUUCGAAAAAAUGAUUUCACUCAAUUUAACAGACAUCACUACUGGAAUCAGAAGAUUUGUCGUCUGUCCCCUCUUUGUCGUCACCUAGCGGACGACAAAGAACGGCUUUGCCAUCAGCCACCGGAAAGCAGACGGCCAAGGAAGGCUUUGCCAUCAGCCAACAUUUUGCCGUCCGCUAGCUAACAACAAAGAUUCUUUGUCGUCCGGUAGCUGACGGCAAAGAGGGUGUUUGGCCCACUAGAUGUUAAGCCCUAACAGGCCCCCACUUUGCCGUCCGCCAGCAGAUGGCAAAGCGUCCGUUGCCCUCAGCUUGCAGACGGCAAAGACGACAUGGACGACAAAGCUUCAAAAUAAGUUAACGGCUUGCGCCCCCGCCGUCGCCUUAUCUCUUUCUCCUCUUCUCUCCGCCUAACGAGCACCGCCACCGCCCCACNNNNNNNNNNNNNNNNNNNNNNNNNNNNNNNNNNNNNNNNNNNNNNNNNNNNNNNNNNNNNNNNNNNNNNNNNNNNNNNNNNNNNNNNNNNNNNNNNNNNNNNNNNNNNNNNNNNNNNNNNNNNNNNNNNNNNNNNNNNNNNNNNNNNNNNNNNNNNNNNNNNNNNNNNNNNNNNNNNNNNNNNNNNNNNNNNNNNNNNNNNNNNNNNNNNNNNNNNNNNNNNNNNNNNNNNNNNNNNNNNNNNNNNNNNNNNNNNNNNNNNNNNNNNNNNNNNNNNNNNNNNNNNNNNNNNNNNNNNNNNNNNNNNNNNNNNNNNNNNNNNNNNNNNNNNNNNNNUUUAGGUUGUUUAGUUUAGUUAGUUUAAGUUUAAUUGGUUUAGGUUUUCUAGUUUAGUUAGUUUAGGUUUAAUUAGUCUAGGUUAUUUAGUUUAAUUAGUUUAGGUUUUUUAGUUUAGUUAGUUUAGGUUUAAUUAGUUUAGGUUAUUUAGUUUAAUUAGUUUAAGUAGUUUUUUUAAGUACAAACAAGAAAGAUGAAAAAAAGAAGUAAAAGAAGAAGAGGAAGAAGAAGAAGAAGAAGAGGUGUCGGGGUGUCGUGUCGAGGGUCGAGGGGUCGGGGUGUCGGGGUGUCUUGUCGAGGGUCAAGGGGUCGAGGGUCGCCGAGGGGUCGAGGGGUCGAGGAUUUGCCAUUCCGACCACGACACCCCGACCCCCUGACCCCGAUUCCCCGACCCCUCAACCCUCGACACGACACCCUGAUAACCCACAAGUGUAGGGGAUAGUUGUAGCCUAUUUCGAUAAGUAAGAGUGUCGAACCCAACGAGGAGUUAAAGGUAGAACAAAUACUCUCUCAAGUCCUAUCGGCCACAGAUACGACUCUACACAUGCUUGACAUUAGCUUUACCUAGAACAAGUAUGAAACUAGAAGUACUUUGUAGGUGUUUUUUGGGUAAGCUUGCAAGAAAGUAAAGAACACGUAAAUAAAAACUAGGGGCUGUUUAGAUAAAGUAGCAAUAAAGUAAAUAUAAUGAGUGUGGAAAAGUGGUGGUAGGAGUUGUGGAAUUGUCCCUAAGCAAUUGAUUACGUUGCUAGACCGAUAAUCACUAUUGCAAUUCUAUUUGAGGGAGAGGCAUAAGCUAACAUACUUUCUCUACUUGGAUCAUAUGCACUUAUGAUUGGAACUCUAGCAAGCAUCCGCAACUACUAAAGAUUCAUUAAGGUAAAACCCAACCAUAGCAUUAAAGUAUCAAGUCCCCUUUUAUCACAUACGCAAACAACCUACUUACUCGGGUCUGUGCUUCUGUCACUCACGCCACCCACCAUAAGCAAAUCAUAAACAUAUUGCAAACCCUACAGCAGGAAUCCCUCACGCUUGCGCGACACGGAGGGCACAAUAGGACAGCACCAAUAAUAAAACAUGCAACUCAAAACAAUCAUAGAAAUUCAUCAAUCACCGAUAGGACAAUGAAAAUCUACUCAGACAUCAUAGGAUGGCAACACAUCAUUGGAAAAUAAUAUGAAGCAUAAAGCACCAUGUUCAAGUAGAGGCUACAGCGGGUUGCGGGAGAGUGGACCGCUAGAUAUAGAUGGGGGAUGGUGAUGGAGAUGUUGGUGAAGAUGACGGUGGUGUUGGUGAAGAUCGCGGUGAUGAUGAUGGUCCCCGGCGGCGUUCCAGCGCCACCGGAAGCAAGGGGGAGAGAGCCCCCCUUCUUCUUCUUCUUCCUUGGCCUUCUCCCUAGAUGGGAGAAGGGAUUCCCCUCUGGUCCUUGGCUCCCAUGGCGUGGGAGGGGCAAGAGCCCCUCCGAGAUUGGAUCUAUCUCUCUGUUUCUGCAUUCUCUUUUCUGGCCCUUCACCGUUUCUUAAAUAUCCAGAGAUCCGUAACUCCGAUUGGGGUGAAUCUUUCGCCCAGAUCUUUCUCAUAAAAUUAGCUUUCUUGCGGCAAAAGAAGAGCACCAACCGCCUUACGGGUGGACCAUGAGGGUCGGGGGAGCGCCUGGGGAGUAGGGCGCGCCCCCCUACCUCGUGACCACCUCAGACACCGUCUCGCGUUGAUUUUACUUCCCAAAAAUCAUAAAUAUUCCAAAAAAACCUCCGUCCGUUUUUAUCCCGCUUGGACUCGUUUGAUAUUGGGUUUCUGCGAAACAAAAAACAUGCAACAGACAGGAACUGGCAUUGGGCACUGGAUCAAUAUGUUAGUCCCAAAAAAUAGUAUAAAAAGAUGCGAAAAUUAUAUAAAUGUUGAAUAAUAUUGGCAUGGAACAAUCAAAAAUUAUAGAUACGACGGAUACGUAUCAGCAUCCCCAAGCUUAAUUCCUGCUCGACCUCGAGUAGGUAAAUGAUAAAAAGAAAUAAUUUUUUAUGUGGAAUGCUACCUAGCAUAAUGUUGAUCAUAUGUCUAAUCAUGGCAUGAAUAUUAAGACACGAGUGAUUCAAAGAAAUAGUCUAUCAUUUGACAUAAAAGCAAUAAUACUUCGAGCAUACCAAUAAAGCAAUCAUGUCUUUUCAAAACAACAUGGCCAAAGAAAGUUAUCCCUACAAAAUCAUAUAGUCUGGCUGUUGCUCUAUCUUCAUCACACAAAGUAUUUAAUCAUGCACAACCCCAAUGACAAGCCAAGCAAUUGUUUCAUACUUUAAUAAUCUCAAACUUUUUCAACUUUCACGCAAUACAUGAGCGUGAGCCAUGGACAUAGCACUAUCGGUGGAAUAGAAUAUGAUGGUGGAGGUUAUGUGCAGAAGACAAAAAGGGAGAAAGUCUCACAUCAACUAGGCGUAUCAACGGGCUAUGGAGAUGCCCAUCAAUAGAUAUCAAUGUGAGUGAGUAGGGAUUGCCAUGGAACGGAUGCACUAGAGCUAUAAGUGUAUGAAAGCUCAAACUGAAACUAAGUGGGUGUGCAUCCAACUUGCUUGCUCAUGAAGACCUCAGGCAUUUGAGGAAGCCCAUCAUCGGAAUAUACAAGCCAAGUUCUAUAAUGAAAAUUCCCACUAGUAUAUGAAAGUGAAAGCAUAGGAGGCUCUCUCUAUGAAGAACAUGGUGCUACUCUGAAGCACAAGUGUGGUAAAAGGAUAGUAACAUUGCCCCUUCUCUCUUUUUCUCUCAUUUUUUUAUUUUCUUUUUUUUGGUGGGAUUCUUUGGCCUCUCUUUUUUUAUUAUUAUUUGGGCUUCUUUGGCCUCUUUUUUUGUAAAGUACGGAAUCUCAUCCCGACUUGUGGGGGAAUCAUUGUCUCCAUCAUCCUUUCCUCACUGGGGCAAUGCUCUAAUAAUGAUGAUCAUCACACUUCUAUUUACUUACAACUCAAUAUUACAACUCAAUAUCUAGAACAAAGAUAUGACUCUAUAUGAAUGCCUCCGGCGGUGUACCGGGAUGUGCAAUGAUCUAGCAUAGCAAUGACAUCAAAAAAUGGACAAGCCAUGAAAACAUCAUGCUAGCUAUCUUAUGAUCAUGCAAAGCAAUAUGACAAUGAAUGCUCAAGUCAUGUAUAUGAUGAUGAUGAUGAAAGUUGCAUGGCAAUAUAUCUCGGAAUGGCUAUGGAAAUGCCAUGAUAGGUAGGUAUGGUGGCUGUUUUGAGGAAGAUAUAAGGAGGCUUAUGUGUGACAGAGCGUAUCAUAUCACGGGGUUUGGAUGCACCGGCGAAGUUUGCACCAACUCUCGAGGUGAGAAAGGGCAAUGCACGGUACCGAAGAGGCUAGCAAUGAUGGAAGGGUGAGAGUGCAUAUAAUCCAUGGACUCAACAUUAGUCAUAAAGAACUCAUAUACUUAUUGCAAAAAUCUACAAGCCAUUGAAAACAAAGUACUAUGUGCAUGCUACUAGGGGGGUAGAUUGGUAGGAAAAUACCAUCGCUCGUCCCCGACCGCCACUCAUAAGGAAGACAAUCAAUAAAUAAAAUUGUGUUCCAACUUCAUCACAAAGCGGUUCACCAUACGUGCAUGCUACGGGAAUCACAAACCUCAACACAAGUGUCUCUACAAUCCACAACCACCCACUAGCAUGACUUCUAAUAUCACCACCUUUAUAUCGCAAAACUAUUGCAAGGAAUCAAACAUAUCAUAUUCAGUGAUCUACGAAUUUUGUAGGAUUUUAUGACUAACCAUGUGAAUGACCAAUUCCUGUCAUCUCUCUAAAUAGAUAUAAGUGAAGCAAGGGAGUUUAAUUUUUUCUACAAAAGAUAUGUCCACGCUCUAACAAAUAUAAGUGAAGAAAAAGAGCAUUCUACAAAUGGCGGUUUUCUAUGUAAAGAGAAACAGGCAAUACAACUUCAAAUGAUAUAAGUGAAGUACAUGAAGCAUUCUAUAAAGCCAUACUCAAAAGAUUUAAGUGAAGUGCAAUGAGCAUUCUAUAAAUCAAUCAAGUACUAUCUCAUACCAGCAUGGUGCAUAAAAGAAAAAUAAAAUCCUAAUUGCAAAGGACGCUCCAAGACUUGCAGAUAAUGCAUGAACGAAAUGAAUCUGAAACAUACCGAUACUUAUUGAAGAAAGAGGGGAUGCCUCCCCAGCAUCCCCAAGCUUAGACGCUUGAGUCUUCUUCAAUAUUUACUUGGGGUGCCUCGGGAAUCCGCAAUCUUGAGCUCUUGCCUCUCUUCCUUCUUCUCACAUCGAAACAUCCUCGAUUAGACACUACAUCCGCACAAAACUUCAACAGAAAACUCGGUAAGAUCCGUUUGUAUAAUAAAGCAAAUCACCACUCUAAGUACUAUAGAAAACCAAUUCAUAUUUUGUUUUUGCAUUGUGUCUACUGUAAUAUAACUUUUUCAUGGCUUAAUCCACUAAUAUAAAUUGAUAGAUUCAUCAAAACAAGCAAACUAUGCAUCAAAAACAGAAUCUAUCAAAACAGAACAGUCUGUAGCAAUCUGAACAAUCACAAUACUUAUAUUACCCCAAACAUUCUACAAAAUGAGGAAAAAUAAACAAGUUGUAUAGCAAGACAGUGCAAAAAGAAUCAGAACCAAUUGACAUUCCAGUUAAAAAUGUAAAAUCGCGCACUACAGCCAAAGUUUCUGUCCUGCACCGUACAAACCAACAAGCAUUGUAAACAAACUAAAGGCAAACCUUGGCACAUUAUUUUUAUAAUACAAUGGAAUUGUACAAGGGGAUAAUUAUUUUUAUUGAAAAGUUUCUGUAAUUAAGAUUCACAAAGUUCCCAUGAGCAUGAACAAAGUUCAAGGACGUCCCCCACUUCCACAAUGCUCGUCUCUCUCACUUUCACUUCUCUUUUUGAAAAGUUUUGGGUUCCCCUCUCUAUUUUUGUUGUUUUUAAACUAUAUGAAAGCACUCAACAGAAAUAAAUGACUCUCUAAAACUUCCGGGUUGUCUCCCUGGAAGCGCUUUCUUUAAAUCCAUUAAGCUAGGCAUUUAGUGCUCAAGUAAUGGAUCCACCCGGAUCCCAAGGUAUAUCAAAGCCAAUUUUAAUUAACAAUGAUUUGUAAUUUAGUAGUGAGCACAAAGUAACAUAUAUCAUGCAACAACAAAGUCUAACUCUCUUCCUAUGCAUCGGCAUGUCAUAAGAGAACAAUUCAUGCACACUAUUAAAGUCUAACUCUGUUCACUAAAUAGAAGUAAAUGACUCUCUAAAACUUCCGGGUUGUCUCCCUGGAAGCGCUUUCUUUAAAGCCAUUAAGCUAGGCAUUUAGUGCUCAAGUAAUGGAUCCAUCCGGAUCCCAAGGUAUAUCAAAGCCAAUUUUAAUUAACAAUGAUUUGUAAUUUAGUAGUGAGCACAAAGUAACAUAUAUCAUGCAACAACGAAGUCUAACUCUCUUCCUAUGCAUCGGCAUGUCAUAAGAGAACAAUUCAUGCACACAUAGUAAAGGCCAAUGCAUAGUAUAAGCAGUUUCUUGCAAUUCUAUCGUGUUGGAAACAUAGAGAGGUGGAGAUAUAGUUCCUCUCUCAUAAUAAUUGCAAGUAGGAGCAGCAAGCACAUGCAUAUUAUAUCUAUCAAAAUUAUCAUGUGCAAUGGUAAAAGGCAACCCAUCAAUAUAAUCCUUAAUAAGCACAAACUUCUCCGAUAAAGUGUAGUUUGGAGAAUUCAAAAAGAUAAUAGGACUAUCAUGCAUGGGUUUAAUAGCAACAAUUUCAUGUUUAACAUAAGGAACUAUAGCAAGUUCAUCUCCAUAAGCAUCAUUCAUAUUGGCAUCUUGGCCACAAGCAUAGCAAGCAUCAUCAGAAAGGGAUAUUUCAAGAGAAUCAAUGGGAUCAUAGCAAUCAUCAUAGCAGUCAUCCUUCGGUAAGCACAAAGGGGAAUUAAACAAUUUAUGAGUUGAAGAGUUACUCUCAUUAGAAGGUGGGCAUGGGUGAUCAAUCUGCUCUUCCUCCUUUUGUUCUUCGCUCUCCUCAUCAUCUUUUUCAUCCAAUGAGCUCACAAUUUCAUCAAUUUCUUCUUCCAUAGCUUCCUGCAAAAUAUUAAUCUCUUCUUGGACAGCGGAGACUUCCUCAAUAAAUUGUUUAACAUAAGCAUUAGAAGCAUAAUUCUCAUAGCAAUAUUCAAGUAUGGCAAAAUUUUCAGAUUUGUGAAAAGUAGCAUCAUACUUUCAAUCAAAGAAGCAAUUUCAUAAGCACCCUUAAAACCAACAAAUUCUUCAAUUUGUUGAACAUCAUAGUAAUUGUAAACACCCUAAGCAUACGAAGAUAUGAUUCCAUUAUCAAUAAACAAGCAUUGAUAGGGUAGGUGUUUCUUAGGGUCUUCAGAACAACAAGUAACAUCAUAAAUUUCACAUAAAUUCCAAGCAUAGCAUUGCAAACAUUGAAUUUGACCCGAUAAUAGUUUCCCUUUUUCAGAUAUACGGUGUCGCACAUAACAAGCAUGCUCAUCUAAAGAUUUGCCCUCAACUAAGCUAGUUGGGGUUUCAGCACGAGCACAUAGGGAUCAAAGAUGAUCCAAGUAAUAAGCUUCAGCAGUGUGAUAGAUUUUGAGUGGUUCUUCAACCAUUGGUUCAGCAGGUACAACUAAUUUUUUUGGUAUUUUGUGUUUCCUACCCAUGACUAAAGAUAGAAACCAACUAAGAAUAGCAAAUAAAAAUUACUUAGUGAUAAAGAAAACAAGCACACACGAGAAUAUUCACCCCACACUAUGACUCCCCAGCAACAGCGCUAGAAAAAGGUCUUGAUAACCCACAAGUAUAAGGGAUAGUUGUAGCCUAUUUCGAUAAGUAAGAGUGUCGAACCCAACGAGGAGCUAAAGGUAGAACAAAUACUCUCUCAAGUCCUAUCGGCCACUAAUACGACUCUACGCACGCUUGACGUUCACUUUACCUAGAACAAGUAUGAAACUAGAAGUACUUUGUAGGUGUUUUUUGGGUAAGCUUGCAAGAAAGUAAAGAACACGUAAAUAAAAACUAGGGGCUGUUUAGAUAAAGAAGCAAUAAAGUAAAUAUAAUGAGUGUGGAAAGUGGUGGUAGGAGUUGUGGAAUUGUCCCUAAGAAAUUGACUACGUUGCUAGACCGAUAAUCACUAUUGCAAUUCUAUUUGAGGGAGAGGCAUAAGCUAACAUACUUUCUCUACUUGGAUCAUAUGCACUUAUGAUUGAAACUCUAGCAAGCAUCCGCAACUACUAAAGAUUCAUUAAGGUAAAACCCAGCCAUAGCAUUAAAGUAUCAAGUCCCCUUUUAUCCCAUACGCAAACAACCUACUUACUCGGGUUUGUGCUUCUGUCACUCAUGCCAUCCACCAUAAGCAAAUCAUAAUCAUAUUGCAAACCCUACAGCGAGAAUCCCUCACGCUUGCACGACACGGAGGGCACAAUAGGACAGCACCAAUAAUAAAACAUGCAACUCAAACCAAUCAUAGCAAUUCAUCAAUCACCGAUAGGACAAUGAAAAUCUACUCAGACAUCAUAGGAUCGCAACACAUCAUUGGAAAAUAAUAUGAAGCAUAAAGCACCAUGUUCAAGUAGAGGGUACAGCGGGUUGCGGGAGAGUGGGCCACUGGAUAUAGAUGGGGGAAGGUGAUGGAGAUGUUGGUGAAGAUGACGGUGGUGUUGGUGAAGAUCGUGGUGAUGAUGAUGGCCCCCGGCGGCGUUCCGGCGUCACCAGAAGCAAGGGGGAGAGAGCCCCCCUUCUUCUUCUUCUUCCUUGGCCUGAUCCCUAGAUGGGAGAAGGGUUUCCCCUCUGGUCCUUGGCUCCCAUGGCGUGGGAGGGGCGAGAGGCCCUCCGAUAUUGGAUCUAUCUCUCUGUUUCUGCGUUCUCUUUUCUGGCCCUUCACCAUCUCUUAAAUAUCCGGAGGUCCAUAACUCCGAUUGGGGUGAAUCUUUCGCCCAGAUCUUUCUCAUAAAAUUAGGUUUCUUGCGGCAAAAGAAGAGCAUCAACCGCCAUAUGGGUGGACCACGAGGGUUAGGGGAGCGCCUGGGGGGGUAGGGCGCGCCCCCUACCUCGUGACCACCUCGGACACCGUCUCGCGUUGAUUUUACUUCCCAAAAAUCAUAAAUAUUCCAAAAAAAUCUCCGUCCGUAUUUAUCACGUUUGGACUCUGUUUGAUAUUGGGUUUCUGUGAAACGAAAAACAUGCAAUAGACAGGAACUGGCACUGGGCACUAGAUCAAUAUGUUAGUCCCAAAAAAUAGUAUAAAAAGUUGCCAAAAGUAUAUAAAUGUUGAAUAAUAAUGGCAUGGAACAAUCAAAAAUUAUAGAUACGAUGGAGACGUAUCAAACCCCGACACCCCGACCCCUCGACCCUCGACAUGACACCCCAACACCCCGACCCCUCAAACCUCAACACGACACCCCGACACCCUGACCCCUCGACCCUCAACACGACACCACUGACACCCGACCCCUGAGGGUUGCUGAUGGUCGAGGGUUGCCGAGAGGCACCCCGACCCCGACACAGCACCCCGACACGACACCACCGACACCCCGAGCCCCGACACGACACCCCGAGAUCCCGACAUGGCACCUCUGACACCGACAACCCGAUAUUAAUUAGUUUAUGUUAUUAGGUAUUCAAUUUUUUAUUAUGUUCAUGAUGAUGAUACACACUAUUUUUUUAUUAUGUUUAUGUUGUACUAAUUUCGUUUACUCUUUGUCAUUGCAGGUGUUGACAGAUGGUGGGCUUGGGUCGAGAGCGCUCCGAGCCUCCUACCUCGGUGCGUGGGAGGGUGUUGUUAUUGCACCCUAGAAACUUCGGAGAGUGCUGGUAGACAGCAUGCAUACACCCACACACCUUCGGCGGGGGGCUUCUUCUUCAGCCGGGAGAGGAGGUCGGGGGAAGAAGAGGGGUGCAGGUAGAGGUGGACGGGGCGCUGGGAGAGGUAGGAAGGUUGUUCUUCCUUCCUCGCCGCCACCCCCCGCCGAGUCUCCGGACCAUCGGAGUGCUCCGUCUCAGGUGGACCCAUUUGACCUAGACCCGUGUUGGACUUCGGUCCACGAGCCUCAGGUCAACGAGCUUCUGGUCGCCGAGCCUCGGGUCGCUGAGCCUCUGGUCGCCGAGCCUCGGGUCCCAGAGUCUUCCUCCCAGGAGACUCGGGGCCCAUAGUCUUCCUCCCAGGAGACUCGGGUCCCAGAGUCUUUGUCACACGUGACUCCGGAGACUAGCGACCAUGCUGAUGGUGUCGGGAGACCUUAUCUGAGGAUAGCUACAGCAAGGCGAGUUGGUUGAGGAGGGCAAGAAUGUCUACCGACGUGGUGGUACUAAGCUACCGUCCGUGCCAGCGACCCACGACCAGAGGUGGUUGAUUCAGCCUAACGGGGAGAAGUAAGUGCAUUUACUCUAAUGUGUUGGCCUUGUCAUGCUGCAGGGGUUGGAUACAUGCAGAUGGUGUCCGCAGGCCCAACCAGGUCCUUGGUACUCUAGUCCGGCACCACUUCCCGGGGAUGGGUCAUGUUGCCCGGCGAGGUUGAGCUUCCACAGCUAGCACUGACCUGGGAGCUGUACGAGGCUACCCCGGCCCUGCCGGGGGAGAUGGUCGACGGUGUCGUGUGCGAGACGGUGGCCGACAUUGUGAGACGGCGGUUUUGGGUAAUUUCUCCUUUACAAAAUUAAAAAUCAAUAGUACCUAGUGAUUGUACUAAUGAUCAGUGUUGUCUUGUUUGAUUGCAGACCUUCUACGGGUGUCUUGAGGAACACGAGGUGGACGCGGCUAUGGUUCUCGAAGACGAGUGCAAGCACGUACUUCAGAACACACGACACAAGGCUCGGGUGCAGGAUGUCUGAGACUACUACGCCUCGACUAACAUCAAGAGGCAGAAGAAGAAGUGACGCGUCAAGUAUCUGAGUAAGGACAAGUACAUGAAGGUAAUUACCUAUUCUUAAGGCCAUGUACUAGUUUCCUUGAUUUGAUUCAUAGGUGUAGCGCUGAAAUUUCUCUUUGUCUAACUUAGGUGCCCCAGAGAUGGUGUGCGGAUAAGAUGGACUGUUGGGAGAGGUUGGUGGAUGAGUGGUGCUCUCCCUAAUGGCUAGUCGUCCACAACAAGGCCAGGGAGAAGCGUGCCCAGAUGCAAGGUGUGUUGCACCAUCAAGGGAGCUCCAACCUGUUUGAGUACGAGGAUCACUUGGUAUGUGGUUCGAGCCCUUAACAAUUCAUGCAAUUUCAUCAUGCAUGCUUGCUUUAAUUACUAAUUUACCCUAUUCCUCUCUUUCAGGCGCGACACAACAAGAAGGAGGUGUCGCCGCUGUACAACCUCUAUGCCAUGGCCCAUAGUGCCCCAUACAAGAAGGCCAGGGCAUUCUCGGAGGAUGACCUCGAUCAUCCAGAGAGCUUCGCCAACAUAUCCUCCCACGACAAGCUUGUGAGGUACAGAGACUGGGGGAAGAAGAUGAAAGGUGAGGAGUUCAACCCGAGCCAGAGUCCUUUUCAUCAUGAGCUCCUGAUGCUAUCUAGUGAGGGGAGGAAACAUGGCUUAGUAGCCAUUGGGGAUGGACUCAUACGUUGUCCUAGAAGUCUCCCAGAGAUCAAGAAGCAUCAGACGAAGUCUCUUCUCGAGAUGAGGUCUCGACCACGGAAAAUGGAGCUCGCUAUCGAGGCUAGGGCCCAGGAGCUUGCGGUGGAGGCAACCAGGCAGGCGGAGGAGAAGGUAAGGGAGAUGGAGGAGAGGAUGGCUAAUUUCUUGGAGGGGAGAGGAUCGGAAUGACGUGGGUCACCGGGCCCUAUACGAGAUCCUUGUGGUAAGUUUCUCCCGCAUACUAGCCAAAUCAUGCAUGUAAUGUUCAUUUCAUUACUAACUAAUAUGACUGGCUCAUGAAAACAAAAUGUGUAGUCCGUGUGCGAGAAAACUGGCCAGACCCCUCCGCCGAUGCCCCAGAUUGCUAUAGCGGACAUGGUGAGUUUCAUUUGAAUGGUCAUUAGUUACUAGUAUUCACAUUUUAGUUGCAUCAUGCUAACUAAACAUUGCAAAUGAUCUUUCGUGCAGCAUGCCUCCCAUAAAGGAUCGACUGAUCCUUAUGCGUAUCGCGGUGGCGCAACCCCGACCGGUAUUCACCUCCUAGAUUAUGGUAAGUUUUCCCAAGUGUUUUGCUUAACAAAUGCUUUGUUAGCUAGAAAAUGGCAUAACAACCUAGGAUAGCGCAAUAAUGAUCUAUAGCUAGCUUAGCUAGUUCAUUUAUGACAUAAUUAGCUCACUUAGGUAAAAAAAUGGCAUAACAACCUAGGAUCGCUCAAUAAUGAUCUAUAAUUAGCUUAGCUACUUCAUUUAUGACAUAAUUAGUGCACUUAGGUAAAAAAUGGCAUAAUAACCUUGGUUUAGCUCCAAACUAUCAUAUAAUUAGUUUAUUUUCCUCCAAAAUGACAAAAUAACCUUACCUAGCUCCAAAAUGACCAAUUUUAACUAGGAUAGCUCUAAAAUGACCUACACUUAACAUUUUGUCCUACAAAAUGAAUAAAUAUGCUUAGUUAGCUCAAAAAUGGCAUAACUACGUAGGUUAGCUCCAAAAUGACCUAUUUACCUUGCUUAGCUCUAAAAUAACCUACACACUUAGCAUUUUUACCUUCCUUAGCUAAAAAAUGGCAUUUUUACCUACCUUGAUAGAAUAAGAAGAAGAAGAAGAAAUCUUCUUCUUCUUCUUCUUCUUUCUUCUUCUUCUUCUUCUUCUUCUUCUAGCUAGUCUUCUUCUUCUUCUAACUAUCGUCUUUCCUAAUUUGCAGAUUUGCUUGAGAUGAGGAAGCUAGCAUUGAUGGAAACUUGUUGCAAACUUCUACUUGUGCUUGUGCUUCCUUUUUAUUUAUGGAAACUUGUUGCAAACUUGUUGGAUAUGUUGUUGGAAACUUGUUGGAUAUGUUGUUGCAAACUUGUAUGGAAAUGUUGUUGGAAACUGGUAUAUAUAUGUUCAUGUUGUUGGAAACUUCUUGUUGGUAUGAUUGUUGAAAUUAUUUUGAAAUGUGUGUGUAUAUAUAUGUGUGUGUGAAAUUCUGUCAAAUUGAAUGAAUUUAGGAAAAAAUAGGAAAAACAGGGGCUAUAUAGACACUUUGCCGUCAGCCAGCGGACGACAAAGACCUUUGCCGUCCGCUGGCUGACGGCAAAGGUCUUUGCCGUCCGCCAGCAAACAGCAAAGGUCUUUGCCAUCCGCUAGCAGACGGCAAAGCUGCCACGUAGCAGCUACCUGUGCAACCUGGGGUGUAGGGGGAUGGCCUAUUUGGCAGAUUUGCCGUCAGCCAGUAGACGGCAAAGGCCUUUGCAUCGUUGUCAUCAGACGGCAACGAUGCAAAGGCCUUUGUCGUCUGCUGGCUGACGGCAAAGCACGUUGUUAACCAUUUAACGGACCUGAACUGCCACCACUACAAAAAAAUACACUUCCGUGAUGAAAUGUGUUUGUCAGAGUAGAUCGCGUUUUUUGUCAUGCAUGUACAUCCAUGACAAAUUCAUGACGGAAUCAAGAUAGUCAGACAUGUGCUACGUAGAAGUGUUCCAUGACAUUACCAAAAUUAUCAUCAUGGAAGUGUCCAAUUCCAUGACGAUAAAUCGUGCGUCACAAAAGUGCUUUCAUCAAGGGUGACCGACACGUGGCAUCCACCGUAAUGGAACACCGUUAAUCAAUCGGAUCGGGUUUUGGAUCCGAUAACCCGUUAACAGCCCCGACCAAUGGGGAUUUUCCACGUGUAAAAUCAUCAUUGGCUGGAGGAAACACGUGUCGGCUCAUCGUUGGGACAGAUGUCAUCUACUCAUUGGAUGGAAGGCGCCUAUGAUACGUCGACACGUGGCACGGCCCAACAGAGGCCCAUUCCUGUGAAAAGGCUGGCCCAGUAAAAAUUAGCAGGCCAUUUCAUAUAAGGCCUACUUGGGUCAGGUCCAUUUAAGCCCACGGCCCAUACGAGAUGUGCCAAUUCGGCCCGUCAACGGCCCAUUAAAGAUUUGACACCAUUGCCGCCCAUCAUCAGUUCGAGCCUGUUAACAGCCCGCUAUAUAUCUGGGCUCAAUAUCGGCCCGAUGAGAUUUCGGCCUGUUAACGGUCCAUUUAAUGAAUGGGCCAAUUUUCAGGAUGUACGUCUUUCGGCCUUUUAGCGACCCAUUUAAAUGUUGGGCUAGUUUCCGGCCCAGUGUGUCUUUCAGCCUGUUGACGGCCCAUAAAUGUGAUGGGCCAUUUGUUGUCGGACCUAAGUUUCGGCCUUUUAGCGGCCCAUUUAAGUGUUGGGCCAAUUUUCUGGCCCGGUGUCACUUUCAGCCUGUUGACAGCCCAUAAACCAGUUGGGCCAUUUGUAGUCGGACCUGAGUUUUGGACUUUUAGCGACCCAUUUAAGUGUUGGGCCAAUUCCCGGCCCUGUGUGCCUUUCAGCCUGUUAAAGGACCAUAAAUGAGUUGGGCCAUUUGUAGUUGGUCCUUAGUUUCGGCCUUUUAACGGCCCAUGCCCUUCAUGGUCCAAUACCAGCCUGGUUUCUAUUUCGGCCUGCUAAAGGCCCACAACACAGUUGGGCCAUUUACAAUACGACCUGACUUUCGGCCUCUUAGCGGCCCAUGGUCUUCAUGGUCCAGUACAAGCCCGCUGUCUCUUUCGGCCUGCUAAAGGCCUACAGUAUAGUUGGGCCAUAUGUAGCCCAAACUUAGUAAUGGCCUGUUAACGGCCCGUGAAAUAAACUGGGGCCACCUGUUGCCCGCUUCGAUGUCGGCCUGUUAACGACCUGGGAGGUAAGAGGGACGACCAUUAACUUUCGGCCUAGUAACGGCCCAUUAACUUAAUUGGCCCACUAAAGUUCGUACAUGUCUUUAGGCCAAAUUAGAUAAUUUGAGCCCAUUACGACGAGCAAUUAUGCACAGGACCAAAACCGAUCACGCAAAGGUACGACAUACAGGGAAUAACAUUGCACAUCCAGCAUAUAUUACAGGAAAUUACAUCCACUGGGCAAUCAAAGAUUGAUGCCAGUGCAAAUAAAUGAGCAGAACCUAACCAUCUACAACGUCACAAUCUGCAACCUCAGCACAGAUGACGCCCAUAAGCAUGUGGGCAAGUUCUUUCUGCUUUGCUACACUGUCUCUGAAAACAUUGAUCAGUUGUUGUGUCGCACGACUCUGCACAUCUGAUUCAUCCACCAUUUACAUCAUUGCUUCAGCGAUUAAUUGGUUCACAAACAUACAUUUUUUCCGUUGCAUUCGAGACAGAGGAUACUGAACAGAUUCAGAUGGCGAUUUUGGCAGGCUUGUAUUAUUGAUAGUGGAGAGUGUCUCGACCACUGCAUCAUAACAUAAAUUAGGACGGGAACCAAACAGAUUAAUCAUGAGUUAUUGCCAUAUUACCUGGCCUAGAUUUAUUGGAAAGAAACAAUGGGGUUGCCUUGCUGUUUUCAGAGUUUGUCUUCUUAUCUUCAGCAGCCUGCACCAAAUUAACACACUAGCAUUACUAUCAUUGGCCAAGUCAGAUAAUAGGAAAGCAACAUUGACACAACGAACAUUUGGGCAACUAGCCUACACCAAAUUAACACAAUAUGGCAUAGCUAUCAUCAGCCAGGUAAGGUAGUAUGAAAGCAACAUUGAUACAAUGAAUGAAUGGGCAACCAGAGAAGCACUACAAUUCAGUAAUGUGCGUGAUAUGAGAUAGUACAUUCAUGCAGCUCAGUAUGCAAAACUACCAGGCAGUUUUCCUUACAAAAAUCAACAUUGGUGCCUUUAACAUUUUGCUACAACUAAUUUUAGAUCAGAUAAAGGUUAGAUUCACGCCGAUUAACAAAAUACAUGUUGAUGUAAAAAUAUAGUGAUAUACAACAGGUACUUACAUCAGCAUUGGAGCACAGAGAAUUCCCGCAAGAUAUUUUCCUCGAAUACGAUCCCAAUGGAGGAAGUCUUCUAUCAUUUAACCUUAUUUUCUAAAAGAGAGAUGGGUAAGAAACAUGUAGAAAAUAUGAUCAGAAUGCUAUAAAAUUUCAUGAUGCGAGGAUACGCACACGCUUCUUAGAAUGGAGUUGACAUUCUAUUGCUGGACUGGAGCGGACUAGUUCUUUGACCAUUGGAAUCUGCUUAUUAUCAGUGGGAGUUGGGUUUCUCUAUGCUGGAGUAGUAUCUAUGAAAAAUGGAGUUGGUUUAUUAUCUCCUGGCGUUUGGAUCUUUUGCAAAGACCUGGUUUGUAACCCUUCUGAUUCUAACAUAGCCGUCUUCACCUUGCAUGUCUUAUAUAGAAGAAUGGUGAUUCAGUUAUAAAAUAUGCUAUAGCAGAGAUGGAAUAGGUACUGAAGAAUAGAAAGGCAUGACAUAUUGACAUGUAUUCCCUCCAUCUGGAAAUAAAUGGACAGGUCUAGGCGUAUUUCAGUUCUAGAUACAUCCAGUUUUAUCCAUUUCUGUGACAUUUAAUCCGGACGGAGGGAGUAUGAUGUAAGAGCUAGGGAUACGACAGGACAACACAAUAAAAAAACACUGAAAAACCCACUGCAGAACCAAAGUAUUCAAGCCCACUGAUAUGAGAUAGUACACUCAUGCAGCUCAGGAUGCAAAACUACCAGGCAGUUUUCCUAACAAAAAUCAACAUUGUGGCCUUUAAUCAUACAUUUUGCUACAACUAAAUUUAGAUCAGAUAAAGGUUGGAUUCACGCCGAUUAACAAAAUACAUGCUGAUGUAAAAAUAUAGUGAUAUACAACAGGUACUUACAUCUACAUUGGAGCACAGAGAAUUCCUGCAAGAAUCUUUCCUCAUAAAUGAUACCAUCGCAGAAAUUCUUCUAUCUGUUAAGCUUAUUUUCUAGAAGAGAGAUGUGUAAGAAACAUGUAGAAAAUAUGAUCAGCAUGCUAUAAAAUUUCAUGAUGCAAGGAUAUGCAAAUGCUACUUAGAAUUGAGUUGACAUAUUUUUGUUGUACUCGAGCGGACUAGUUCUUUGGCCACUAGAAUCUGCUUAUUAUCAGUAGGAGUUGGGUUUCUCUAUUCUGGAGCAGUAUCUAUAAAAACUGGAGUUGGUUUAUUAUCUCCUGGCAUUUGGAUCUUUUGCAAAGGCCUUGUUUGUAACCCUUUAGAUUCUAACAUAGUCGUCUUCCCCUUGCAUGCCUUGUAUAGAAGAAUGGUGCUUUAAUUAUAAAACAUGCGACAGUAGAGAGAUGGAAUAGGUACUGAAGAAUAGAAAGGCAUGACAUAUUGACAUGUAUUCCCUCCAUCCAGAAAAAAAUGGAUGGGUCUUGGCGUAUUUCAGUUCUAGAUACAUCCUUUUUUCUCCAUUUCGGCAACAUGUAAUCCGGACGGAGGGAGUAUGGUGUAAGAGCUAGGGAUACGACAGGACAACACAGCAAAAAAACUAGUUGAAUGUAAAACUAUAUGCUAGCGGAAUAUGUACAAAAAUAACUAAGGCAACAUACACGUGUAUGAUUGGGAAAAUAAGAUGGCAUUGCAAUAGAGCACUAGAACAACACUUCAAUGUAAAAAAACAUGGUAUGGCAGACAGAUGAAGUACAUACCGAUGAAUAACAAUGCAUAAGAUAUUCAGAAGCAUGAUGUCCAAAUUAAGCAGAUGGCAUUGCAAUAGAGUAGAAUGACAGUACUUGAAUUUGAAAACAUGUUAUCAUGAAUGGAAUAGGUACUGAAAAACAAGAAGGCAUGACAUAUUUACAUGCAUGAUCAGCAUGCUAAGCACAUGGCAUUGCAACAGAGUAGAUACACUCUAGGACAUUAUAUGCAUGUUGUACCCAUAUCACAGGCCAAGUUAGAGCAAGGACCUUGUGGGGUGAAGAGGAUUCAUCAUCUUUCUGCAAGUCUUCUGAAGAACUGCCUUUACAUGUUCCAUCAUAUUGGGUAUCAUUGACAUCAAGUUUAUUGGCCUUUACAUUGCUCCGUGAGGUUCUUGUGGAUAUAUCAGUGUGUGCAAUUAUAUCUGACAUGCAUGGAAGACAACUAGUAGUUAGAUUUAUGUAAAUGAGUGCAUGUAGGAGAUGACGUAAAUAGUAGGACUGGGGUUAACUAGCAGCAACAGGUCUCAUAAACUAAAGGGAGAACACAGAUGAAAGCUAUAGAAUAUGUAUCAUUUGUACUCAAGAUUAACUAGAUGCCACACAAAAGUAUUAAAGAACAACAUAGGUAAUACUAGAAGUGGUAUAAUACUAUAAUCACCAGCCUGUGGGAUAGCAGUGGCUGAUGGAUGAUAACUAUGGAACAACGUUACCUAAAGAACAAGUAUCUUAGCUGAACUAUGGAACAACGUGAACUCCUGAACAAGACCCAUAAGAGAUCAGCAUGAAUAUACAGUGAAAUGUGAUGAUCUAUUUUCCGUGCUUAGAUGAAUAAUAAAGCCAUAAAUGUUGCACACAAGUAAGAUGAGGGUACAACCUAUCUGGCUGCCAUCCAUAGGAGUGAGCAUCAUGUGCUGACUUGUCGAUGGCCCAGCAGUUGUUGUGGCUGUCCAUGUCGGGCACACACAUUCUAUGCAGAGAACUCUUGAGUGGGGAUUGUAGCUCCCUUCUGGUGUAUGCUUCCCUUGUUGGAGCAUCUGUGGUGAUUCGGAAGACGGUGUGUCUGAAGAUGCAGAUAACACAUAAUGUUAAGAACGACAUAUCUCUUUGAUCCGAAGAAAUACACUAAGAGAUCAACAGUAAGGUACGAGAGUGGUCACACGUCUGUUGACUGAAGACUAAAUUCGGGUCACACGAUUUUAUUUUAUUUUGGUACUGUCCGAUCUACGCCGGAUGGCUUGAUGGCCGUCUUGUGCCUCCCGGCUGACACUGUUCGGAAUCUUCCCCGAAGAGCCAGCGACCAAUGGCAGAGCAGCCUGCCUCCACCAUCUGUGGCCCCGGCCAAAACCCCGCUCCCCGCCCCACUGCAUUGUCGUGGUUGCGCCGCCCCCGGGCCAAUCCACAAAGACUCCCCAUCAUCCAGAUCCGGCGGCGGCAGUACGUUCAACCCACACAACUCUAAAAGAUAGCCAUCUAAGCGCUGCUUCCGCGGCGAACUUGCAGCCCCGCACCCUUAUGUUAGACACCAGCCAACCGGCAGCCUAGGAGCUCUGCCGCCUCGAGGGGUGCUGCUUCCCAUUGGGAAUCGAUUGGCCUAGAAUAAAAAUUCAGACAACUGACACCUAAAUAAAGUCAUUUCAGAUGAGGGUGCGACCUAUCUGGCGGCAUGGUGAAGUAGGCAGGUCCAGCUGCCGAGUCGGUGAGGCCGGCGCGGUUGCGGUGGCGACCGGCGGCGGGGAAAGAGCGAUGUCGCCACGGUCGACGGCUACGCGGAAGCAGCGCCAGGACUCUGGACGGAUCCGAAGUUGGAGCCGCUCUGGCGCCGUGAACAACGGCGGGGGUGAAUCGGCUCCGGUACGGUUCACGCGGCCGUCGUCGAGGCAGCACCAGCAGCACGGAGUAAGAGGCACACGGCCCAGUGCACGACGGCAAUUGGACAACGUCUCUGGCAUUAGGGAGGAGGGCGGCUAUGAAAUUGGUGUGGUGGGGGUGCCAUGGAGGUGGGGUUGAGGUUUCGCGGCUCUGGAGAAGGGAGCUUCCCGGGGAGAAGGUGAUUUGGCGCCCACGAGGUAUGAAUGGGGGCGGGCUGGGGGAAUUGGGAGGGGAGUGGAACCAUGUCUUCCGGACGCAUUUAUCUAAAAUGUGAGGAGGAGUUACAGUUCUACCCUUGCCUAUAGGCUUCUCGGCUUGGGUCUGUGUACUGAGGGUCGGGGAUAGUAGAGUAACUUUGCUUCUCCCCAAAUAGUGGGCGGGAGCGAUUUCGGGCGAGGAGGGCGUGUUUUGAACUAUAGUGGGCGCGAGCGAUUUUGGGCGAGGAGAGCGUGUUUUGGAAUAGUCGGCACGAGCUAUUUCGGGCUAGGAGAGCGUGUUUUGCCGACCAUGGUUUAUGAAUUAUUCGGCACAUGUCAUUUUGGCCGAGGAUAAGGCGCGCUUGGAUGAAGUUACGAACCUACCCUCGAUGUACAACGAGCCAAUUGAUGCGUGUCCCACAUAGGACGGUAAUUUCGUGUCUCCCAUAUAUUUGCUCGGGCGAAUUCCACCGAGCAGAGAGGAUGUUUAACGGUUCGUUCAAAUUUUGGGAGAACGAGCAUCCACGUCUACCUGACCAUGUCGAUUCGAAUCAAAUUUUGAAAUAUUAGCUUGCCACUUCUUUUUUAGAUGGAGAGAUGAUGCUCGGGAGUAAUGUGUUUUUACAUGCUCGUUGCUAGCGAUUUACUAUAUGACAAAUAGUUGACCCACUCAAAAACGCGAAUCAAACCCAAAAUGAAAUAUCUUGAUUCAGUGAACUAGCUCGUUCAGUAGGUCAAAAUAGUGAACUAAAUCCAAAAUUGAACACCUCAAUUGAGUAGCAUGUUGUACAGUAUCAUAGUACUCCAUGAACAUGUUGAAAGUCAAAUUAAUGAACUUGUUUGAUAUACGCAUAUAUCCAUUCAUGUGUGGAUUGCAGACAACAUGUUCUCCAAUUUAAAUAUUUGAAUGCAAGCUUAUAUCGAAACAUGGUUUAUAUCAGUCUUUGAUGCAUAAAACACGACCUCCCCCUCUCCCGGACUCCUGUUCUCUCUCUCUCUCACUCUCUCACUCUCUCGCCGACAAUCUUCAAUUAUGUCACACGCAUCCGACACGAAAACCUUGUUGGUCCCUCUCCCUCCCUCUCUCUCUCUCUCUCUCUCUCUCUCUUUGUGUGUGUGUGGGGGGGGGAUCUUUCUAGUUCGCAUUCAUAUAUACACCAUCUAUAGGUCUCUCUCGCACACUAUGUAUGAUACUCUAGCUAGUCCAAGCUAGAUAUCAUGGGUGCACUCAUCGUACACACACAUAUUCCUUGGCUCUUUGCCCGUAACUCUAUCACGCACCACUAUGUCGUCUCGGAGCUCUUCCCCCCUCUCUCAAACUCUCCAUCCACCUAGGUCACACAUACACAUGCAUAUCUCACUCGUAUUUGAUAGGCCCAUCUAAAACUCUAUCUCUCUCCAUCGUUCUCUCUCCAUCUCACACGCACACACACACACACACAAUCUCAUGCCCAGCUAGCCAAGUAUGAUGGUCUUUCACUCAAUUGUAGGCACACACAGUCCCCCCUAUAUGUAUAUGACUAGAUAAUCUUAGUCUCCACCACAAACAUGUGCAUGGUCUAUCUCAAUUUCUCUCGGGGAAUCUUUCUAUCGCGCACGCACUCCCUCAAUCUCCCACCCAUAUAGUCCCCUCACGAUCUCGAGGGGAUCUCUCUAUCACAAACACACCCUCUCUCCCUCCCCAUCCGUCCAUGCCAUCCAUGUGUCCCUCUCAACCUUUUUUCCUUGUUGGCCAGACCUCUAUUGGACAUGUGCUGCAGGGGUGUCUCUCUCUGUUGCAAACAAUCACACACUAGCUAUCUUCGUGUAUCUCCUCGCCUCACUUUUCCAUCUCGAAGAUGCAUGCGUGAUAUGUUCGCAUAAGAAACGAAAAAACACACUCUCUCUCUAAUUUAUCGUUUGUUGUCACUUUCUCUUUCACACACAUACUCUUUUUGCACACUUACUCAUUCUCCUUCACACGCACUUGAUCUGUCUCGACUGAGGCACUCACCUCCGUCCAUAGCACAUAGAUUUAUUGAAAAGUCAAACAUCACAAAGUUUGACCAUGUACGUGGAGAAAAAGAAUUACAUCUAGUACGACAAACAUAUACCACUAGAUUCACCAUGAGAUGUAGUUUUGUAUGAUGUAUCUUUGGUAUUGUAGAUAUAAAUAACAUUUGCGUAAACCUGAUCAAAGUUUCCAAAGUUUGACUUCUAAAAAAUUUACAUGCACUGCAUUAUCGAGCGGAUGGAAUAUCUCUUUCCCCCUCUCAGCUCUCUGACGCACCACUCAGCCUUAUCGGGGCUCCUCAAUCUCUCUCAAACUUUAUUGGUCAGUUUGGUUCGUGACCUGACCCUCAUGCCUUGAUGGCCGGUACUGCCUGGUGUGGACGUGAGAUGUAAAAUAUUUCUGCCUGGCCAGGCUUGUGUGGUGCUGAAGCGUUUGGUUCAUGCCUAGGCCAGGCAAAGCAUCAACGUACCAUCAAUCAAUCCAUGCAUCAAUUAUUUAAUGCUAAUAUCCAUCCAUGUUGCUGUUAGCCUCCUGGUCGCACGACCAGGCACAGCCAGGCGUUCAAAAUCGGCCGCUUGGGCCAGGCUACUUGCAGUGUCUGGAGUUCAGCCAGGCUAAUUAAAGUGCAAGGGAACCCAGCCCAGACGGGCUUUCUUUUUCACAGGGUAGCAACCAAAGAAGCAUGCAUGAAAUCCAGCCACAACCCCAGGCCACGCAAAAGAUGCUCAAGACGCAAGCCAAACCGGCCUUAUAUCUCCCUGGUUCACACAUACACAUGUCUCGCUCGCUCUAUACAUAUAGACCCAUCCAAUACUCUCCGCCCUUGUUCUCUCUACAUGUGACACGCACCCCCCUAAGUACCAUAAUCUCUCACUCCAUCAUAGGCUUUAUUUGGAUCCAUGGGUUAGAGUUAGUUUGGGUUAGUUUGGAGUCAACUAACCCAAAAAGAUCCAAACUGGAGGGUUAGUUUAGGUUAGAUGCAUCUAACCCAUCCAAAAAAACUAACCCAUCCAAGAGGUGCUUAUUUGGGUUAGUUCUUCUCGGGACCACUAAUAAACACUUUUUCUCUCGCUCUCCCCGCAGCAGAUCCCUCCCUACUUCCUCGAAGAUUCUCGUCCUCUCCCUCUCGCACCGCCCGUGAAGGUGCCUCGCCGUAUCCGCGCUCCAUCUAACCCUGCCAUCCAAACAUCUCUUUACUUAAAGUUAGUUCAUGGUUAGUUCAGGGUUAGAAUCUAACUCUAACCUCUAACUGAGUUAGAAUAUCCAAACAGGGCCAUAGGCGCAAGCACACCCCCCCUCCUAAGUAUGAUUAUCUCUUACUAGCCAUCAGGAACACACGUAUUGUCUCCUUCCAUCCAUAUGUCUAUCUCGAUAUCUCUCGGGGCAUCUUCUAUCGCGCACACACCUUGUCACUCGAUCUCCCACCCAUGUAGUCCCAUCACGAUCUCCAGGGGAUCUCUCUAUGACAAACAUACACUCUAUCCUCCCCAUGUCUGCAUUUUCACCGUAUGUCUCUAUCGACCUCUCUCCCUUGUUUGUCAGACCCCUCUUGGCCACGUGCUAGCGGUCUUCCUCUCUCGGUUCCAAACAACCACACACUAUCUCCUCACCUUGCCUUCGUUGUCGAAGAUGCAUCUGUGAUAUGUUUGCAUAAGACACACACGCUUUUUCUCCACUUUUAUCGUGUGUUGUCCAUGUCUCUUUCACACACGCACACACACUUUUCUCUCUCUCUCUCUCUCUCUCUCUCUCUCGUUAGGGACUCUGUCACAUCCAUAAGCAUAUGGAUGUUUUGAAAAGUCAAACCUCAGAAAAGUUUGACCAGGUAUAUGUGGAGAAAAACAUUUACAUCUGGAACGAUCAUUAGAUUCAUCACAACAUGUAAUUACUUCAUACUAUCAUUUAUCUUUGGUAUUGCAGAUAUAAGUAAUUUCUUUAUAAACUUGGUCAAAGUUUCAAAAGUUUGACUUAAAAAAAUGUUGUAACUACAUUAUCAAACGGAGGGAGUAGCCCUUUCUCUCUCUCUCUCUGCUAUCUCUCACGGGCCUCCCCUCUCACUCGAACUCUCUAUACCGACGGAUUAUACGCUCACUGUGUCAGCGUAUAGCUCUGUAUAUUGUUUAGUUGACCGGUCAACCAAUCCACAUGCUGCGUUGUCAGCUCGUGUUCUGUAUCUUGGUGUGCUGGCCCAUGUGGUAGUGGGUGAAAAUAAGUAAACUAGAGGCCCAUCUGACACGCGGUGAAGGAAACAAUGUUGAAACCACUCGGGGUAGCACCCCGCAUGCUAGCAAAUUGAGGGCGCAUUGAGGACAAACUUCUAGCGCGUGAAGGACGCACUCGCGCACAAUUCACCACUGCGCGGCGGCAUGCACAGAAGGACGCACUGGCACACACCCAGCACACAACAGACACCAGCACACGUGUACACCGGCGUCGCCGCCGGUUGACUUCAUCAGCAGCCUCCCCAACGACAUGCUGCUCAUCAUCAUCGGCCUCCUCCCCACCAAAUCUGUCGUGCGGACCGCCCUACUCUCCCGGCGGUGGCGCCCCCUCUGGCGUUGCGUCCCCCUCAACCUCACCAUCGACAGCUGCCUUUGUGACGGGGAUUGCAAACGCAUGGUCAUAGUCUCCAAGAUCCUUUCAUCGCACCCUGGGCCAGCCAGACGCCUUGACAUCCGCAUGUUCAGUACCAACUGCAAGGUCCAACCCAAGUUUGACGAGUGGUUCUUAUCCCCCGCCCUAGAUCAGCUCGAGGAGCUCAGCUUUGAAGCUGGACGAUGUCGCUCUCUGUCACCGUCUGCGCUCCGCCUCACACCAACGCUGCGUCGCGCCAGCUUCAGCUCCUGCUAUCUUCCCCGGAUUAAUGUCGCACCUGCCCUCCUUCUCCCUCAACUCAAGCAGCUUGACCUCUUCGACGUUGUCAUCUCGAAGAAGGCUAUGGAGCACCUGCUUCGCAGCUGUACUGCGCUUGAGUACCUUCGUCUUGAGCAGAUCCACGGGUUCAUUAGCCUCCAUCGCCUCGACGAAUCUCUGAUGGAUUUAUGUAUCUUGCUGGUCCUGCAUCAAGACAUCAAUUGGGAAGAGAUCACUCCAGCUAUUCCACGUUAUGGUCAUUGAGAAUGCGCCUUUCCUUGAGAGAUUCCUUGUAUCGGAUCUAGAAGGUCCAACAAAAAUCGGGGUCAUUGACGCGCCGAAAUUGACAGCGUUGGUGUACUCGUCUGCCAAAUUCUCCGAACUCUUUAUUGGAUCUGUAAUCGUUCAGGUACAACACUCAUCUUCUUCUCCAUCUUCUUGAAAUUCACAUUUUUAAAUUUCUUCUUGAUGUAUUUACAACCGUCUUCCAGAAAAUGAUUCCCACAAGCUUGACCCAGUCCAUGCACACAGUGAAGAUCUUAGCACUAAAAUCUAUCGGCCCCAAUCUGGAUCAAGUUGUUGGAUUCCUUACAUGCUUUCCAUGCACGGAGAAGCUACUCAUCGAGGUGAAACUUCUUUCCUAUUAGUAAACGGUAGUCACAACGUAGCUAAUUUGUUUCGUAAUUUUCCCAAAUUACGAUGACAAGUGUAGUGUUCAAAACUACAUCUACGCACUGCACCGAAAGAAAUGUUUUUAGUAUUUUGUCUCACGUGAUCACCUGCAUCAUUUUUAUGUUGUAAUACUAUAGUAGCCUAGGCUAGUCAUAGUGGAAAGUAACUCAGACUACUCCAGUAACUCUAUGGUUACCCUAAGGGCAAGUACUACCUCCGUCCUGGUUUACUCUUCCAAUUUUGUAGUAUCAAAAAUUGACCAUAGAUUUAACUGACAAAAUGUUAAUGCAUGUCACUAAGAACUAUAUCAUUGGAUUCGUAUUUGAACAUAAUUUCAAAUGGUGUAAUUUUUAGUGACAUGCAUUGGCAUUUUCUUAGGUAAAUCUAUGGUCAAAAUUUUAUACUAAAUAUGAGGUAGUAUUCCCUCCGUCCCAAAAUUAUUGUCUUACAUUUGUUUAGAUACGGAUGUAUCUAACACUAAAAUGUAACUAGAUACAUCCGUAUUUAGACAAAUUUAAGACAAGAAUUUUGGGACGGAGGGAGUACAAAAGUGGGCUAUGUAGGCCAAAACAUGUGCCAAAUUCACUUGUGAUGCAUUUGCAUCGAUGCCCCUCCAUUGCUCACCUGGUGCCCCAAUCUGGAUCACCUACUUUGCUACAUUGCCAAAUUAACUCACGCAAUGAAAAAACACUGCAUGCGAGAGAGAGAGGACUGAGGCAAUAAAAAACACUAGUUUGGGAGAGUGAGAGGCUGGUGUAGUUGGUUUGAUUGAUUUGUUUAUACAUGUGGGUCUGUGUGCACAGCGGUGCCAACUCUCUCACAUCACGAGAGCGGUGCCAAAAUCUUUUGAUUUGACAUCAAUGCAUAUUAUGUGGCAUACUUUUGCGAAAUAUGGCAUCGGCCACAUAGUGGAAGGAAAGAAAUGCCCAAGCUCUUCACGUGCUCCUAGUUAAAUGAGAGGAAACAGAAAGAGAGAGAGAGGGAGAGAGAGAGAGAGUGAAAAAAUAUCACUAGCCAGCCAACCCUAUUGUAUGAGCAAAUGAUAUUGGUACCUCUUGAUGACACGGCAAUCUUAUGCAGCCAGCUGCUCUAAUAUGUUCUCUUCUUUUGCAGAUAAGAAAAGACCCAAAAAUGAAAAAUGUGCUGCACUAUAACAAUCUCAUCGAAUGACUUGAUCUCCAUCUUACAGAAAUUGAUUUGAUCGACUACCGAGGCAGCACAUCUGAGAUUAAAUUGGCGAGGUUCUUUGUUCUGGAGGCAAGUGUGCUCAAGGUAAUGAGGUUUGGCGUUCUCUGGUGCAACAAUGAAUGGCGUGCUGAUCACCGUAAGCGUCUAAGCCUAAAUGACAAAGUCUCCGCAGAAGCUGAAUUUGUUUUUGAAACAUCAAGUGGCCAGAGACUCGAAAACUUAUUUGCCCAUUAGUGACUUGUCAGGGCGGUGGAUUUUAGUUUGUACGAUAACGCUGCAUCCACCUAAAGUAACGAAACUUCUUACAUAAACUUCCUAGUAAUUCCCUCUUCCUAGGUGCAGCAUUACUCCUGACAUUUGUAAUAUCAGUUUGAAACUUGUAAUAUUGCCAUGCCCUAUUCCUGCGUUUUCAAAAUCCUGCGAAUCAAACAGGUCCUGAGUUGGUGAUGAUGUUGUGCCUCCCAUCUUUCACCAAUAGCCGUCGGAUCUAGAUCUGACGCAUACAAACCAAGCUUCUCCAUUUUUGCAAAAAUAUGCCCGCACUUGUUCCCUAUUUACAAACAACUCCUUGUCUCUCACAAUCAGCCUUAUAUCCUCCCCACCACAUCAAGGCCAUGUAAAAAUCUGGCACGAUGGCCGCUGCCGGAGCCAUCCACCCCCAAUCUUGGUGUUCCGUGCAAUGCACGGGCAUCCACGCAUGGGAAAUUAUAUCGAACAGGGCUAGUUGUAAGCAGGCCAGCUCUACAGCCAUGAUGAUAGUGACUGCAGAUGGUGAGGCUGACUAUGGUAUGCCGAACACGGCGCCUAUACUCAGGUGUCAUCUCCGGCGCAGGGUCUUGUCACUUCAUUGUGAGGAGCAGCACGUAAUAAUUUGACCAACGGGUUGUACAAUGCUAGUACUCCUAGGAGUACUACAUUGGUAGUACUACUACUAGUACUAGUAGCACCACCGUAUGGAUUUAGGAGUACUACCACGUCCAUCUGGAUUUUAGUAUUUGACUAGCAAUAUCUAGUAAUGCAUGUCACAAAAAAUGUACUACUCCCUCUGUAAAUAAAUACAUGGUGUUUUAUUCCUGUUGGCGAGAGAACUUAAUGUUUUUUUGCUAACUAGAGUCUUAAUAGGAUAACAUGCAAUGAACUAAAUACUGCAUCUCAUGUUUGGUAGUCUCAAGUCAUUGAAAGCAUGCACGGCCCACAUCUCUCAUUGGUUGAUAUGUCACGAAAUAAGAAACAAUGAGGGAGUUAAUGCAUCGUGCCUAAGUGUUUUGGGAUUAUUUGGUUUUCGUAAUGUGACUGACACAACAUUUUUGUUUACAUGCAUUAACAUUUUAUUAGUUAAAUCAAAGGUCUAAACUUGGCACAAAAUGCAAAGGGGACCAAUAAACCAAUAAACAUCAAACUUCUCUCGUUUGGCCCCAACUAGAGGUCUGGUGAGAUGACUAUACUGCACCGGCACGGAGGGGGGCACAACUUCAUUAGGUGAAUGACACGUGGGCCCAGGGGGUGGCUGACCCACCUAUCAUACAGCCAAAGGCAUGUGCAGUAGAGGGCCGAGGAGUAGUACGAAAUCCUAUGCACCUACACAUGCUAACCAAGGGCAAGAGUGAUCACUCGAAUCGCAAGAUCAGUUGAUUACUACCUCCAUCCUGGUUUAUUAGUCUCCUUUGUAAUUUGUGCUAAAUUUUGACCAAAGAUGUAACUAACAAAAUGUUGAUGCAUGUCAACAAAAAUUAUAUUUUUGGAUUCGUAUUUGAACAUAGUUUUCAGUGAUAUAAUUUUUAGUAACAUCUGUAAACAUUUUGUUAGUUAAAUCUAUGGUCAAAAUUUGACACGGAUUACAAUGGGGACCAAUAAACCAGGACGGAGGUAGUAGAAGCUAAGCUAGACCCAUGGAGGCGAUGAGCGCGAGCAUCAGCCGGCUGUGCCAGAUGGUCCACGACGCCGGCCUGCGGCCCAGCAACGAGGAACGUCUCCAGGUAGUAUUGCUUGAGGCCGGCAGGGUGAGGGGCCGCUUGGACAACAACUUCGUCUCCUUGUUCGACGAGGUCCUCGUCGGUUUCCUCGACAAGUUCACUGUCGUCAAGAAGCUUGCGGACGACUUUGACGUAAGCCUCCAGCCGAUGCGCCCAGGCUCUGCGAUGCCCGCCACCCUCAACAACCACUAUGGUGACAACCUCUUCGACGCACUGGUGGCCCUGUGACUGCCCACCGUCGCGCCGGAGAAUGUCCACCUCGAGGUCGUGCUCGCCGUGCAGCGCCUGGCGCAGCAAGACACCAUCGACAUAAUCACCCACGUCUACGCACAUGCAAGAGGAGGACGAUAGGAUGCUGGCCUUCUUGGACCGCAGGGCAACCUUGGACAACACUGUUCAGAAGCACGUUGAGCUCGCCGCCAACGCUGCUGCUCCUCACACGUCGGUUGGUGACCGGGCGCACUAGGGCGUGAGGAUGUCGUUGAUGGAUCCAUAUGUAUUUUUAUCUUUCCAUCAAAUCCAUGUAGUAGUAUAUGAUACUACAGUAAUUAUCUUACCGUUCGCAUCAACUUCAUAAUUUUCGUACGUACUCCAUGCAUGAACGCGCCAGAACCAAACUUCUCAUUACUCUAGGAAAAAUCGUUAUUUUCUAUCUAUCGAUCGCGUCAUGGAGCAGAACCAAAUUUUACAAGUUAUGAGUUCAAAAGGAAAAGCUUGCCGUGUUCGUGUCGCACCCGCACACAGUUGUUCCGGCACACCGCUCAAGCGGGAAUGCGUGCGGUGUUGCAUUUUCACUUACAAGUGGGACCGUAGUUGAGCAAACCGACUAUCGGCAAACCCCCACCCCGCCCACCGCGUGAUGGCUGAGAAAACAGGAGGGAGAAGAGACGGUUGUAGCACGGACUCCAAGAAAAUUGGUGUCGGAUGGGACUCGUGUGGGUGGCGUGUGCCGUACUGCUAGACAUGAAUUCUAGUUAUGGCCCAUGCCACCCCACUAUAUCGAGCCUAUAUCGAGGUACGUAGAACAAAUUUCCUGCAGUCUGUGCUCAGCACUCCUCUAUCUCUCUUCUUAGCCAGCGAGCGGACGCGCGGAGCCCAUCGUAUGUUUGCUCACAUGCGGUCCCACAUGUCAGUGAAAAUGCAAGUGGACCCACUGAACCUGCACAUCUUUCACCUCGACGUGCUGGUGAUGAAAAACAAAUCCAAUAAAGAUCUUCGAUGGAUGCUUUUGGAGUUACUCAAGAGUAGUAAGGUUCUAUUUACAGUUUAACCCAAGAUGCACAUCUCGUGGCUUCAACUACCACUCUAUUUUCUUUCAUGACACGACUUGGAUGCUGGAUGUCCCACAUGUCGGCAAAAGGAGGAAGAACCCGACCAAAUCUUCGGUUGUGCUUUCGGAUUAAACUAGUUGUGCUAACUUAAAAAAUUUAUUGUGUACUCCCUCCAUACCAAAAUACUUGACUUCCAUUUGUCAAAAAAUGGAUGUACCUAUAUACUAAAACAUGUCUAGAUACAUAUAUAUUUUGACAAAUAGAAGGCAUGUAUUGCGCAACAGAGGGAGUAGAAUGGACGCAAGUUUUUGUAUUGGGAAGAAGAGUACAUCCAUAUAUUGAUAGAGCACAAUUUAGUAGAUGUUCUAUCACUUUUAGCUAGCACAAAGGCUAUAGAUGAGAUUAGUGCACUCGUUGAUACUCCUACUUGGUAUGCGUGUUGCUACUUAGACGCAAAGAAAAAUGGACCGGAGGGAGUACUAGAAUAGAGGCUAGACAUGAGACUAGAUGCGAGGAAGCAACGUCUACUUCUUUACACUCGAAGAAGAAAGAAGCACGCAAGAUCGAGCCUCCGUAGAUCAACAAUGAAUGCAUCGAGAAAGCACUAAUCCAACUUACAGGAGUAGUAAAAUGUAUUCUUGUGGUUCUUGUUUUCUUUGGUCUUGCUUUUCUAGUCAAAAUUAUCGUUGGAGUUCGUGCAAAACGGAGGUCCGUUUGGGGUCGUGCGUUGCAGUUGGCCUUACAAGUGGGACCGCAGUUAAGGAAACCGACUAUCGGCAAACCCCCACCUCGCUCGCCGCGUGAUGGCUGAGUUAGAGAAACGAUGAGGUUGAAGAGAUUGCUCUAGCACGGACUCCAAGAAAUAUGGUGUCAGAUGGAAGUCGUGCUGGUGGCAUGUGCCGUACUCCUGGACGUGAAUGCUUGUUCUGGCCCAUGCCACCCUACUACUCCUACUACUUACUACUCCCUCUGUCCCAAAAUAUGUGUCUCAAGCUUAGUACAACUUUUUACUAGAGUUAGUACAAAGUUGGGACACUUAUUUUGAGACGGAGGGAGUAAUAUAUAGUACUACUAGUAUCGAGGAUUCGAGGUGCUGGUUACGUAGUACAAUAUGGCUACAGUAAAAACACCCGCACGACGCGUGAAGCAUGUGAAGCUAGUACAAAUAGUGUGCUACUAUUGUUGAUUGGCCUCAUCCGAUAACCUGUUGCAAUGCACGUACAAUUAUGUAUUCGGAAAAUAUUUUUUGCCUCGUCGCACCACUCACUCACAGAAGCAACUCGAAAGCCAUUCAUAAAUUUAGUAAGUUUAUCACAGGCAUAUCAUUUUAUUACAUACAAUAGGUCAUCAACCCACAUCGACAACGAGGAUACAUUAUAAAUACUAAAGUUUUCACCACACAACAAAUAACAAGCAAUGAAAUGAACUUCAACUCAACCAUUCCUCGGCGUUGGAAACGCUUGCUUUGAACCACAAGUGAUUCUCUGGGACGGGCCAUCCAUUGUCGAUCUAGAGACCAACGCGGGACUGAUCAUCCAGGCUGAAGCGGCCUACUAUAUCAGUACCAGGGUAGGGAACCAUCCAAAUGUCCGAGGUACAGACACAGUUGCUUCUCAUAAAUGGUAGUAAUGUUGUGUCAACAGCAGUUGGAUCGCCUUUCACCCUCAUUGGAUAGUUUUGUCCAAGGAAGAGCGAGUUUUCUCCAAGACUAUCAAUUCUGUACCAGGGAGAAGGAGUUGGCGCUAGCACACUAGUAUCCAUCCUGAAUACCAUGCAACGGGUGUUGGAAUAGGUCCGGAGAGUGCGACCAUGGGAGACUACACCUGCUUCCUUAGCAGUAACAUCAUUAGUGGGUUGUAUACACACGAGAAGACGUGAUCCAUCGGAAUUAGUUGCCAGGCGCCAAAUAGUAUAUGGCUGUUGCUCGUCCUCAUGCUCAUGAUCAUCACCAUCAUCAUCUCCCCCUUGGUUAUAAAAAUCUUCAAGUAUAGGUGGUGGAAUGUUCACAGGACCUUGGAAACACAAGAAGAAGGUUAAUUAGUAAGGCUGGCCAUAGUGGGGGUAACAUAAGUAGUAUCAUGCACUUGGGACUCGCAAACAUGCUUAUGUGGCAGGCAAUUAAGGAAGAGAGAGAUGGUUAUAGUAACAUAGGUAGAUACCGUAACAUAAUAAAUGUGAUGCUACUAUGUGUCAUGCAUGGCAAUAAAUGAGACCACCUAUGAUACUAAUCUAAGAUACUAUGCACUAUAGAGGUAGUAACAUAAACUAGUAACAUAUGCAUGUUACUAGUCUAAGUUACUUCCCACUAUGACCAGCCUAAAGGGAAACUUGCAAACCCGCAUGCAUGUGGAUGAAACAAUUAUAAUUACGGUGGAAGACAAACGUACCAAAACAAUGAGGAUGCCAUGCAAAAACAGUGCCACGAGUGGUGGCAGCAAACACAAGGCCCUCGUAUUAAAUUGCAUCACAGUACUCAUCCAUGUACAGAAACUGAUUUUUGAGCAAUAUCCAUCCAGUCAAACCACUGAGGAUGGCAACAAGCUUGUCGAAGAUAGCAACAACUUCAUAGUUGUUGUAAUUCCAAGAGAGUUUGGGGACUCGAGAAAUUGCUAUCUUCCGUAGAAGACAGUCACCAUGAUUGUAUUUGAACGUGCGUACAAUACCGGUGUGGUCAACCUCUGGGCAGUCUGCUGAGAUUUUUGGAAGUGGAACCCGGACACGAGUGUAGACAUUCACAAGUUCCCACUCGCAGUUGGACCCAAUGUAAACAACCCAAUCUCCAUUUGCGCCUGCCCAAGCCUUGCCCUCAAGCGAUGGCAUCUUGACAUUAUAUACGUAUCAUUAUCAAGCGGCAUCAACUUGCACAGGGCGAGGCCUCCAUCGUGAUGGCGCCAGUCAUCAGGGUCACGGCAAAGAAGAUAGGGGAGAUCAAACCGCUCCUUGACUCUUGGGUUCCUUGUAAUGAUGUUAUUAGUUGAGUCGAGAAUGGGCUUGAACGAACCUGCCAUGCUAGUCGAGGUGAUGAUGUCACACUAAUCAAUGAGUUCCUCCACCACAUCAUCUUUCAGAUCGGGGCAAGAAUAACGGGGUCGUUUCUGUCCUGUUCCCUCCAUCGAGAAGACGAUCGAACAAUGGCAGAAGAAAGGGUGAAGGGAUGAAGGAAAAUGGAGGAGGGAGAGGAAGACCGUGCGACAACAGUUCCAAAUCGAGAAGGAAAGGCGAAGAGUCAGUGGACGGUUGCCAGUUUGUGACGGUUCACGAAGGGGCGCCCGGCCUACACAUCAGUACGGAAAUACUCCUACUACUCGCUGUCCUCUCACUGAUAUGUGGAACGGGACCACAUGUCAACGAAACAUGGUGUGUAAUUUCUCGUGCAAAAUGCAAUCUGGCCGUGUUGGCCCGAGGUGCCGCAUUAGUUAUCGACCUUUAUUUUUUUAAUGGCGUGCCGUUCAGUUUUGAAGCACGACUAACUGGUACUGUACGUAGAGAAAAUAUAAACUACUCUACCACUACUCCACCUCCAGUACUAGUAGUAUAAAGAAGAUAUAUAGGCUCGAGCUUCAACGCUUUCUUGCCAAGGGCUGCCCACUUGCUUUUCACACUACCACCCUCUCUCCAGAUCUAAAAAAGACGGCCCCUCUCUCCCUCCUCACCGGUGGUCAUAGAUCCACCGGGUAAUAAAAGGACGUUUAGCGUUGACGCGCUCGUCAUCGGUGAGCGAGGUCACGCACUAACGACAAGGCCGUCCUCUCAGACCUAGCACCCGUGCGGGAUGGCCUCCAUCCCCAAGCUUGCUGCCGUAGUGUGUGCGGAGGACGCCGACCACGAGUGAAGCUACUUCCCACCGAUCCUCAGGUAUGCUACCUCUUUUCGAACCAUACCCUUGUUCUGUUGCCCCAUCUGGCACGUCGUUGCAUGUGGAUCUUUUUCCACUCCACCAUCUUCCCAAUUUGCUAUCCUCUGCUCUGCUGGCCACGCAGACGAAAACCAUAAUUUGCACUAUUAAAGGAAACCCUACUUCACGCAGACUAAUGCAUGUCUGGGUUGAAUAAGGAAAGGAAGGGAGACUGUACUGUCCAAGAGAGUAUGCAUCGAACCCGCAUCUAGGUUGAAAAGGGGAAAAUCAGUAGCUAAGGAACGAGUCUCGUGUCUCUUGGUUGAAGAAGGGUAGAAACGCAUGACAACGCAAUAGAGAAUGACCAGGUCGAUCGGUUUGUUGUCCUCACAUAGGAAAAAGGUGGCUAAAGAGAACAAAAAUGGGGCGUAAUCCACAUAUGUUGCCUGGAUAUUUGUUGCUCUGGGCAACCAUACCUCCCUCACCACUCUGCGUCCGUGGAGGUACAUCGUACUGGUGCGCCCACUAUACGAAUGGGCCUCCCAUGCUCUUAUUGCCACUUUUUUUGCUGUUAGUAUAAUGCCAGCAGUCAAGUAAAGCAAUGCUACUACUAAAGUGAUGCCACAUUUAACUAAUGCCGCUCUCAGUCUAAUGCCGUAGAUAAAUUUAAGUAGUGCCAUUUAAUGCCACUGGAUCAUUUCAGGGUUAGCUGUUGAUUGUGCAUGUAUUAAAGACUUUUCAGCUAAGGCAUUCUAAUGUUGUUGCACAGCCAGUAUACCAACGAUGAAACUUGUUACUACCUUAAAAAUUUUGCACAUUUAAUGCUUAUAGAUUACAUACCUCACUUUCAUGAGAUAAGUUAAUUUUUUUUGUACAGUGUCACCAAAAUUCCAAGGCGCUGAUGUCAUUUUAUUUUGGUUAAACUGCACAGACAAUUAUGAAGACAAGAGGAAAGGUCAAGAGUGGGCACCUCCUCCUCCGGCUGUUCUCUUGAUUUGUUCGAUCAAGUUUUUAUGUUUGAUCGAUUAUCAAGAUUGGCAUAGCAAUUUUUAAGGUCCCCCCGAGUUCGAAAUGAUAUUUACCUUGGAGGUACAUGGUUUGCAAUUUUUUUAUACUUUCAUUAGUUAAUAAUGCUAGUUACCUUCAGACUUCUGUAUUUGGUUUAAUGCUCAUGCACAGCUAGUAUACCAAUGCUGAAACUUGUUACCUUUACAUUUUGUAUUGUUAAUUCUUAUAGAAACCUUCCAGUGCUAGAGUUUAUUGAAAUCUGUUCAGUAAAACCAUUGUACUGUACCCUGUAAUAAACUUACUACUCUACUGUUGCACUAGCCACUGGAUUAGUGUAUAUUUGUAGUAUUCGAAUGGUGUUGCAUUAGCAUAUGGACAUAAAUAAAGUGUGGCAAGCUUUCCCAGAUAUGUGCUCAAGAAAACUACUACCUGUUUUUCUAAAUACUAGACGUUUGGGUACUUUAAAUUGAACCAUGAAAACAUCUUAUAUUAAGGAACAGAGGGUGUAGAGUUCACUCAAAUUAUCCCGGUAAAGCUAGUCACACCUUUGUUAAAAUUAAUGUUCAUUAUGUUAUCGGAGGAGGUCUGUAUGUUUGUCUCUAAUGCCUGUCUACUACAUACCCGACAUCAUGACGUAAUGUUAAGUCAUUUCCUUUUGUACAGUGUCACUAAAUUGUCAAGGCGGUGAUGGCAUUUUAUUUUAGUAUAACUGCACAAAAUUUGCUUAAAAGAAGAGGAAAGGUCAGGAAUGGCUCGGUUUUUUAGAAAAAACUAUGUAUGCCUUCCUGACAUCAGCCGCCGUUGCUUUAUUUAUUCCUUCAAGUAGGUGGUUAGAAACAGUCUUGCUACCUUUUCCCAUUAAGAAAUUGGAAUGCUUAUAUUUGUGAGUCUAUGCUUCAACUAGUGCCACUUUUAUAGUAAUCACACUUUCAAUAUCUAUGCAAACAGGGAUGCUCGAUUUUAGUGGAGCUACACAAAAAGUCCAACUGGUUCAACAUUAGGAGCAUCUUUUUUUCCAAACCUUUAUAUCCAAUUGGUGGCACUAUGAGCUGUUCAUUCCGAAGGUACAUGGUUUGCUACUAUCUUGCUACUGUUUUUGUACUGUCAUUAGAUAUUAAUACUAGUGGUUUGCAUGUGAAUUUAUUGGCAGGGUGGACCUACAUUGGAGGUGCAGGACAGGAUUCAAUGAUUGGAUGCUCAAUUUCGGUUGUAUCGAUUUCACCUCUUCCAUCAGUGCAAACAUGGUGUGGUAUAUGUUUACUAGCUGCUUGAUAUUUGUGCAGACAGAGAUGUCUGCCCGUUGCUAUUUGACAAACAAACAAAGUGUCCGCAAUUUUGGUUGAACUGCACAAGAGAAUAGUAUAGUCACUGCAUGCAGUGCCAUUUGAAAAUAGACACAAAGAUUGGAUAGUCACUUCAUGGACUACAGAAAAGUAGGACUGUACUAUUUACUGGCCAACACUAGGUGCUUCAUUGCUUUGGUCUGAUUAUACAAUGGGCAUCAUUUUCCCUAAGUUAAAGUUUGUAUUCCGAAAAUAGUCUCGCAGUGUGAUCGAGAGAAGACCAAAUCAUAUUGCAGUGGAUGUUCCUCCAUCAUGUGUGGUUCAUUCUCAUGGUUCCAGGUGUUGGUGAAACCACUUACGUUUGCAAGAGGAAUUGUAGACUUCACAAACAAAUUUGUCUUUCAGUCUGUACUGAAUGUUGGCCAAGAGAAGCAUCCACGUUAGUAGGAGGAACAGAUGUUUUUUCUAGAUCUUUGCUUUUGGAGCUACAUAUUUGUAUAUGAUCUGUGAAUCAUUGAGAUGCAUUAACAUGUUGAUCUUAUGUAUGGGAAUCAUACUAGUUAGUUUUAGUUGCGACGCAAGAUCCGAAGUGGCUGAUCUUUGCUUUUGGAGCUACAUAUUUGUAUAUGAUCUGUGAAUCACUGAGAUGCAUUAACAGUUACUUAUUUCUAUUCACUCAGUGUUUACAAGUUACUGAUCGAUCACUAGCUAGCCUACAAAUGCGCUCCUGGUAGUUUUAUUUGCGACGCAAGAUGCAAAGUGGCAGUUUUUUGAAUAAAAAUGCCUACCUCUGAAGAAACUGACAAGCUACACUAUCGAUCCUACACGGAUAAAAAUGCCUACCUCUGAAGAAACUGUCAAGCUACACUAUCGAUCCUACACGGAUAAAUAGCGGAUCACGCACAUACUACUUCCUUUCCGGUUUGCAGGGCUCAAUUCAAGAAACGACCUACUCGAUCCUACACGAAUAAAUAGCGGAUCACGCACGUACUAGUACCUCCUUUCCGGUUUGUAGGGCUUAAUUCAAACCUCUCACCAACCAAGGUACUCCCUCCGUCCAGGUUUAUUAGUCCCGUGAGCAAAGCAGCAAGACCAAGGCAUGGCAAUAAUUAACGGCAUGCAGAAGUUUAAGCCUAAUUAAUUCCAGUGAUUUAAGUGGCUGCAUGCGUGCCCUCGGAUGCGACUCGUUGCAUGCUGCUUCGCGUACUGCCUGUGAGCGAUUCUGAGUGCCUGCAUGUGGCCGGCCGUAAUUAAGGCAGCUAACUGAUGCGAAAAAAGAUACACUUCAAUUGUUGCGGGCUUUUUAAAUCCGUGAAAUCAUUAUUGACAAGGAGGGAGAUGAUUCGAGUGCACUCGUUUGACCGCCAUGCCGGCGUGCGACCCAGACGGGAUGGGACGGCACAGUCAUAAUUUCAGUUUCCCUAGUUUUCGACGGCAAGCUGGCGCGCUAAGCCAUUAUGCAUUGAAUUCUGAUGACCGUCGCGCUACCUUCCCCCUAUAAGUACUGUUUCCCGGCCUUCUCCAGUGCCACCGUGACCCAACUCGCCAUAUCCUCAUAAGCCCCCACCGGCCCGACGUCGCUCGCCAUGUCCGCCAUGCCCCCGGCCGUCCGUGGUAGGCGACGUUGAAGGCGGUCACCGCCGUAACUAGUGUUCGGUUUUUCACCGGAAGGCAGACGGAGGGAGGAGGCAUUCUAUCUGUCUUUAGAUGGCAAUGCGCAGAUCGAGGAGUUGUUGGAGCGCGACCGCAUGAUGGAGGAGCAGGAGUUGUUGGAGCGCGACCGCCUGGUGGAGGAGUAGCGUAUCACCGAUUUGCGCCGCCAGCGGGACAUGGAGCAGCAGCGCACCGACGCUCUGAGUCGCGAGCAAAGCGCCCGCAACUGGGCCGACUACGUGGAGGCUGGUGCCCGACAAAUAGCCCUGGAGGCUGUCGGGCACGCACACAAGGUCAUGGCAGUACGCAAGCAAGUGCCUCCUUAUUUAAAGCCAAUAAAAAAAGUGGCUCCUCCUAGUGGAUUUCUGACAUCUGGGUCUCAUGCCAUUGUCAACGUAGUCAAUAAACGAGAGAAUUGCACAACGAGCGGCUAACACCAGGGACCCAGCAGCUCGCCCAGUUAUUUUUGUUUUGGGUUAAUUUGAUAAAUGCCUCCGAGCAAUGCCACUUCAAUUUCCAAACUUUGAAAAAUGCCAUUUCAUGCCAUUUCUAGUGGCAUUUUUUGAAGUCUGGAGUGGCGUUUUUCAAAGUUUGCAAACUACAGUGGCGUUUUUCAAAGUUUGCAAAAAUUGAAGUGGCAUUUUUCAAAGUUUGGAAAUUGCAGUGGCAUUUUUAUGAAUCGCCAUAAUUGGAGUGGCAUUUAUCUAAUUUGUUUUUGAGACGGAAGCAGGGUGUCAACUGGGUUGUGCGGGACACUCUGGCCUGUCUAGACAGCCUUUUCUUUUAUGUUUACCACAGACCAGCCCAGUAGUUUUUUUUUCUUUUUGAAAAUGGCUAGCCCAGUUUUUUUGUGAUUUGUCAAGUAAGUCACUUUAUCAGGCCUGUUGGGCUAGACGAGGAGAGCUUCAUUUGGCUGGCCGAGAAAAUGGCCUAUCAGUAAUGAGAAAUGUGUUGUACAUUUUUAAAACACAUCAAACCGGUAAUUAGUUUCAAAUAUCUUUUUUUCAUUUCGAGAUUUUAAAUUGCAUUGAUUUUUAUGCGUGGACAAUUUAUUGGAUUUUAUAUUGAUAUAAAUUUAUUUUUAAAAUCAGUCUGAAUGUGACUCGAAAUUUUGGGAUUAAAAAUAGUUCAGACCGCACCGACAUAUGCAAAAUUUCGUAUAAUUUUUUAACCGUGGCCACAAUAUGGGCUGUAAUACUAACAAAAAGAAUAUGGGCUCCAAAAAAACUCGUAAGAAUUAGCAAAUGGGCUGUAAACUAUUUGAAAUAAUGGCAGAUGGGUUGUAUGCUGUUUUCCACAGAUUUGAGGCUUUCCAUAGAUGGCAUGUAUACUGUUGGAUGUCCAUCCAACGGCCGUCGUGCUUCUUCAAUCUCUACUCUUCCUGCUCCAGCAGCUCAAACAAGCGCCAGCGGGACUGCCUGCUCCCUCCUCCCCGUGGCCGGCUGUGCUGCCACGCAGGCCUCACCGCCCCACCGUACUCCCAUCGCUGGCCUAGCUAUCCCUCUACUCACUCUCAGUCCCACACAUGCUGUUAUUCUCUGGCGACGGCAGACGAACCAGUUAACCCUUGUACUCCUCCGCGUGGGAAACAACAGCCGAGUAUUCCCUGGCUCCGUGUCGUUCCCUUCCUAUGGCUCGCCGUCGUCCACUGCCCUAGUGCUCUCGGCGCGGCCUGGUCAACGUGGUCAAUAAACGACAUCCAUCGGAAGUGGACUGUACGUGGAGAGGCUGACAGCUGGGUCCACGGCCGCACGCAAGGAAAUGCCUCCUUAUUACGCGCAAAAUAAUGAUUCCUCCACCUGACAUCUGGGACCCACCGAAAGGGCCUCUGUAUUUCGCGAAAAAACGUUACCGCCGCUGAUAGCUCGGACCCACCAGCUAUAUCUUCGCACGCAAGGAAGUGCCUCCGUAUUACACCCAAAAAAAAGAAUACUCCCCCUGCUAGCUGGGACCCAGUAUAGUGGGCCUACUAAGUUGACGGGGACGAAGGGCUUUGUCAACUUAGUCAAUAUUCAUGAUUCUAGCUCGAUUGACCGUACGAUGUCCAUCCAACGGCCGUAGUGCUUCUUCAACCUCUGGUCUUCUUGCUCCAGCCGCCCAAAGCAGCGCCGGUCAUGCCGCCUGCUCCUGCCUUCCAUGGCCGGCUGUGUUACCGCGAAGGCCUCACCGCCCCCAUACUACUCCCACCGCUGGCCAGGCCAUCCCUACACUCCACUCACCCACACCCCCCUGUUAUUCUGUGGCGAUGGCAGUGCAGCCGAACCAGUAAACCCUCGUACUCCUCUCCGCGUGGGCAUCCACUACCGCGUCUUCCUCGGCUCUGCGUCGUCCCCUUCCUAGGCCUCGCCGUUGUCCACUGCUGUGAUGCUCUCGGCGCGGCGUGGUCAAUGUGGUCAACGACCGAAUUUUCGGGGAACGUAGUAAUUUCAAAAAAUUUCCUACGCACAUGCAAGAUCAUGGUGAUGCAUAGCAACGAGAGGGGAGAGUGUUGUCCACGUACCCUCGUAGACCGUAAGCGGAAGCGUUAUGACAACGCGGUUGAUGUAGUCGUACGUCUUCACGAUCCGACCGAUCCAAGAACCGAACGUACGGCACCUCCGAGUUCAGCACACGUUCAGCUCGAUGACGAUCCCCAGACUCGGAUCCAGCAGGGUGUCGGGGAUGAGUUCCGUCAGCACGACGGCAUGGUGACGAUGAUGACGUUCUACUGACGCAGGGCUUCGCCUAAGCAUCGCAACGAUAUGACCGAGGUGGAAUAUGGUGGAGGGGGGCACCGCACACGGCUAAGGAACGAUCACGAUGAUCAACUUGUUUGUCUAGAGGUGCCCCCUUGCCCCGGUAUAUAAAGGAGGGAGGGGGAGGUGCGAUCGGCCCCCUAGGGGUGCGCAUGGAGGAGUCCUACUCCCACCGGGAGUAGGACUCCCCCCUCUUGCCUUGGUGGAGAAGGAAAGGGGGGCGCCGCCCCCCCCCCCUUCCUUGUCCUAUUCGGACUAGGGGGAGGGGGUGCGCGGCCUGCCCUAGUCGGCCCUCCUCUUCUCCCUCAUGGCCCAUGUAGGCCCAUUAACCCCCAGGGGGUUCCGGUAACCCCCCCGGUACUCCGGUAAAAUCCCGAUUUCACCCGGAACGUUUCCGAUAUCCAAAUAUAGGCUUCCAAUAUAUCAAUCUUUAUGUCUCAACCAUUUCGAGACUCCUCGUCAUGUCCCUGAUCACAUCCGGGACUCUGAACAACCUUCGGUACAUCAAAACUUAUAAACUCAUAAUGAAACUGUCAUCGUAACAUUAAGCGUGCGGACCCUACGGGUUCGAGAACUAUGUAGACAUGACCUAGAACUGUUUCCGGUCAAUAACCAAUAGCGGAACCUGGAUGCUCAUAAUUGCUCCUACAUAUUCUACGAAGAUCUUUAUCGGUCAAAUCGCAUAACAACAUACGUUGUUCCCUUUGUCAUCAGUAUGUUACUUGCCCGAGAUUCGAUCAUCGGUAUCCAAUACCUAGUUCAAUCUCGUUACCGGCAAGUCUCUUUACUCGUUACGUAAUGCAUCAUUCCGUAACUAACUCAUUAGCUACAUUGCUUGCAAGGCUUAUAGUGAUGUGCAUUACCGAGAGGGCCCAGAGAUACCUCUCCGACAAUCAGAGUGACAAAUCCUAAUCUCGAAAUACGCCAACUCAACAUGUACCUUCGGAGACACCUGUAGAGCUCCUUUAUAAUCACCCAGUUACGUUGUGACGUUUGGCAGCACACAAAGUGUUCCUCCGGUAAAUGGGAGUUGCAUAAUCUCAUAGUUGUAGGAACUUUGUAUAAGUCAUGAAGAAAGCAAUAGCAACAUACUAAACGAUCAAGUGCUAGGCUAACGGAAUGGGUCAAGUCAAUCACAUAAUUCUCCUAAUGAUGUGAUCCCGUUAAUCAAAUGAGAACACAUGUCUAUGGUUAGGAAACAUAACCAUCAUUGAUUAAUGAGCUAGUCAAGUAGAGGCAUACUUGUGACAUUAAGUUUGUCUAUGUAUUCACACAUGUAUUAUGUUUCCGGUUAAUACAAUUCUAGCAUGAAUAAUAAUCAUUUAUCAUGAUAUGAAGAAAUAAAAAAUAACUUUAUUAUUGCCUCUAGGGCAUAUUUCCUUCAGUCUCCCACAUGCACUAGAGUCAAUAAUCUAGAUUACACAGUAACGAUUCUAACACCCAUGGAGUCUUGGUGCUGAUCAUGUUUUGCUCGUGGAAGAGGCUUAGUCAACGGGUCUGCAACAUUCAGAUCCGUAUGUAUCUUGCAAAUCUCUAUGUCUCCCACCUAGACUUGGUCCCGAAUGGAAUUGAAGCGUCUCUUGAUGUGCUUGGUCCUCUUGUGAAAUCUGGAUUCCUUUGCCAAGGCAAUUGCACCAGUAUUGUCACAGAAGAUCUUCAUUGGUCCCGAUGCACUAGGUAUGACACCUAGAUCGAAAAUGAACUCUUUCAUCCAGACUCCUUCAUUUGCUGCUUCCGAAGCAGCUAUGUACUCCGCUUCGCAUGUAGAUCCUGCCACGACGCUUUGUUUAGAACUGCACCAACUUACAGCUCCACUGUUUAAUAAAAACACGUAUCCAGUUUGCGAUUUAGAAUUGUCCGGAUCAGUGUCAAAGCUUGCAUCGACGUAACCAUUUACGACUAGCUCUUUGUCACCUCCAUAAACGAGAAACAUAUCCUUAGUCCUUUUCAGGUAUUUCAGGAUGUUCUUGACCGCUGUCCAGUGAUCCACUCCUGGAUUACUUUGGUACCUACCUGCCAAGCUUAUUGCUAAGCAUACGUCAGGUCUGGUACACAGCAUUGCAUACAUGAUAGAGCCUAUGGCUGAAGCAUAGGGAACAUCUUUCAUUUUCUCUCUAUCUUCUGCUGUGGUCGGGCAUUGAGUCUGACUCAACUUCACACCUUGUAAUGCAGGCAAGAACCCUUUCUUUGCCUGAUCCAUUUUGAACUUUUUCAAAACUUUAUCAAGGUAUGUGCUUUGUGAAAGUCCAAUUAAGCGUCUUGAUCUAUCUCUAUAGAUCUUGAUUCCCAAUAUGUAGGCAGCUUCACCGAGGUCUUUCAUUGAAAAACUUUUAUUCAAGUAUCCCUUUAUGCUAUCCAGAAAUUCUAUAUCAUUUCCAAUUAAUAAUAUGUCAUCUACAUAUAAUAUCAGAAAUGCUACAGAGCUCCCACUCACUUUCUUGUAAAUACAAGAUUCUCCAAAAGUCUGUAUAAAACCAUAUGCUUUGAUCACACUAUCAAAGCGUUUAUUCCAACUCCGAGAUGCUUGCACCAGUCCAUAAAUGGAUCGCUGGAGCUUGCACACUUUGUUAGCACCUUUUGGAUCGACAAAACCUUCCGGUUGCAUCAUAUACAACUCUUCUUCCAGAAAUCCAUUCAGGAAUGCAGUUUUGACAUCCAUUUGCCAAAUUUCAUAAUCAUAAAAUGCGGCAAUUGCUAACAUGAUUCGGACAGACUUAAGCAUUGCUACAGGUGAGAAAGUCUCAUCGUAGUUGAGGGAGUCCUGGAUUAGGGGGUGUCCGGAUGGCCGGACUAUGACCUUCGGCCGGACUCCCGGACUAUGAAGAUACAAGAUUGAAGACCUCGUCCCGUGUCCAGAUGGGACUUUCCUUGGCGUGGAAGGCAAGCUUGGCGAUACGAUAUGAAGAUCUCCUCCCAUUGUAACCGACUCCGUGUAACCCUAGCCCUUUCCGGUGUCUAUAUAAACCGGAGAGUUUUAGUCCGUAGGACGAACAACAAUCAUACCAUAGGCUAUCUUCUAGGGUUUAGCCUCUCUGAUCUCGUGGUAGAUCCACUCUUGUACUACCCAUAUCAUCAAUAUUAAUCAAGCAGGAGUAGGGUUUUACCUCCAUCGAGAGGGCCCGAACCUGGGUAACAACAUCGUGUCCCUUGUCUCCUGUUACCAUCCGCCUAGACGCACAGUUCAGGACCCCCUACCCGAGAUCCGCCGGUUUUGACACCGACAUUGGUGCUUUCAUUGAGAGUUCCUCUAUGUCAUCGCCUUUAGGCCCGAUGGCUUCUUCGAUCGUCAAUCACGACGCGGUCCAGGGUGAGACCUUUCUCCCCGGACAGAUCUUCGUAUUCGGCGGCUUCACACUGCGGGCCAACUUGUUUAGCCAUCUGGAGCAGAUCGAAAACUACGCCCCUGGCCAUCAGGUCAGGUUUGGAAGCUUAAAUUACACGGUCGACAUCCGCGGGGACUUGAUCUUCGACGGAUUCGAGCCAUGGUCGAGCACGCCGCACUAUCACGAUGGGCAUGAUUUAGCUCUGCCGCCGGACAAUGCCCAGAGCGUCGCUCAGGUGUCCGCUCCGACCAUUAGCUCGGAGCCUACUAAGCUAGUCGGGGAUGGACGGUUGGACGCCACCCCGGGAGCCGCAAUCUCUACGGCGAUAGAGCCAAAUACCAGCCUAGUCCUUUGCAGGGCCCGUGAUUCUAAGGUGCCGGACUCCGUUCCGGACUCCAUAUAUCACGCACCUCUUCCGAUCGAACCCGAUUGGGCUCCAAUCAUGGAGUUCACCGCCACAGACGUCUUUCAGCACUCGCCUUUUGGCGAUAUCCUGAAUUCACUAAAGUCUCUCUCUUUGUCAGGAGAGUCCUAGCCGAACUACGGUCAGCAUGGUUGGGAUACGGACGACGAAGAAAUUCGAGGCCCACCCACCACCCACUUCGUAGCCACUGUCGACGAUUUAACCAACAUGCUCGACUUUAACUCCGAAGACAUCGACGGUAUAGACGCCGAUGAAGGAGACGACCAAGAACCAGCACCUAUAGGGAACUGGAAAGCCACCUCGUCAUAUGAAAUAUACAUGGUGGACACCCCCAAAGCAGGGGAUGCGAGGAAAAACGGAGGAUAACCCCUCCAAGAAGCAACCCAAGCGCCGACAUCAGUGGCGCCGCUCUAAGUCCCGCCAAAGCAAAAACGGCGAUUCCGGCACCGGAGAUAAAAACACGCCGGACAGUGCCAAAGACAACCCCCUCCAGCAGGAUUCAGUGCAGGAGGACGAAGGAGCCAGCCCUCAUGAGAGAGCGGCCGACAGAGAGGUUGAGGACGACAACUAUAUGCCUCCCUCCGAAGACGAGGCAAGCCUCGACGAUGACGAAUUCAUCGUGCCAGAGGAUCCCGUCGAACAAGAGCGUUUCAAACGCAGGCUUAUGGCCACGGCAAGCAGCCUCAAGAAAAAAUAGCAGCAGCUUAGAGCUGACCAAGACUUGCGAGCCGACAGAUGGACCGAAGUCCUGGUGGCCGAAGAGUACAAACUCGAGCGCCCCUCCAAGAGCUACCCAAAGCGCAGGCUGCUACCCCAACUUGAGGAGGAAGCAACUAAACCUACAUCACCAGCGUACGAUGCGCCCGAUCGGCCACCUCGUGGCCGCGAUAGAGAGGCCUUCAGGCCAUCGACCCAAGCCGCACCCCGGCACCGCUCAAAACAUACCACAGUAUGGGGAGACGCAACAGACCUACAAGACAUAUUGGAGAAUAAGGCAAGGCAAACAAGAUCGAUCUACGGAUCGCAUGGGUGCCCCGCUUCACGUGACGCUAGCCGUCACGCCGGAUAUGAUAAGUACGGCCAGGCCGAAUACAACAGACCAAGCUCAUCCGAGCUGCGUCGUGAUAUAGCCCAGUACAGGGGCGCCGCAGACCCACUAUGCUUCACAGACGAAGUAAUGGAUCAUCAAAUCCCCGAGGGCUUUAAACCCGUAAACAUCGAAUCAUACAAUGGCACAACAGAUCCUGCGGUAUGGAUCGAGGAUUAUCUCCUUCAUAUCCACAUGGCCUGUGGUGAUGAUCUACAUGCCAUCAAAUACCUCCCGCUCAAGCUUAAAGGACCAGCUCGACAUUGGCUUAACAGCCUGCCAGCAGAGUCAAUUAGUUGUUGGGAGGACCUGGAAUCCGCAUUCCUUGAAAACUUCCAGGGUACUUAUGUCCGACCACCAGACGCCAAUGACCAAAGCCACAUAAUCCAGCAGCCAGAGGAAUCGGCCAGACAAUUCUGGACACGGUUCCUAACCAAGAAAAAUCAAAUAGUCGAUUGUCCGGACGCCGAGGCCCUUGCAGCCUUCAGGCACAACAUCCGAGACGAAUGGCUUGCCCGGCACCUAGGACAGGAAAAGCUGAAAUCUAUGGCAGCCCUCACGACACUCAUGACCCGCUUUUGUGCGGGAGAAGACAGCUGGCUAGCUCGUAGCAAUAACAUAACCAAGAGCCCUGGCAAUUUGGAUACCAAGGACAACAACGGCAGGUCAUGUCACAACAAGCAUAAGCGCCGCAUUAACGGCGACAAUACUGAAGAUACGGUAGUCAAUGCCGGAUUCAGAGGCUCUAAACCCGGUCAGCGGAAGAAGCCAUUCAAAAGAAACCCUCCGAGCCCAUCCAGCUUAGACCGGAUACUCGAUCGCUUGUGCCAGAUACACGGCACCCCCAAAUAGCCAGCCAACCACACCAACAGGGAUUGUUGGGUGUUCAAGCAGGCAGGCAAGUUAAGUGCCGAAACCAGAGACAAGGGGCUGCAUAGCGAUGACGAGGAGGAGCCCCGACCGCCGAACAACAGAGGACAGAAGGGAUUCCCCCCACAAGUUCGGACGGUGAAAAUGAUAUACGCAACCCACAUCCCCAAAAGGGAGCGGAAGCAUGCUCUCAAGGACGUCUAUGUGUUGGAGCCAUUCACCCCGAAGUUCAACCCGUGGUCCUCCUGCCCGAUCACUUUUGAUCGAAGGGACCACCCCACUAGCAUCCGUCACAGAGGAUUCGCCGCAUUGGUCCUAGACCCAAUUAUCGACGGAUUUCACCUCACCAGAGUCCUAAUGGACGGCGGCAGCAGCCUGAACCUGCUUUAUCAGGAUACACUGCGAAAAAUGGGCAUCGAUCCCUCAAGGAUUAAACCCACAAAGACAACCUUCAAAGGCGUCAUACCAGGUGUAGAAGCCAGUUGUACAGUCUCGGUUACACUCGAAGUGGUCUUUGGAUCCCCGGAUAAUUUCUGAAGCAAAGAGUUAAUCUUCGACAUAGUCCCAUUCCGCAGUGGCUAUCACGCCCUGCUCGGACGAACCGCAUUUGCAAAAUUCAACACGGUGCCGCACUACGCAUAUCUCAAGCUCAAGAUGCCAGGACCUCGCGGAGUCAUCACGGUAAAUGGAAAUACCGAACGCUCUCUCCGAACAGAGGAGCACACGGCGGCCCUGGCGGUGUAAGUACAGAGUAGCCUCUCAAGGCAAUUCUCCAAUCCAGGUGUCAAACGUCCGGACAACGUCAAGCGAGCCCGAAGUAACCUACAACAAAUCUGGCUGGCACGUUCCGAGCAAGCAUAGCAGUGCGGCCCCAACCCCAACCCUCUCCAAAUGGUGAUAUCGGUACCACGCGUACAUAAUUACGUCUUAGAGAUACCAUGGGCAUAAGGGGAGGGGCACAACUAUGGCACGCCCAAAAUGCGGCUCAACCGCACUAAGGGGCUCCCUAUUCCACCGUUUCCUUUUUACACACUUUCAGGACCCAACUAUUCGGAAGGCCUGCCCGGCAAUACACGCGCCGAACACACGAUGCAAUAGCCAAGGAGAGAACAAGCCGCGUCAAAUGUCCAGGUGGUCUCUAUAACGAGCUUAAUACAUGUUUUACUUAAAAUCUCGCAGCUUGCCCCUGGAGGGGAACAUAUCAAAUAAUCCCAUCUCUUGCUUAUCGCACUACUUGUAUCGUUCUGCUUUCGCAGCAGCCCUUUUUUAAUAAACAAUACAUAGCUCUUAUCUAUUAUUGUACUCAUCUAUUUUCUAUAUACACAAAUAUGUUCAGUCAUGACACUCUGCAACCGUACACUUUGGUACGGCCAAUACACCAGGGGCUUAAACACCCCAUAACAUGGUGUGAGAAGACCGAACACUCUCAUGAGUGCGGCACCCCGAACUUAUAGCACUAUAUGCAUCGGCUCCGAAUCAUGUCUUAGGUCAAUAGUUGGGUUUGCCCGGCUCCCAUGUUUUGGUACCUUACGUUCCGCAAUGUUGGCUAAGGUAGCGCUGGGAGAACUACUGCGAUUGUGCCCCAGUUGAGCUGGGUUAACACCUCAGUAGAGAAAGCUAAAACUGACUGUCAUGAUAGUGUGAGAGACCGGUCGCUGUUCGCGAGGUUUUCGAGUCCUUAAAGACUUAUGCCGCUUAGAGCGAGGAACCGGACUUAUCCGGCCUACGCGUGGAUAGCGCCCCGAACUCGGUCUUUCGAAUACUAGGGGCUUCGCCGAAAUUUAAAAUUAUCGAAUUCUAUGGCUAAGUGAGAGUGAUAAAGCAUUAUAAGUCCGACGACCUGGUUCGUUGUGCUGAGCGCCUCCCUAGAUGGACCCAAGAAUGGGAACAAGAGCGCUCAGGUUUAUCCCAAACACCCCAACACUCGUGGCAUGGGGGUCGAAGCCGAUGACUUGCAUCUCUCAGAUUUGAUAAACGGCCGAACAGAAGGUAAUAUUUUAAAUUAACAAGCGUUGCUUAACGCACAUGAACAAAGUUUUCAGCGUACAGGAUAACAAAUGCGAGUCUACUAAAACAUUACAUCUUUGGAGCACUCAUCCGCUAUACGGUGGGCACCCUUCAGGACGCUCUUAUAAUACAUCUCAGGCGUGCGAUACUCCUUGCCCGGCGGUGGCGCGUCCGUCAAAAGCUUCUCCGCGUCCAGCUUGCCCCAGUGCACUUUAGCACGGGCAAGGGCCCGACGGGCACCUUCAAUGCAGACGGAGCGCUUGAUGACCUCAAUCCACGGACAAGCGUCCACCAGCCGUCGCACCAGACCAAAGUAGCUCCCAGGGAUGGCUUCCCUAGGCCAUAGUCGAACUAUGAGGCCCUUCAUGGCCUGUUCGGACACCUUGUGGAGCUCGACCAGCUCCUUCAGCUGGUCGCUCAGGGGCACCGGAUGCUCGGCCUCAACAUACUAAGACCAGAACACCUUUUCCGUCGAGCUCCCCUCCUCGGCUCGGUAGAACGCGGCAGCAUCAGACACACUACGGGGCAGAUCGGCGAACGCUCUUGGAGAGCUCCGGAUUUGGGUAAGUAAUAGAUAAUUUACUUUUACAUGCUUGCUUUGCAUAAAGAAUGCCUUACCCGCUGCUAUUUUCUUUAUCGCCUCGAUCUCCUGGAGGGCCUUCUGGGCUUCGGCCUUAGCGUUUUUGGCACUCUCAAGAGCCAAGGCGAGCUCGGACUCUCGAGUCUUUGAGUCACGCUCCAAACUCUCGUGUUUUUUCAUGAGAGCCUUGAGCUCUUGCCGCACCUCCGCCACCCGUGCCUCCUGCUUCUCUCGCUCGGUGCGCUCCAAGGCCGCACUAUUCUUGGCCUUGGACACCGCCUCCUUCAGGGUCACCACCUCGGUCGUGGCCCCUGCAACAUUUACGUUGGUCCUGUCAUUAUUUGCAACCAAGUAUUUCUAUAUACAUUUACAUGCGGUACUACGUACCCUCUUUAUCCUCGAGCUGCUUCUUGGCACGGCCGAGCUCGCUCUCGGACCGCUCAAGGCUUUCCUUCAAUGCAUUGACCUCCGCAGUCAGUGCGGCAGAGGUCAGCAGUGCAACCUGCAUUCCCAUAUUGACAUAUUUCUAUUAGACUCCUGCGUAUAUCUUUUUAGAUCCUCAGCUCGGCUUUUCUUUCCGAACGCCGAACUGAGCAUCAGGGGCUACUGUCUAUGCGGUAACAUUUUUAUAUGUUUUUGAACACAUACCUCAAAUCCUGUUAAUAGGCUUGUACAGGCUUCUGUCAGCCCGCUCUUGGCGGACUGAACCUUCUGAAUCACCGCACUCAUAACAGCGCGGUGUUCCUCGUCGAUGGAGGCGCCGUUAAGCACCUCCAGCAAACUGUCCGGCGCCUCCGGAUGGACGGAGGUCGCCGGCGUCGUAGGCUUGCCCUUCUUAUGAAGGCGCCGCAUGUCGGACUCUAGAACCAUCGAUGGUUGCGGAGCAGUGUCCGGCCCGGGGCCGGACUUGGAUCCCUCCGAGGCUUUACCCCCUUUGGGCUUGGGGUCCGGGAGGUCGCCUUGCGGCGCCUCCAGGACCACCUCCUCCUGGUUUAGUCCCUUUCGGGACUCCACCUCGGCGUCGUCCGUAGGGAGAGGGGAGGAGGCCGUCGGGAGUGAAGCACUAUUCACAUCCGACGAAUCCAAGGAGCCGCUCGUCGAAUAGUCGAGCUGAGCCUUGGGCGGACUGCAUGAUCAAAUACGGCGUUAGCAAAUGCCAAAUAAUAGAGGGGCAUCAUAAGUUAUUCGGAUGACCGGAUGCUUAUGAUUUUGCCAGGGGCUUGACCCUGGAUGGCCAUUCCUCCCCGCUGUCUUCGGCGUCGGAGGUGUAGUCCAGAAGUAGGGUUCUCCCAUUCUUGGACCCUACGGCCUCCCCAGUUGGGGCGGCUUUCCUUUUCUUCCCUUCCCCUGUUGGAGGGGGAGAGGCUUCUUCUUCUUCCUCCUCCUCGUCCUCAGAGGCGGAGGGUGCUUCGGGGUUGUCGGGCGAUGAAUCCGACACCACCAGGCGCCGGGAACUCUUUCGAGUCCCCGUGGCCUUCUUCUUGGCCUUCUUCUCCGGCACCACAUGAGGUGUCAGAACCAGCAGCUUCGUCAAGCGAGCGUCUGCUGGGUCUUCGGGCAAGGGAGUCGGACAGUUGAUUUGUCCGGCCUUUUUCUGCCAGUCUUGUUAAAGAGAUGGGGGUUUAGGUCCCGCAUAGAAUCAAAUCUAUGAAAAACAAAUACCCCGUAAAGGGAAAAUUAAGCUCACCACGCUGGCUUGGCGCUCGGCGCAGAAACCGCGAUCCUCCGUGACGGGAGGAGAGACCUCGGAGCUCUUGAAUAGCACCUUCCAGGCGUCCCCAUGCUUUGUGUCGAAGAGCCGAGACAGAGUCUGAUGCUGGGCUGGGUCGAACUCCCAUAAGCUGAAAGCCCGUCAUUGACACGGGAGAAUCCGGCGGAAGAGCAUGACCUGGACUACGUUGACGAGUUUAACCUUCCUUCCGAUUAGGUCUUUGAUGCAGGUUUGAAGUCCGGUCACUUCUGUCGAACUACCCCACGACAGGCCCGUCUCUUUCCAAGAUGUGAGCCGUGUGGGGAUACCAGAUCGGAAUUCGGGGGCUGCUGCCCAUUCAGGGUCACGCGGCUCGGUGAUAUAGAACCACCUUGAUUGCCACCCUUUGAUGGUCUCUAUGAAGGCACCCUCAAGCCAUGUAACGUUGGCUAUCUUGCCCACCAUGGCACCUCCGCACUCCGCUUGGCGGCCGCCCACAACCUUCGGCUUGACGCUGAAGAUCUUCAGCCAUAGGCCAAAGUGAGGCUAGAUGCGGAGGAAGGCCUCGCACACGACGAUAAACGCCGAGAUGUUGAGGAUGAAGUUCGGGGCCAGAUCGUGGAAGUCUAGGCCAUAGUAGAACAUGAGCCCCCGGACGAACGGGUGAAGAGGAAAACCCAGUCCGCGGAGGAAAUGGGGGAGAAAUACAACCCUCUCAUGGGGCCUAGGGGUGGGGAUGAGUUGCCCCUCAUCUGGCAGCCGGUGCGCGAUGUCGUCAGACAAGUAUCCGGCCUUCCUCAGCUUUUUGAUUUGCCCCUCCGUGACGGAGGAAGCCAUCCAUCUACCUCCCGCUCUGGACAUGAUUGGAGAAGGUUAAGGUGGGAAGUGUGGGCUUGGGCGUUGGAGCUCGAGCGCGCAGGAACGAAUAAGCAAAGGAGGAAGAAGGCGUGAAUGGAAAGGGUGGAUUCUUAUCCCCUUAUAUGGGCGGCCGAAACUACGAGCCCCCACCAGCCUGAUAAAACUCGCUUAUCUCCCAAGCGCCGCGGUUAAUGGCGUGGUUGGGUUACCCACGCCCGUUGAGGGAGUCCUAGAUUAGGGGGUGUCCGGAUGGCCGGACUAUGACCUUCGGCCGGACUCCCGGACUAUGAAGAUACAAGAUUGAAGACUCCGUCCCGUGUCCGGAUGGGACUUUCCUUGGCGUGGAAGGCAAGCUUGGCGAUACGAUAUGAAGAUCUCCUCCCAUUGUAACCGACUCUGUGUAACCCUAGCCCUCUCCGGUGUCUAUAUAAACCGGAGAGUUUUAGUCCGUAGGACAAACAACAAUCAUACCAUAGGCUAGCUUCUAGGGUUUAGCCACUCCGAUCUCGUGGUAGAUCCACUCUUGUACUACCCAUAUCAUCAAUAUUAAUCAAGCAGGAGUAGGGUUUUACCUCCAUCGAGAGGGCACGAACCUGGGUAGAAACAUCGUGUCCCUUGUCUCCUAUUACCAUCCGCCUAGACGCACAGUUCGGGACCCCCUACCCGAGAUCCCCGGUUUUGACACCGACAUUGGUGCUUUCAUUGAGAGUUCCUCUGUGUCGUCACCAUUAGGAAGGAUGCCGCACCCCGUCUUUAAAGACGGCGUUGUUGCUAAAGGAGCUUUGGCUAUCGGCCAAACUCUCCGGCUAGGCAGUUUUUUUAUGACCGCCUGUUCGGCCGCCGCACCGACGAUGACCUCUCGGGCCAUCGAAAGCAAUCUCCACAUCAGCUUGGAGCUCGCCGAGCAGUUAGCUCCGACGGAGCUCUCUUCCCUGAACGAGCUCUUGGAUCGCAUUGCGGCCCUGGGAGUCGCUACAGAUUACGGCCAGAUUGGGCUUAAACCCGAUCAGAGAGAGAUCGACUCUCCCCAGGUCACCCACCACGUUGAAGUGAUGGAAGAACAAUGCGGCGAAUCUUUGCCCACCCUAAGGACCAGAUGUGUCUGGAUUCCCGACCCCUCCAAGCCGGACACCCGCGGAGGGGAGGAUGUCGCCCAAGCCCUGAACCUAAAGUUAGGCAGCAGGCCUGAUUCAUUGAAUAAUUUCCAAGAAAGCAAGCUUCUGAAUUCGGAAACUUCUUGGCCCCUGAAUCUUAUAUCGGGCAAGGUUCCGGAUUUAAAUCCACCUGCCCACCCAACUAUUAGGGAUUUAUCCCAAAUACGGCAAGAGCCCGGGGAAACAGUACACCACUAUUGGGCCAGAUUCCUCCUGGUUAUGAACAGGAUAAAGGACUGCCGUGAGAAAGAAGCAAUUUCAUUCUUCUGUAACAACUGCACGGACAUCGGAAUCCUCAACGCCAUAAGUCGCCGCGAAAUUACACGCUUCGCCGACUUGACAUCCAUAGUACGAAAGUACUGUGCGACAGAAAGCGUUCGGAAAACUAAAGAUAAAUUCUAGGACAAUCCAGCCGUGAAUACAACACGAGUCCGAAACAAAAGGGCGCAUUAUCGCCAGGCAUCUGAGCCAAACAUCAAAAAACAAAAACCCUCUAUAGGGUAUGGGACCAUACUAGAGGGAUGGCUCAAUGGACCCUGUAAAAUUCAUAGUUCAGGGGAAGUCACACCAACUCACAGCCUUAGAGCAUGUUGGAUACUCCGGCAGGUGGCCAGAAGUGGCGAGGAGCUUCUAACUCCAGAACCCGAAGAACACCUCCCCAGGAACGCCAGUACGGUGUCGACAGUCUUUGAGACCUUCGCAUCAAACAAUGCGAGGAAACAAACGCUCCGCAACCUUACCGAAUUCUACCAAGUAGCAACAAUAAAUCCAUGGAGUGACACGGCUAUUACCUUUAAUGCCAGUGACGAAACUAAAUUCCGGACAGCCCGAGCACCAGCCGCAUUGGUCCUCAGUCCGAUAGUGGACGGCUUCCGACUUACAAAGGUACUCACGGAUAGUGGCAGCGGACUUAACCUCAUCUACGAGGAAACCCUGCGAAAAAUGGAAAUAGACUGGAGCCGCAUUGAGCGAAGCAACACAACCUUUAGAGGAAUAAUACCAAGCCGGGAAGCGUCCUGUUCAGGAAAAAUCACACUGGAUGUGGUGUUCGGCAUGCCGAAUAAUUACAGAUCCGAGGAGGUCAUGUUCCAAGUGGCCCCGUUCAGCAGCGGAUACCACGCUCUGCUAGGGCGAGAAGCAUUUACAAUUUUUCAAGCCAUACCCCAUUAUGGGUACAUGAAGCUCAAAAUGCCUGGACCCAACGGAAUCAUCACUCUUGCAAGUGAUCCGGACACAGCGCUCCGCACCGAAAACAAGACAGCCGCACUGGCCCUGGAGGCAUUAUCCGAAGCCCUAGCGGCCGAGGAACUAACUGCGUUGCGCUACAGGUGGAUAGGGACAAUGUGAUACUAGAUAAGAGAUCCAAGUCCACCUCUUUCAAACCAGCGGAAGAAAUAGUCAAAUUCCAAGUCCAUCCAACGGAACCCACAAAAACGGCCUCCAUCGGGGCACAACUAAAACCCGAUGUAGACGCCGCACUCAGAGAAUUCCUGCGAGAAAAUUGGGACAUUUUCGCCUGGCACCCUUCAGACAUGCCAGGAAUACCAUGAAGGCUGCCUGAGCACAGCCUGAACAUCCUAAAAGGGUACGGCGUUUCUCCGAACCCAAGAGACAAGCCAUGGGAGAGGAGCUAGCAAAACUGCUGGAAGCCGAAUUCAUCAGAGAUAUAAAACAUCCGGACUGGCUAGCAAACCCGGUGAUGGUACCAAAAAAGGACAAAUCUUGGCGCCUAUGUGUUGAUUUCAAAGACCUAAAUAAGGCCUGCCCAAAGGAUCCUUUCCCACUCCCCCGAAUUGAGCAAUCAUCGACCCCACCGCAGGACACGACUCAUUGUGUUUCCUCGAUGCAUACUCUGGCUACCACCAAAUCAAGAUGGCAGGGUCAGACCAAGCCGCAACGGCAUUCAUCACCCCAUAUGGCACAUUCUGCUUCAACACGAUGCCCUUCGGGCUCAAAAACACCGGCGCAACAUAUCAGCGCAUGAUUCAGACAUGUUUGGCCAACCAGAUCGGCAAAACAGUUGAAGCGUACGUAGAUGACGUGGUCGUCAAAACCAAACACGUCGAUACUCUAGUAAACGACUUGAGUUUCACGUUCGACAAUCUCCGAACAUAUGACAUUAAGCUCAACCCGGGAAAAUGCGUUUUCGGCGUACCAGCCGGAAAGCUCUUGGGCUUCAUCGUAUCCGAUAGAGGAAUUGAAGCAAACCCAGCCAAGAUCCGAGCUCUGUCACAAUUGGAAACCCCAAAAGACCUCAAACAAAUACAAAAAUUGACAGGAUGCGUGGCGGCUCUAAGCCGCUUUAUCUCCCGCUUAGGAGAAAAGGCAUUACCCCUCUAUCGCCUCCUGUGGCGCACCGAACACUUCGAGUGGACGGAUGCCGCCACGGCCGGACUCGAAGAAAUAAAAGCCAUACUGGCAACAAAUCCGGUCCUGGCCACGCUCAACACGGGCGAACCAAUGAUGUUAUACAUCGCGGCAACCCAUCAAGUUGUAAGCGCGGUGCUCGUCGUCGAACGAGAAACCCACAGACACAAGUUCCCUCUCCAAAAACCAGUUUACUACGUGUCCACUGUCCUAACUCCAUGCAAGUCACGGUACCCACAUCAUCAAAAGAUAGCAUACGCGGUGUUCAUGGCAUCCCGGAAGCUGCGACACUAUUUUCAAGAGUGUUCAAUAACAGUGCCAUCCGAAGUACCUCUUAAUGAUAUUAUAAACAACCGUGACGCAACGGGCUGGACUGCCAAAUGGGCCAUCGAGCUCCUCCCGUUCGACAUAACUUACAAGCCAAGGCGAGCUAUUAAGUCGCAGGUUUUGGCCGACUUCAUCGCCGAAUGGAUUGAAGCCGACCUCCCUAAAGAGUACGGCGCAUACUCCAACUGGAUCAUGCACUUCGACGGCUCCAAAAUGUUGGCUGGCAUGGGAGCUGGCGUCGUUCUGACGUCCCCAACCGGAGAUACAGUCCAAUACGUACUUCAGAUAAUGUACACGGAUUCCAACAACGCAGCCGAAUACGAGGCCCUUUUACAUGGUCUCCAGAUGGUAGUCUCCAUGGGCAUUCAACGCCUAGAGGUCCACGGGGAUUCAAACCUCGCACUAUCCCAAAUAAAUGGAGACUUUGACGCCAAGGAUCCGAAAAUGGCAGCUUACCGCAACGCCAUCUUAAAAAUGUCAGCUCGGUUUAAGGGGCUCGAAUUUCAUCACAUAGCCCGGGAGAAUAACCAGGCAGCAGACGUGUUGGCACGCAUUGGCACCAAGCGCGAUGCCGUCCCUCCCAACAUCUUCCUAGAGAGGCUAUUCAGGCCAUCCGUAUCAUGGGAGGGAGAGUCCAGAAACAAUAGCCCGGGCACAACCACACUGCCCCUCACCGUACACUCUGACACAGUUAGUGGCUCCGCCAAUGAAACAACGCCGUCAGCCCACACAAUAAUGGCAGUCAUUGCCCUGUGGACAGAACCAUUCCUAGCCUACCUAACUAGGCAGGAACUUCCCGAGGACCAAAACGAGGCCCGCUUCAUAGUGCGGCGAUCUAAAUCCUACAAAGUCCACGAGGGAGAGCUUUAUAAGAAAAGCACAACCGGAGUCCUUCGAAGGUGUAUCUCCGAAGAGGAAGGGCGAGACCUUCUGGCUGAAAUUCAUGCCGGACUCGGCGGGCACCAUGCCGCAGCCCGGGCCCUUAUAAGCAAGGCCUUCCGUACCGGAUUUUAUUGGCUAACGGCCGGGCAGACGCUCAGGACUUAGUGCAGCGAUGCGUUGGUUGCUAGUUAUUCGCCAACCAAAGCCACAUGCCGCCUACCGCCCUACAAACUAUACCCAUUACCUGGCCUUUUGCGGUCUGGGGGCUUGACAUGGUUGGACCCCUUAAAGGAGGAACCCACAAGCAAAAAUAUCUACUGGUCAUGGUGGACAAAUUCACCAACUGGAUAGAGGCCAAGCCUGUAAAGACGGCCGAAUCCGGACCGGUGAUAGACUUCAUAUCCGGGGUCAUACACCAUUACGGCGUCCCCCAUAGCACCAUAACUGACAACGACACAAACUUCACGGCAGAUGAAGUUAAACUCUGGUGCAAAAACAUGGGCAUUAAGCUCGACUACGCUUCAGUCUAUCACCCUCAAACCAACGGUCAAGUCGAGCGAGCCAAUGGUCUCAUUAUGAGCGGCAUCAAACCCAGACUAGUGCGAUCCCUCAAGGAAUCUAACACGCACUGGGUAGAGGAGCUUGACUCCGUACUCUGGGGGCUGCGGACCACGCCGAAUCGCACUACCGGAUUCACACCAUUUUUUAUGGUAUACAGUGCAGAGGCAGUACUGCCAUGCGACAUAAUUCAUGAUUCACCUCGAGUGCGCAUGUACGAAGAAAGAGAAGCCGAGCUCGAUCGGCAGGACAGCUUGGACGCAUUGGAGGAGGAGCGCGACGUGGCAAAAGCUCGUUCCGCAUUCUAUCAACAGCAGGCUCGAAGAUAUCAAAGCAGACAAGUACGGGCCAAAACUUAUAACGUUGGCGAACUAGUUCUACGCUUGCCGGACAAGAAAAAGGACAAACUAAAGCCCAAAUGGGAGGGUCCCUUCAUAAUCUACCAAGUACUGACUGGUGGAGCGUAUUGUCUGUGAAACGCAUCGGACAACCGACUCGAGCCGAACCCAUGGAAUGCAGCACGCCUACGAAGAUUCUAUGCCUAGUGCCGGACUCCGUGUUCGUCUCCUUCCUCUGUCCCCUUUUUAUUUUUUAUUUUUAUUUUUUCACAUUAGCUGUCCGGGAUUUCGCUCCUUCUCCCAACCUUUUUUCUCCCAAGCCAUUAGGGGCUUGCAUGUGCAUUGUUCGCACAUACCUAACACGCCACCCGCGCUCAUCAUACCUGGGGGCUUCUUUAUCAGAAGUUUAUAUAAAACGGGCCUCAUGACCAAAACAUGUGUGACACUUCCGCAUGAACCUUUUAUACACCAUUAUAUGCAUCGAUAUGACUUAAGUUUUGGCCAAGCUGGGUUGCCUGGCUCCUGUGCUUACCCCUACGUUCCCGUUCGUUCGGCUAGGUGGUAAAGGGAGCACCUCUGUGAUUAUUACUGCCGGGUCGGCCGGAUGUGUACCUCAGACUGGGUGAAGCCGAAAGCUAGCGUUCUUAAGAGAAUAUUCGGACGGUGAACUAAAAGAUGAUCUUUCGUGUUUAUUUAUCUGCCCCCAGAUUCUUUUCUGCUCUUUUUAGCAGUUCGGACAUGCACUUUAGGGCAUGCCUCCCAGGGAAAGGAACCCCUAAUGGAACUAUUUUCCCUGGAAGAUGUUUCUUACUAACCAUGUAAUAUAACAUAACUAGUUGGGCACUUGUCUGCUAAAGCAAUUAUGACCCCUACGCCUUAUCUCCAUGCAUGCCCCGGUUCUUACAUAAUCGAGAGGGUAUUCGGACACACUCCGGACUAUAGGGUCCAGAGGUCGAAGCGAAAAGGUCCGCAAUGACAAAUGAUCUACAAUCUGGCUAGAAGGCAUUUUUCAUGUCAUUUUAAAUUACAGAGUCAAUCCGACUCGAUAUAUUCUUCUUCAAUACCAUCCAACAGGCGGUCUAAUUUACAGUCCUGUUGGGAAUACUUUGCAGCCAGCUCUACCUGGCCAUAUACUAAGCUGAUAGGGAUCUCCUUUCCGUCAGGACCCAUACGGCCGACCUCGGCCAUGUGGUUUGGGUCAGCCUUCGUGUACCGAGUCUUCACCAUGGCCCAGGCCUCCCUAGCACCUUGACGGCAGGCCGAUAUCUUCCACAACCGGAAGCGCUGCUGCACUCCCUCCAGCUUCUUUGUAAGCUCCCCAAGGCCUUCGGGCAUGGAGAGGGAUGGCCACAUAGCCUGAAUGACGCUCUGCAUUGCCUGCCAAACUCGUUCGUGCAGUUGCAAUAGCUCGGGAAGAAGGUCUCUUGUUGAACCGGGCAUUUCCUCCGCAGGACGACCUCUCAGCAGACCUACAGACAUAGCUCUGCCAAUCGACUUCCUCACCGAAUUCUUUUUCGAAGAUUCGUUCAAGCACUUACUAAAAAUGCCGCGUCGAAGUCGCCGAUUCUCCUUUACGGAAGCAGACAGCUGAAUACGAACAUCCUUUAGUUCCUCGCCCAGCUGGGUAUUGGCGUCUUGAAGUUUGUUCUUCUCUUGCCUCACCCUCAUCAGUAUGCUCUCGCCAGCCUUUAGUUGGCCUAGGAGUUGUUGCUUGUCCGGAUUUACUCCGGCCCCAUCUGCACUAUUAUCGUCAGGGUUGCACACCUGCCGCACUUCACAACGGAAUUAUCUUUCAAAGCAUAUAUUACCUGAGGGCGUCCCCUUGGCAUUUUCUGAAGUGGCCAGGGCGGCCUCGAGUUGGGCCUUGCACUCUUCAAGCUCUUGGGACAGUUGCGUAUUCUUCUUUGUAAGACACUGCAUAGCACAUGAUCCUUAAAACAGUUAUCUUCACUGUUUCAAGUCUCGGGGGCUACUGACAUAUAUAACCUUCAAUUUUACUCACCUGUAUGUCUUUUACAUACUGCUCUGUGGCUUUGGCUAGACCAUUUUGAGCGGCACAGAGAUACGCAUCUCCUGUAUUAAAGGCGUCCAACGCCUCUAGGGAAAAACAUGCGUCACGAAGAACAGUCUGGUGACGCCUGUGGUUCAGGGCACUCUCCACCUCUGAAUUGGUGGCAGAUAGCCCGUCGGCGUCCUCUGUCGGAGGAACGCCCAAGGCGCGCCCUAUGUCCGUCUCUGCUUCCGGACCCGGCCUUGAACCUUGGCCGGCGGAUAUAGUCCGGCGGGCUCUCUUCUUUCUAAGAAAAUCAUGAGCGUUAGUAAGACUCAAGGGCAUAAACCCUAGGCAUUAAAUUUGCACGCCAUACCGUUGCGCCGGAAUCUCGAUCUGGUCCGCACUUCUUUUUGGCCCGCCUGGCUUCAGCGGCCCUUGUUGGCUGCCCACCGCGGGCUCGGCCUUCCGCCUCAAGGAUUUACCCUGCGAAACGAAACACUAUUAGUUCACGACAUGCAAGAUAAAGCAUGGAUAGAUCUCCUUGAGAAUACUGGGACUUCGUCUCGGUUACCUUUGAGGCUGGAAGUAGUCCUGGAUAGUCGGCCGUAAUGGCCACUAAGGCGUUGUCCUUGCUCAAUUGAUGAAACACCCCAUCCAUUAACUCCACACAUAAGUACAGGUCCUCUUGGGAGUCCGGAUCGAGGGACCGUUCCGGAUCCUCGGGUUGUGGAGGAGGGCUGUUUAUCUCCUUCACAGUCUGGCGUAGCUCCUGCGUUUAACAUCGCUAGACUAAGUACUCAACUACUGGAAUUUCGAAAGCGGGUAGGCAAGUGAAAGUGUUCGCUCACCCAACUUGGUGGAUUGUACAUGGAGAAUCCUCCCUCCGGGUUGGCACGGAGGAAUUCUUCUUCUUCUCCCUUGUACAAAGCGGAUAAGAUUCUCGUUAAAGUGGCGGCCGAAUCUGGCCCCUUACGACCGCACCGGGUGACAUCGUCCUCCCCGUUGAAAUCCCACAUGGGGCGGCCUCUGUAUUGAAGCGGCUGCACCCCUCGUGUAAUGCAUAUGGCCAUGACCUUGAUCAUGGUCAGUCCGGAAUGAGCCAACAACCUUAUUAGGCUCAUCAGGUAAAGGACGUCCCUGUCAGUUUCCCUCUGAGGGUUCCGCGGGCGCCAACUCAGGCUCUUCUUCAACGGAGCAUUUUUGAACUCAGGGAGGCCGAUCCGUACAGGGUCCGGCCGGGGGACGUCAUCUAUAUAGAACCACUCAGAGGACCAGUCCUCGGACGUCCUCUUUGGGGUACCGGAUAGAUAUCCGGUCCCGGUGAUGCGCCAUAGUUCGGCUCCGCCCACUUGAUAAAUAGACCCCUCCUGAGAACGAGGCACGAGGCAAAACAACCUCUUCCACAGCAUGAAAUGGGCCUCAACGCCCAAGAACAGCUCGCAGAGGGCCACGAAGCCCGCAAUGUGCAGAAUGGAGGCGGGCGUGAGGUUGUGUAGCUGGAGGCCGUAGAACUCCAGCAACCCUCGAAGAAACGGAAGAAUUGGAAAUCCGAGUCCUCUCAUCAAAUAAGGGACUAGGCAUACCCGCUCUCCUUGAGAGGGAUUGGGGACGCUCUCCGCCUGCUCUCCACUGCUAUAGGUAGCAAUCCCGGCUCAAACUGCAUAUAUGCUGGGGGGAGAAGCCCCUUGGACUGAAGCACUACUAACUCGCUAUGCGAGACGGAACACCGCCCCCAAUCUCCGGGCCGAGGGAUGGAGAGGCGAGAGGAGGAGCUGCACCGACCGUCCAUGGUGGAAUGGAUCCCUGUCGAAGGCACUUUGAUGAAGGCUCGCGGAGGGAAGAUGGUGUGAAUUGGAUUUAUGGGCGGUUCAUUAAAGCAACCGGGGGGUAAAAUGAAAAAAUCCCCUGGCUUUUCGCAUUCGUUUGACACGUGGAAGAUGGUCAUUAUGGGGCACAGAAGCCGAGGAGGGCAGCACGCACUAGAAGCCGGACACUAUUCGACGGGUACAUGGAAUUUGAAGAAGAACCCGCCUUGCAAUGCCGAAGACAACUUGCGCGCCGGACUCGUCGUCAUUGAAGCCUGGUUCAGGGGCUACUGAGGGAGUCCUGGAUUAGGGGGUGUCCGGAUGACCGGACUAUGACCUUCGGCCGGACUCCCGGACUAUGAAGAUACAAGAUUGAAGGCCUCAUCCCGUGUCCGGAUGGGACUUUCCUUGGCGUGGAAGGCAAGCUUGGCGAUACAAUAUGAAGAUCUCCUCCCAUUGUAACCGACUCUGUGUAACCCUAGCCCUCUUCGGUGUCUAUAUAAACCAGAGAGUUUUAGUCCAUAGGACGAACAACAAUCAUACCAUAGGCUGGCUUCUAGGGUUUAGCCUCUCUGAUCUCGUGGUAGAUCCACUCUUGUACUACCCAUAUCAUCAAUAUUAAUCAAGCAGGAGUAGGGUUUUACCUCCAUCGAGAGGGCCCGAACCUGGGUAAAAACAUUGUGUCCCUUGUCUCCUGUUACCAUCUGCCUAGACGCACAGUUCGGGACCCCCUACCCGAGAUCCACCGGUUUUGACACCGACAGUAGUCAACCCCUUGAACUUGUCGAAAACCUUUUGCAACAAGUCGAGCUUUGUAGACAGUUACAUUACCAUCAGCGUCAGUCUUCUUCUUGAAGAUCCAUUUAUUCUCAAUGGCUUGCCGAUCAUCGAGCAGGUCAACCAAAGUCCAUACUUUGUUCUCAUACAUGGAUCCUAUCUCAGAUUUCAUCAUCGCUUCCUCAUAGUUCGUAGGUUCGCCAUGGUCAAGUAAUAUGACUUCCAGAAUAGGAUUACCGUACCACUCUGGUGUGGAUCUUACUCUGGUAGACCUACGAGGUUCAGUAGAAACUUGAUCUGAAGUUUCAUGAUCAAUAUCAUUAGCUUCCUCACUAAUUGGUGUAGUUGUCACAGGAACCGGUUCUUGUGAUGAACUACUUUCCAAUAAGGGAGCAGGUACAGUUACCUCAUCAAGUUCUACUUUCCUCCCACUCACUUUUUCGAGAGAAAACUCCUUCUCUAGAAAGGAUCCAAUUUAGCAAUGAAAAUCUUGCCCUCAGAUCUGUGAUAGAAGGUGCACCCAAUAGUCUCUUUUGGGUAUCCUACGAAGACAAAUUUCUCCGAUUUGGGUUCGAGCUUAUCUGGUUGAAGUUUCUUCACAUAAGCAUCGCAGCCCCAAACUUUAAGAAACGACAACUUUGGUUUCUUGCCAAACCAUAGUUCAUAAGGUGUCGUCUCAAUGGAUUUUGAUGGUGCCCUAUUUAACGCAAAUGCGGCCGUCUCUAAAGCAUAACCCCAAAACGAUAGCGGUAAAUCAGUAGGAGACAUCAUAGAUCGCACCAUAUCCAGUAAAGUACGAUUACGACGUUUGGACACACCAUUUCGUUGUGGUGUUCCGGGUGGCGUGAGUUGCGAAACUAUUCCGCAUUGUUUCAAAUGUAAACCAAACUCGUAACUCAAAUAUUCUCCUCCACGAUCAGAUCGUAGAAAAUUUAUUUUCUUGUUACGAUGAUUUUCCACUUCACUCUGAAAUUCUUUUAACUUUUCAAAUGUUUCAGACUUGUGUUUCAUCAAGUAGAUAUACCCAUAUCUGCUCAAAUCAUCUAUGAAGGUGAGAAAAUAACGAUACCCGCCGCGAGCUUCAAUAUUCAUUGGACCACCUACAUCAGUAUGUAUGAUUUCCAACAAAUCAGUUGCUCGCUCCAUAGUUCCGGAGAACAGCGUUUUAGUCAUCUUGCCCAUGAGGCACAGUUCGCAAGUACCAAGUGAUUCAUAAUCAAGUGAUUCCAAAAGUCCAUCAGUAUAGAGUUUCUUCAUGCGCUUUACACCGAUAUGACCUAAACGGCAGUGCCACAAAUAAGUUGCACUAUCAUUAUCAACUCUGCAUCUUUUGGAUUCAACAUUAUGAAUAUGUGUAUCACUACUAUCGAGAUUUAAUAAAAAUAGACCACUCUUCAAGGGUGCAUGACCAUAAAAUAUAAUACUCAUAUAAAUAGAACAACCAUUAUUCUCUGAUUUAAAUGAAUAACCGUCUCGCAUCAAACAAGAUCCAGUUAUAAUGUUCAUGCUCAACGCUGGCACCAAAUAACAAUUAUUUAGGUCUAAAACUAAUCCCGAUGGUAGAUGUAGAGGUAGUGUGCCGACCACGAUCACAUCGACUUUGGAACCAUUUCAGACGCGCAUCGUCACCUCAUCCUUAGCCAAUCUUCCCUUAAUCCGUAGUCCCUGUUUCGAGUUGCAAAUAUUAGCAACAGAACAGUAUCAAAUACCCAGGUGCUACUGCGAGCAUUAGUAAGGUACACAUCAAUAACAUGUAUAUCACAUAUACCUUUGUUCACUUUGCCAUCCUUCUUAUCCGCCAAAUACUUGGGGUAGUUCCGCUUCCAGUGUCCAGUCUGCUUGCAGUAGAAGCACUCAGUCUCAGGCUUAGGUCCAGACUUGGGUUUCUUCUCUUGAGCAGCAACUUGUUUGUUGUUCUUCUUGAAGUUCCCCUUCUUCUUCCCUUUGCCCUUUUUCUUGAAACUAGUGGUCUUAUUGACCAUCAACACUUGAUGCUCCUUCUUGAUUUCUACCUCCGUAGCCUUUAGCAUUGCGAAGAGCUCGGGAAUAGUCUUGUCCAUCCCUUGAAUAUUAUAGUUCAUUACGAAGCUCUUGUAGCUUGGUGGCAGUGAUUGAAGAAUUCUGUCAAUGACACUAUCAUCAGGAAGAUUAACUCCUAGUUGAAUCAAGUGAUUAUUAUACCCAGACAUUUUGAGUAUGUGUUCACUGGCAGAACUAUUCUGCUCCAUCUUACAGCUACAGAACUUAUUGGAGACUUCAUAUCUCUCAAUCCGGGCAUUUGCUUGAAAUAUUAACUUCAACUCCUGAAACAUCUCAUAUGCUCCAUGACGUUCAAAACAUCGUUGAAGACCCGGUUCCAAGCUGUAAAGCAUGGCACACUAAACUAUCGAGUAGUCAUCAGCUUUGCUCUGCCAGACGUUCUUAACGUCGUCAGUUGCAUCAGCAGCAGGCCUGGCACCUAGCGGUGCUUCCAGGACGUAAUUCUUUUGUGCAGCAAUGAGGAUAAUCCUCGGGUUACGGACAUAGUCCGUGUAAUUGCUACCAUCAUCUUUCAACUUAGCUUUCUCAAGGAACGCAUUAAAAUUCAACGGAACAACAGCACGAGCCAUCUAUCUACAAUAAACAUAGACAAGCAAAAUACUAUCAGGUACUAAGUUCAUGAUAAAUUUAAGUUAAAUUAAUCAUAUUACUUAAGAACUCCCACUUAGACAGACAUCUCUCUAGUUAUCUAAGUGAUCACGUGAUCCAAAUCAACUAAACCAUGUCCGAUCAUCAUGUGAGAUGGAGUAGUUUCAAUGGUGAACAUCUCUAUGUUGAUCAUAUCUACUAUAUGAUUCACGUUCGACCUUUCGGUCUCCGUGUUCCGAGGCCAUAUCUGUAUAUGCUAGGCUCGUCAAGUUUAACCUGAGUAUUCUGCGUGUGCAACUAUUUUGCACCCGUUGUAUUUGAACGUAGAGCCUAUCACACCCGAUCAUCACGUGGUGUCUCAUCACGAAAAACUUUCGCAAUUGUGCAUACUCAGGGAGAACACUUCUUGAUAAUUUAGUGAGAGAUCAUCUUAAAAUGCUACCGUCAAUCAAAGCAAGAUAAGAUGCAUAAAGGAUAAACAUCACAUGCAAUCAAUAUAAGUGAUAUGAUAUGGCCAUCAUCAUCUUGUGCUUGUGAUAUCCAUCUCCGAAGCACCGUCGUGAUCACCAUCGUCACCGGCGCGACACCUUGAUCUCCAUCGUAGCAUCGUUGUCGUUACGCCAUCUAUUGCUUCUACGACUAUCGCUACCGCUUAGUGAUAAAGUAAAGCAAUUACAGGGCGUUUGCAUUUCAUACAAUAAAAUGACAACCAUAUGGCUCCUGCCAGUUGCCGAUAACUUCGGUUACAAAACAUGAUCAUCUCAUACAAUAAAAUAUAACAUCACGUCUUGACCAUAUCACAUCACAACAUGCCCUGCAAAAACAAGUUAGACGUCCUCUACUUUGUUGUUGCAAAUUUUACGUGGCUGCUACGGGCUGAGCAAGAAUCGUUCUUACCUACGCAUCAAAACCACAACGAUAGUUCAUCAAGUUAGUGAUGUUUUAACCUUCGCAAGGACCGAGCGUAGCCACACUCGGUUCAACUAAAGGGAGAGAGACACACACCCGCUGGUCACCUUUAAGCAACGAGUGCUCGUAGCGGUGAAACCAGUCUCGCGUAAGCGUAUGCGUAAUGUCGGUCCGAGCCGCUUCAUCUCACAACGCCGCUGAACCAAAGUAUGACAUGCUGGUAACCAGUAUGACUUAUAUCACCCACAACUCACUUGUGUUCUAAUCGUGCAUACGACAUCUACGCAUAAAAGCAGGCUCGGAUGCAACUAUUGGGGAACGUAGUAAUUUCAAAAAAUUUCCUACGCACACGCAAGAUCAUGGCGAUGCAUAGCAACGAGAGGGGAGAGUGUUGUCCACGUACCCUCGUAGACCGUAAGCGGAAGCAUUAUGACAACGCGGUUGAUGUAGUCGUAUGUCUUCACGAUCCGACCGAUCCAAGCACCGAACGUACGGCACCUCCGAGUUCAGCACACGUUCAGCUCGAUGACGAUCCCCAGACUCCGAUCCAGCAGGGUGUCGGGGAUGAGUUCCAUCAGCACGAUGGCGUGGUGACGAUGAUGAUGUUCUACCGACACAGGGCUUCGCCUAAGCACCGCAACGAUAUGACCGAGGUGGAAUAUGGUGGAGGGGGGCACCGCACACGGCUAAGGAACAAUCACGAUGAUCAACUUGUGUGUCUAGAGGUGCCCCCUUGCCCCCGUAUAUAAAGGAGGGAGGGGGAGGUGCGGCCGCCCCCUAGGGGUGCGCCUGGAGGAGUCCUACUCCCACCGGGAGUAGGACUCCCCCCUCUUGCCUUGGUGGAGAAGGAAAGGGGGGAGGGGAAAGAGGAAAGGGGGGCGCCGCCCCCCCCCCUUCCUUGUCCUAUUCGAACUAGGGGGGUGGGGGCGCGCGGCCUGCCCUGGCCGGCCCUCNNNNNNNNNNNNNNNNNNNNNNNNNNNNNNNNNNNNNNNNNNNNNNNNNNNNNNNNNNNNNNNNNNNNNNNNNNNNNNNNNNNNNNNNNNNNNNNNNNNNNNNNNNNNNNNNNNNNNNNNNNNNNNNNNNNNNNNNNNNNNNNNNNNNNNNNNNNNNNNNNNNNNNNNNNNNNNNNNNNNNNNNNNNNNNNNNNNNNNNNNNNNNNNNNNNNNNNNNNNNNNNNNNNNNNNNNNNNNNNNNNNNNNNNNNNNNNNNNNNNNNNNNNNNNNNNNNNNNNNNNNNNNNGGUUCCGGUAAACCCCCGGUACUCCGGUAAAAUCCUGAUUUCACCCGGAACGUUUCCGAUAUCCAAAUAUAGGCUUCCAAUAUAUCAAUCUUUAUGUCUCGACCAUUUCGAGACUCCUCGUCAUGUCCGUGAUCACAUCCGGGACUCCGAAAAACCUUUGGUACAUCAAAACUUAUAAACUCAUAAUAAAACUGUCAUCGUAACGUUAAGCGUGCGGACCCUACGGGUUCGAGAACUAUGUAGACAUGACCUAGAACUGUUUCCGUUCAACAACCAAUAGCGGAACCUGGAUGCUCAUAUUGGCUCCUACAUAUUCUACUAAGAUCAUUAUCGGUCAAAUCGCAUAACAACAUACGUUGUUCCCUUUGUCAUCGGUAUGUUACUUGCCCGAGAUUCGAUCGCCGAUAUCCAAUACCUAGUUCAAUCUCGUUACCGGCAAGUCUCUUUACUCGUUACGUAAUGCAUCAUUCUGUAAGUAACUCAUUAGCUACAUUGCUUGCAAGGCUUAUAGUGAUGUGCAUUACCGAGAGGGCCCAGAGAUACCUUUCCGACAAUUGGAGUGACAAAUCCUAAUCUCAAAAUACGCCAACUCAACAUGUACCUUCGGAGACACCUGUAGAGCUCCUUUAUAAUCACCCAGUUACGUUGUGACGUUUGGUAGCACACAAAGUGUUCCUCUGGUAAACGGGAGUUGCAUAAUCUCAUAGUUGUAGGAACUUUGUAUAAGUCAUGAAGAAAGCAAUAGCAACAUACUAAACGAUCAAGUGCUAGGCUAACGGAAUGGGUCAAGUCAAUCACAUCAUUCUCCUAAUGAUGUGAUCCUGUUAAUCAAAUGACAACACAUGUCUAUGGUUAGGAAACAUAACCAUCAUUGAUUAAUGAGCUAGUCAAGUAGAGGCAUACUAGUGAUAUUAAGUUUGUCUAUGUAUUCACACAUGUAUUAUGUUUCUGGUUAAUACAAUUCUAGCAUGAAUAAUAAACAUUUAUCAUGAUAUGAGGAAAUAAAUAAUAACUUUAUUAUUGCCUCUAGGACAUAUUUCCUUCACAAAUUCCAUCGGAAGAAUACUAUAUGUGGAGAGGCUAAUAGCUGGGUCCACGGUAGCCGCAAGGAAGUGCUUCCUUAUUACGCGGAAAAUAAUUAUUCCUCCAGCUGAUAGCAGGGACCCACCGGAUGGGCCACCAGUAUUUCGCGAAAAAAACGUUUGCCCCUGACUGCUGGGACCCACCCGACGGGGCACCGUAUUUCGCGAAAAAAACGUUCCCCCUGCUGUCAGCUCGGACCCACCGGAAGUGCCUUCUUAUUACGCACAAAAAAUGAAUACCCCCCUGCUAGCUGGGACUCACCUUGGUGGGAGGCUGACUUGUGGGCCUACUAAGUUGACGGGGACGGAGGGCUUUGUCAACUUAGUCAAUAUAAACAAUUCUAGCUCAAGUGACCGUACGAUGUCCAUCCAACGGCCGUAGUGCUUCUUCAACCUCUGGUCUUCUUGCUCCAGCCGCCCAAAGCAGCGCCGGUCGUGCCGCAUGCUCCUGCCUCCCGUGGCCGGAUGUGCUGCUGCGGAGGCCUCACCGCCCCCUACUAUUCCCACCGCUGGCCAGGCCCUGCGGCGACGGCAGCCUCACACCGCAGCCGAACCAGUGAACCCUCCUACUCCUCUCGACGCGGGCUUCACUGCCGUGUCUUCCCUGUCUCCCUGUUGUCCCCUUCCUAGGCCUCGUCGUCGUCCACCGCCCUGGUGCUCUCGGCGCGGCGUGGUCAACAUGGUCAAGGAACGACUUCCAUCGCACGUGGACUGUAUGUGGAGAGGCUGACAGUUAGGUCCACGGCCGCAGCAAGGAAGUGCCUCCUUAUUACGCGGAAAAUAAUUAUUCCUCCACCUGACAGCGGGGACCCACCGGACGGGCCACCGUACUUCGCGAAAAAACGUUUCCCCCUUGACUGCUGGGACCCACCAGCUACACCUUCGCACGCAAGGAAGUGCGUCCGGGCAAAAAAAAUUAUUCACCCCUCUGACUGCUGGGACCCAUCAGAUACAUUUUCGCACGCAAGGAAGUGCCUGACAGUCGGGACCCACCUGGUCGAAGUGUACGUAGCGUUGUCAUUCUGGUCACGAAUGUGUACGUACAUACUGGUCGUUGUAGAGGCGCGCAUGUGUCAUAGUAAAGGCGCGCACGUAGCAUACUACAAGAGAUCGGGCCUACUAUGACGAGCUAAAAAAUGUCAUCGAAUAUCUAAUAAGGUCACAAAUUACCCCCCGGUGACAUUUUAUGGGCGUCACAAGCAUCGUCACAGAUUACUCCUAGUGAUGGCGCACGCGCAAAAACGUCAUCGAAAUUGAGACCUUUGGUGACAUUAUAUAGAACAUCAUCGACUUGCUAUUUCCAUGACGGUCAAUUAACGUCACAUGUUAGGAGAAAAUAUGCCAUGUUAUACCAUAUUCGGUGAAGAGGCAACGUCACUAACUUUAUGCCACAUCAACACCCGAUAGGCUAUCCCACUACUAGUGCCACUACUUUUAUUAUCGAUGAAGAUGACGUCAUUAAAAAAAUUUACUUUCUUUCAAAUCUAAAUUACGAUGAAAAUAAGUAUUUAAUUCACAUCACAUCACAUCAGAUUAUAUGAAAAAGUUAAAGAGAAAAAUCACAUCAUAAAUUGAUAUGAAAGUCAAAUCAUAUUAUAUAUGAAAUCGUCUCAGCCAAAUCAUUCUGUAAACAAAAUGACACUAAAAAACUAACUCAAGUUUGACACAUAUAAUAGACAAGAUGAAAACUAAUAUCAACUAAAGACACAUAUGUUAUCCUGAUGAUUCCAAUGUAAGGAUGGCAUUCAUGAACCAUCUGGUUUGGACUCGGACUCCUGAGUUGCUUGUUGAGUUGCUUGAGCCCUCAAGAGAAAAUCAAGCAGAUUAUCCGUCUCCUUUUGCUUCUUUGUCCAGGCUUCAUUCUUCUCUUCCUGGAUCUUCUUUAGAGCUUCCAAUUCUUCUUGCUGCUUCUUUUGUAUCUCUUCAAAUGCUCUCUCUUGUGCUUCAAGUCUUGCGGCUAACUCCUCUCGAUGCCUAUAAAUCACAAAACACAGCAACAUUGCAUCGUAUUGAGAUGAAAAUAGACAAGAUAACAAGGUACAAGGGUAUCAAUUUGAAAUAGAGAAGUACAUUAUUAAAUUUCAAGGCAAGCAUGUCCAUGGGCCAAUGAAACAUUAAACCCAAAAAUAACUUAUAAUGUUUUAAAAUAUGCAUAACCAAUAGCUUGCUUACAGGAAGCAUCGCCAAAAGGAUAUCAAGUCAACAACCCAGGUUAAAAGAAGCACUCGUUAGUUGAACUUUUGUUCACUGAAAUAAGUGCACUCUGCACAUAGAAGAAAGCAAAAAGAAAUAACAAGAACGGAAAGGGAAAUAAGAUAAUUACCUAUCAUUUGCAUCUCUUGCCUCUCUAUCCUUCUGUUCAAUUCUUUCUUCUAGAACUUUGAUCUGGGCUGAUGAAGUAGAGCUUCCAGACCUCCCGGAUCUUGAUGCAUACCCCAUGCUGGAAAGGAAGGUGCUAUGGGCGUUUUUUCCCUUUAGAACUUUAGCCACAAUCGCUGUAUCGGAUACUGACUGCUCACCUUCUGAUUGUGUUUUCCUUUUCUUUUCCAUUGCAUUCUAUAGUAUAAAGAAAAACAUUGAUGCUAAGGCAAAGUUCAUAUGCUAUAUUACACUUUAUCAAUAUGAGAAUCUAUUUCAAGUCAGAAACAAUAAAGGAAGAAAUCUUACAUGAGCUAGAAGUGCUGGCUCGCUCAUGCUACCGGUCUUGCUGUUUGUAUGGGUGUCUUUGAAAAAUUCAAUGGGACUUGGGUCCUGAUUAUUGUACUUGUCUUUUUUCUACAAGAUAUAUGAAAUUGUAACAUUACUACUACAUAUAUAUAUUGGCCAGAUGCAAUAGACAUAGGACUACAAGUAAGAUAUUUGGAAUUCUUACAAGUUUGCUGAAAUAGGCAACAUAAGACAUAGAUCUCUUUUGGUGAUGCUUCACAGCUUCUCGAUUUACCUUAUUCAUUUGACAUAUUUCCUAUAUAGAGAAAAUGAAUAUAAGUAUUUACACAUGGUAAACUAUUGUUGGUCGCAUGUCUUGUUACAAACGUUGUUUCUUUCAUCAGACCAUUUAUUGACAAGGCUGAUCCAAUUCUCAUGAGUAAUAUUCGCUGGCUUUUUUGAUAAUGCUUCUUGAGAAGUAUAACCAUUGAAGUAUUUCUUCUUUAGCCUGUAGCGUUGUUGUCAAACACCCUUCUGGAUUACUUUUGUGCAUACAUCAUUCCCAACCUUGUCAUCCUUAUCCAUCUCAAAGUUAAGUUGAAAUACCAAUCAUAUACAGGAUAUAUCACUAAAUUGACUAUGCAACAUGCAAACACGUGAAUGAAAAUUGAAGGAAACUAUCCCACCGCGAUACCUUUAAUAGCAUGGGGAAUAACAUGUUUGAGUGGGCUUUUGUCAUAGUCAUUCUCUGAUGUGAAUACCACACUAAGAAGAAAGCUUUGCUACUUGGACUGGGUCCGUAGGUCUCACUUUCCCCGCUGUAAAAUCAAUAUGCAUUUUCCUCCCUCCAUUUCUGCUUGCAUACUCCUGAAGCCCAUGCCCCAUGGUUGGUCUACGUCCACGACAUCUCCUUGACGGAUGUCGAUCAGUUGGACCAGUGGAGCAUGCUAAUGCAUCUACAUUACAAGUUGGCAGAUAAAUUAGAAGGUUACAAUUUAAAGUGGAAAAUAGAAGGGGUGAAGCAAUGAUGUCGCAUAUACCUUGGCCUUGUAAUGUAAUCAUGUUAUCUGAUUAUCCGGAUGUGCCUAUCAUGUCUUGAGAACCUUGUACCCCUGAAUCAGGAUCAGGCGAGUAUCUAUCCUUAGAAGUUAGGUGAGGUGAUGUGUUUGUUGGGUUUGGUGCAGACUGUUCUUGAUGGUUUGUAGCUUCAAAUGACUCAGUUGUUCUGGUAGCUCUAGAUCUUGUUAUUCUUGAGGUAGCAGCUGCACUGUUUUUGCAUCUGACACGCUUUUUCGUUUUUGGCAUGGCAGAACCUUCAGGUGCCUGGGUCAAACAAGUGAGUAAAACAAGGCAUUUAAUCGACACUAACUUAUGCAAUGUCAACAGAGGUUCAAAUAGGAAUGCAGCGAAUAGAGAUGCCAUCAUCUAGAUUAAUUAGGAAAAGUGGAGGGACAAAAAAUGUGAAGAAAUCUUUGAGUACGCAUAGUGCACAGUGGCAUACACAUGAUACAAGCAAGGUGAAAUUAGAGCAAGUGAAUCCACAAUGUACCUCUUCUUCUUCAUCUCUCAAAUCCUCUUCCUCUCCAUGGGCCUCCUCUUCAGCAUCUGGUUCAUACUCUGAGUCGCUGCAAUCAUCAGCAGCUCGUGCAUUUUGUGUCGGUUGCACAUUAGAGGCACUAGGGUAUACAAGGCUACGAGCUAAGCUUUUUAUGUCUUUAAGAUACUCCCUCUCCACAGCCUUGCGUUCCGCAAUCCUUGCAUCCCUUUCCUUCAAAUACGCCUCACCCUUGUGUUUCUGUUCCGCAAGAUUUCACCACUAUGCAUAUCACAAGAAAUAAAUAACAUACUUGGAAAUAUGAAGCGUCCAGAAUUCAGUUAAACAAGAACAAGUGCAGACUCAUAGACUCAGUCUUUAUUCAAGUUUCAAACAAGUGCAGAGUCGCUCUUUAUUCAGUUUUGAACAAAAAGAAGUGCAGACUCAUAGACUCAGUCUUUAUUCAGUUUCAAACAAGUGCAUAGUCGCUCUAUAUUCAGUUUUGAACAAGAGGAAGUGCAGACACAGUCUUUAUCUAGAAUUCAAAAUAAAGAACAUACACUGUCAACUCCAUAUGUUAAUAUAUUGUAUCAAGAACAAGAGCAGACUCAAUCUUUAUUCAGUUAUGACGAUCGUAGGUGAAGACUUUUAUGGGGUAGCAGAGCCACAAACAGGGACAUUGUCGUUGUAUUACGGGAAAUCUCAUGACUGAAUAAAGACCAAGUAAAUCUUACAGAGCUAUUGUAUUUGCCACAUGGUCGCUGUAUUCAGACAUGUAAAUAAGUCUCACACCCGUGGGUGCUUUUAUCCCCCAAAUCGCUUCCCUGAUGAUCCCCUACGUCUAGAGCUUGGGGUAUGAGGAGGGCAGGAUAAGAAAUUUACCGUGAGCUGCCGCCGAUCGCUGCAAUCAUUUCGGAAAGAGAGCCGGGUGGGGCGGCCUCCAAUCCACUGUCGCCGGUUGAUGCGGUGGAUCCGUGCUCGGCCGGUCGGGCGGCCUCCUCCAAUCCGUCGUCGCCGGUCGCUGAAAUCAGGGGGGAAUAUAGCGAAGUGCUCACGGGGAUGGUUGAUGUCGGUGGAUCCGAGCUCGGACGGCGGGGCGGCCACCCCCAAUCUGUCGGCCCUGAUCACCGCAGUCGUGGUGUCGAUUGAAUCUGACGAGAAAAAUUCCGGGGUGGGCGGUGGCUUUUAGCGGCGCCUGUUCGCGGGGGAAAUAGAAGGAUAAUCUUUGGCUAGGUCUUUGACUGGUGGGGACACAGGGUGAAUGCGGGAAAAAAUAUAGAAAAGUGGAUGGAAAAUAGUACGUGGAUGGAGGGAAAAGAGUUUUUUUUUUGCGAGGAGAUGGUGUAUUUUCAUAAUUUAUUUUACUUAAUUAAUAUUAUGUAAUUCAUUUAAUUUGAAAUAAGUACAAAAUGAUUAUUAAAAAGUAAAUCUUACAUGAACAAUAUGAUGUGGUAUUUUACAUGUUGUUUUCUUUGGGAUAACUAUAAAUAAAUAUGUCGAAAAUUGUAUAGAGGGAUCUUAAGUAUGUGAUCUCGAAAAAAAUGCAAAUGAGUGAUUAUUCUAGCUGCUUGCGUAAAUAAAUUUGGUAAGUUGGGAUGAUUUUUUUCUUUUUUCUUAGGAAAACAUCUGAUCUACUCCUUUCAAUCAUGGCAGUACAACGAAUAUCAAAAAAAUAUAUAGAUUUGUAGACCACCUAGCGACGACUCCAAGCGCUGAAGCGAGGCGAAGACGCGUCGCUGUCAUCGCCCCUCCCUCAUCGGAGCCGGGUAAAAUUUGUUGUAGUGGACAGUCAGGAGGUCGCCGUGCUAAGGCACCAUAGAAUCAGCAGAACAUCAACUGUCACCGAGGAAGAGUAGCAUAGAUCAGAAGGAUCCAACACGAAGACAAUAUCCGAGCAAAUCCACCAAAGAUGGAUGUGCUGGAGACACACCUCCACACGCCCACUGACAAUGCUAGAUGCACCACUGAAACUGCGGCUAGGCGAGGAGAGUCGUAUUUCCAUCUUUAGGGAGCCCCGCCAUCUCAUCUUUCUAAGCAGGACAUAGUCCCUCAUAAAUCUCGAAAACACAUCUAAAAAUGGAGCUCUCCCAUUGGCAAGGGCCGGAAUUCACCACGCCCCAAUGCCUUACGACCACCGGAGACGAGCCGGACCGACGGCCGCGCCAGUGGGAGGAAGAGGAGCCCUAAUUUCUUGGGGAGAAGGGGGCUCCAUGAUGAUGUGUUUCAAUGAUGAUUGUCUCAUAGUCUGAUUUUACUCAUGCGCAUAGCCCCCAACCUCCAACAUAAGCGAACUAGGGUUCAUCCUCGAUCAUCACCCUCCUAGUCCUUCAUCAACUAAAUCGAUGGGGGUGUAUGUGGGAUGUUAGAUGGGCUCCUCAUACCAUCCAUAUAUGGCCGGGCUGAGCGGUAGCCCUCAUAUACAGUCCAUACCUGGGGUGGGUAUGGGGAAGACCGGCGCGUCCGCCAGGCGGACCAUCCUGCACUGACCCCACCCCUGUCCCUACAAAUGUCCGAAGUGGGACCAAACCCUAUUACACAUGUCCACCUCAUUCCACUUUCUUCUUCUCCCCUUCCUCCAUCCGCCCUACUCCUACCUCGCCAUGGUCGAGAACAGAUCCGACAGCAACUCCUCAAGCCCGGGUGGGCAGUAGCAUCUCCGCAGCGCCGCGCGGUCGCCUCACACAAUCACUUCCUUUCCCGAUCAUUGAUCCAUAAAAAUGUUCGUGAAUUCAGAAAAAUGUUCACAAUUUGUAAAAAUUGAACAUUUUUUAAUUUUGAUUAAACAUUUCUAUUUUUUUGAAGUUUUUUUUUGUAUUUUCAAUGAAGAACAUUUGAAUUUUGUAGAUUUUUUUUUGAAUUCAAUGAACAUUCAUUGUAUUUUCCAUGAACAUUCAGAAAAAUUAUGUUUGUCUACCACUAUGGUGUAUGCUUAAAAAAACGCUCACACUCAGCUGCUCCUCGUCUCCUCCAUGUCGUUAUCCACAAAAAUUUCCCAAAUCACGCCGCACCCCGCGUGAAGGCCAAGACAACCCGCCGCCGGUGGCUCCCAAAGAGCGCCGUUCGGGCCGAGCGCCCUCGCCCCUCUGCUUGCUGCUCGAGCUGCAGGGGCGCCUGCUUCGCCGGCGGCGGUUCCGCAACAGCGUGCUGUCUGAAGCACAGUGGCGUCCCUUCCCCCGCUGCUCCCAUGGCACGGCUUCUUCCUCCAGCCGUUCUGCGGGGGCCGAGGCGGUGCUUGCGGAUGCACGCGGUGCAGGGGAGAAGUCGGGAGGGGUCGCGCGGGAGGAGAAGGAUCGGGUCUCGGUGGUUCUUCAGGAGGCGCGUGCAAAGGGGAACACGCGUGCAAAGAGGGCAGCAGGGUGAGUGCUUGAUCAAUCGCCAUGUUCAGUACUGCACUUUUGCACACACGUAUCCGUUAGAUGUCAAGUAAAACUAUCUACGAGUCCAAUUACAUGCAAGUACUGACCAAAUCACCCAUGUAUGUCUCAAAUCUGAACCAUGGUCUCUACUGUAUUAUGUGAACAUGAACAUAUAAAAAACAUAAAAGAGGUAAACUUUGGUAAAAUACAAAUAGGCAUCACACAAUCUACUCAUCAUCACUUGAAUGCUCAUUCUCGCUCAAUGCACCAUCUUCCUGUCCAUCAUCGUCAGUACCACUAUCUUCAUCAUAAUUGUUGUCAUCUUUGAGAAGAUCGUGAACAAUACUAGCAUGAACAGGCGUGCCUUCUUCAUCAUCACGGCUAUAAGUGUCGAACAAUUGAUCAAUAUCCUUCACAGUGGAAGUUGUCGAGGGCAUUUCUUCCUGGUAUGCAUCUGUAGCAUUGAGCUCGCCUGUCUCUAGUUCAGGAACAUCGUACAAACGUCUAUGACUGAAAGUCUGCACCACAUUCCAGUCAUUUCCAUAUUUUGUGUCCUCCAUGUAAAACACUUGCUCUGCUUGAGAAGCCAAGAUGAAAGUAUCCUUCUUGUAUUAAAGCACGUUAACAUUAAGACUUUUGAAGUAACCAUCAUCUUUCAUGCCGGUCGCCUUGCCAUGGAGAUCAAACCAAUCACCACGAAACAAAAAGGCCGACCUUUCUCCACGCUUGGUAGGCAGAAAUCUUCGGUGCCAACAAACCAAAUUUUAUUUUUCAAUGGCUCAGAGCAAGGGUCCACAUCACAGUGCACUACAACAAAAUAGUUUACCUUAGCAAAAUUAUGCUUACACCGCAUUGAAGCAAAAUCUACUACUAACACAACUAGUGAACCCACUACUAAACUGAAAUAACAAAACGGGCACAAAUUUAACCCCUUCAAGAUUGAUGAGAACAUAUACUAAGGCAACCUCCUAAACAUUGUCUUUCCUAAGUACAGCAUAUAUGCUUGGUUUCCAAAGGCCACUGACUUGUGGAUGUCUUAUACAAAAACAUAUAUAUUCUCACUGUCAUUGCAAAACCAUGCAUAUAUCUAUGCUACAUCAUAGUAACAUUCGUACACACAAUACAACAGUAGAAGUAAUAGUUCGGUUGUUCACACAAUUUACCUUGCAGGGGUCGGCUCGAUCGAUGCUUUGGGAGUUGGGGCCAAGCCGGGAGCACUGGCAAGUCUAAACUCCGCGCCUUUGUCAGGUGAUGGAUAGAUACUGCAAAUUCUAAGCACAGUUGGUGACGGGACGGUGGCCAGUUGGGGACAGGUUGAGGACGAGCGAUGUUGUCCCUGUCGGCGACGAGCAAAUGCGAUGCCUGUGGUGGAAGAAUGGAGGUAAGAGGGAGAGGCGGAGGAGCGGUGUGGUAGCCGGUGCGAUGCGGCGGCGCUGUAACGCCUUGUACGAUAUGUCGAUAUGGUGGCCGGAUGGAUCCGUGUGAGGUGGUACAGGGGAGUGGAUGCACUUACUUCAAUUGGCAACAGCCGGAAGCCAUCUGUGCCGUGCUUCGGCUAUCGCCGUCCUGCUUCUCCCCGUCGUGAAACGCCGCCAGCUAGAACCGAGAAGACGAUCAGAUCGAGUCACAUAUGCCCCGGGAAGAAAUAACUAACCUGCAAAUAUAGUCUCCCUCAAAAAAAAACCCGGAAAUGUUAACGCCCACACGUGUGGGCGUUUGCACAUCGCCCACACGCCUCCAGCACCACUCAUUUUGCCACAUAUGAAUAGAUGACAUCAGCAGAAUUUUUUUUGGUUUUCGGCUUAAAAAUGUUGUAUCUCCUAAAUAAAAAAGCGAACUAAAAAUCCGUUUUCACCAUUAAAUCCGUCUCGACGAGAUCUUCAAAACUAGACCCCAUGUUGAUAUGUUUCGACGAUUUUUUUUUGCCAGAAGUUGCCAUGAUGUUUACACUGCAGUUGUCAUAGGGCUUAAACUAAAGUUGCCAUGUGGAAAUUUUAGUUUGUAGAUCAUGACAAUUUUAGUAUUUUGAUGAUGGCAACUCCAGUACUUUGACCAUGAAAAUUAUUUUUUGUAUGAAUCAUGGCAAUUUUACGUGCAUGUAUCAUGGCAAUUUUAGUUUAUGGUUCAUGGCAAGUCUAGUUUCUUAAUUCCCCGUUUUAUAAAUGUCAAAAUUUACUUUUAAAUGUAGAAGAAAAUAGCUGAAACAUAUCAUGGCAACUUGAGUGUAAACAUCAUGGCAAUUCAUAUGCAAUAGACAUGACAACUUUUAAUCCAAUUUUUUUUUCGUGAAAACAUAUCAACAUGGGAUCUAAUUUCGAAGAUCUCAUCGCGAGGGAUUUAAUGGUGAAAACGGAUUUUCAAUCGGAUUUUUCGUUUAAGAGAUAAAACAUUUUAAAAACUGAAAAUCCAAAAAAAUUCCUGCAUGCAUGCAUGUGAUGACGUGACAAUCUGUUUACAUUAUAGACGUGUGGUGCGUCUCCCUUCCUGCCACACGUGUGGCAGUUAGCGCGACCCAAAAGGAAAACUACAGAUAUAGUCACAACCCCAGGCGUGUAGUCCAAGAAUAUGAUAUCAUGAUUUGUAUAGCGUCCAAAGUCUUUCCUAAUGGCAACAUAUAGUCCAAGCAUAUGAUAGCACGAUUUGCAUAGAAUCCGUACUCUUUCCUAAUGCCGGUUCUGACUCCUGUAAUAAUCCUUUUGGCGUCGACUCUCCUGUCUUAUUUUUAGUUUUUAUUGAUAGAACGAAACAAUAUGACCUCACGAGCGCCUCAUUCAAGUUUUUUGCCCGGUCUGUUUAUAGAUAAGAAUAAAAAAAAAAGUAAGAUGUCAUCGACUCUCCUAUUUCCAUUUAACUUUUGAGAUAGAACGAAACAAAAUUAGCUCACGAACGCCCAAUUGAAGUUUUCAGCAUAUACACUGCCAAACAAAAAUAAUUGUUUUAAAAUUUAUAUAUUUAAUGCCCGAUUUAAUUUUUUGUCGAGCCACUACCUAUUUAUAUUAGGAAGAACAAAAUAACCAUCUAAAAAAGAACAAAACAAGGUCUUCCCUUUUUAUAAGAAUAUAAUAUUCAUAAGUAUUUUCAUGGCAACUACCUACUUAUAUUAGAUAAAAUAAAAUAAUUAUAACGCUAAAUAGACUUUAAAAAAAUGGUGGCGGGUCCCACUGCCAAAACCGACGCAUGGCUCCUACCUCUUGAUAACCCGUGAACUAGCUAUUGUGGGUCCCACUGCUAGACGCUACAUAACAAAAAAUGAUCAUCACAUAUUUGUAGUAUUCAGUGACUCUAGCUAGUUCGUCAUACAAAAUACCAAAUUGUCACAGAAAUUGGCAACCAGGUGUGCUGAAAGGCCGAGGCAUCCCAGUGACAUCUAACGUCACCGAUUUGCGGUAAUUGGUGACGCCACCUAUUAGAACAUCACACAUUAGGCAUUUAGGUGACGUUGUCCACCAUUGUCACAAGGAUUUUCUUCACUGUAUGUCAAUUUUGUUGUACUACACGUACGUACAGCGGCCAGGGUGCAAGAAAGAAAAUACGACCACGUAUGUGUACAUACGGGCGGGGUCUCGAAUGCCUACUCGCGCAUACGUACGACGAGGGCUCGUGUACAUGUCUGGGUCGGAACGGAGAAACAGCAUCGUCGUCGUGUUCAUGGGGAGCCAAUCAGCUGGGUCGGAACGGAAUGCGUGGUCGUGUUCAUCAGGAGGGCUUGGACGGAACAGGUGAUGGAAACGAGGCUCGGCGUAGCGCACAACGGAGGAAACAGGCCUCCUACGGUCGAAACGGGGGUCCUGUUGAUCGGGAGGGGUGUGGCGUACCGCAAAACGGAGGAAACGGACCUUCUACGGUCGAAACGGGUCUCCUGUUGAUCGGGAGGGGUGUGGUGUUGGAAAUAUGCCAUAGAGGCAAUAAUAAAAGGAUUAUUAUAUUUCUUUGUUCAUGAUAGUUGUCUUUUAUUCAUGCUAUAAUUGUAUUAUCCGGAAAUCGUAAUACACGUGUGAAUACAUAGACCACAGUACGUCCCUAGUAAGCCUCUAGUUCACUAGCUCGUUGGUCAACAGAUAGUCAUGGUUUCCUGACUAUGGACAUUAGAUGUCGUUGACAACGGGAUCACAUCAUUAGGAGAAUGAUGUGAUGGACAAGACCCAAUCCUAAGCAUAGCACAAGAUCGUGUAGUUCAUUUUGCUAGAGCUUUUCCAUUGUCAAGUAUCUCUUCCUUAGACCAUGAGAUCGUGUAACUCCCGGAUACCGUAGGAGUGCUUUGGGUGUACCAAACGUCACAACAUAACUGGGUGACUAUAAAGGUGCACUACAGGUAUCUCCGAAAGUGUCUGUUGGGUUGACACGGAUCGAGACUAGGAUUUGUCACUCCGUAUAACGGAGAGGUAUCACUGGGCCCACUCGGUAGUGCAUCAUCAUAAUGAGCUCAAAGUGACCAAGUGUCUGGUCACGGGAUCAUGAAUUACGGUACGAGUAAAGUGACUUGCCGGCAACGAGAUUGAACUAUGUAUUGGGAUACCGACGAUCGAAUCUUGGGCAAGUAACAUACCGUCUGACAAAGGGAAUAGUAUACGGGGUUGCUUGAAUCCUCGACAUCGUGGUUCAUCCGAUGAGAUCAUCGAGGAGUAUGUGGGAGCCAACAUGGGUAUCCAGAUCCCGCUGUUGGAUAUUGAUCGGAGAGAUGUCUCGGUCAUGUCUGCAUAUCUCCCAAACCCGUAGGGUCUACACACUUAAGGUUCGGUGACGCUAGGGUUGUAUGAAUAUGAGUAUGCAGCAAACCGAAUGUUGUUCGGAGUCCCGGAUGAGAUCCCGGACGUCAGGAGGAGUUCCGGAAUGGUCCGGAGGUAAAGAAUUAUAUAUAGGAAGUGCUGUUUCGGCCAUCGGGAAAGUUUCGGGGUCACCCGGUAUUGUACCGGGACCACCGGAAGGGUCCCGGGGGUCCACCGGGUGGGGCCACCUAUCCCAGAGGGCCCCGUGGGCUGAAGUGGGAGGGGAACCAGCCCCUAGUGGGCUGGUGCGCCCCCCCUUGGGCCCCACUGCGCCUAGGGUUGAAAACCCAGGGUGGGGGCGCACCCCACUUGCCUUGGGGGGCACUCCACCCCCCUGGCCGCCGCCCCCCUUGGGAGAUUGGAUCUCCCAGGGCCGGCGCCCCCCUGGGGGCCUAUAUAAAGGAGGGCAAGGGGGAGGGCAGCCGCACCCUGUGUCUUGGCGCCUCCCUCCCCCUGCUACACCUCUUCCUCCUCCCGCAGCAGCUUGGCGAAGCCCUGCUGGAGUUCUGCUGCAUCCACCGCCACACCGUUGUGCUGCUGGAUCUUCAUCAACCUCUCCUUCCCCCUUGCUGGAUCAAGAAGGAGGAGACGUCAUCCGCUCCGUACGUGUGUUGAACGCGGAGGUGCUGUCCGUUCGGCACUUGGUCAUCGGUGAUUUGGAUCACGACGAGUACGACUCCAUCAUCACCGUUCUCUUGAACGCUUCCGCACGCGAUCUACAAGUGGUAUGUAGAUGCAAUCUCUCUCCUAUGACUCGUUUCUUAGAUGAACUCAUAGAUGGAUCUUGGUGAAACCGUAGGAAUUUUUUUAAUUUUCUGGAACGUUCCCCUACAGUGGCAUCAUGAGCUAGGUCUAUGCGUAGUUCUCUAUUGCACGAGUAGAACACAAAUCUGUUGUGGGCGUAGAUCUUGUCAACUUGCUUGCCACUACUAGUCUUUUCUUGCUUCAGCGGUAUUGUGGGAUGAAGCGGCCCGGACCGACCUUACACGUACGCUUACGUGAGACAGGUUCCACCGACUGACAUGCACUAGUUGCAUAAGGUGGCUAGCGGGUGUCUGUCUCUCCCACUUUAGUUGGAGCGGAUUCGACGAAAGGGGUCCGUAUGAAGGGUCAAUAGAAGUUGACAAAAAAUCACGUUGUGGUUAUUCGUAGGUAAGAAAACGUUCUUGCUAGAACCCAAUUGUAGCCACGUAAAAGAUGCAACAACAAUUAGAGGACGUCUAACUUGUUUUUGUAGCAAUUGUCAUGUGAUGUGAUAUGGCCAGAAGUUGUGAUGAAUGAUGAAUGAUAUAUUGUGAUGUAUGAGAUCAUGUUCUUGCAAUAGGAAUCACGACUUGCAUGUCGAUGAGUAUGACAACCGGCAGGAGCCAUAGGAGUUGUCUUUAUUUUUGUAUGACCUGCGUGUCAUUGAAGAACGCCAUGUAAAUUACUUUACUUUAUUGCUAAACACGUUAGCCAUAGAAGUAGAAGUAGUCAUUGGCGUGACAACUUCAUGAAGACACGAUGAUGGAGAUCAUGAUGAUGGAGAUCAUGGUGUCAUGCCGGUGACGAAGAUGAUCAUGGAGCCCCGAAGAUGGAGAUCAAAGGAGCUAUAUGAUAUUGGACAUAUCAUGUCACUAUUAUAUAGUUGCAUGUGAUGUUUAUUAUGUUUAUGCAUCUUGUUUACUUAGAACGACAGUAGUGAAUAAGAUGAUCCCUUAUAAUAAUUUUAAGAAAGUGUUCCCCCUAACUGUGCGCCGUUGCUAAAGUUCGUCGUUUUGAAGCACCACGUGAUGAUCGGGUGUGAUAGAUCCUUACGUUCACAUAUAACGGGUGUAAGACAGUUUUACACAUGCAUAAACACUUAGGGUUAACUUGCCGAGCCUAGCAUGUACAGACAUGGCCUCGGAACACAAGAGACCGAAAGGUCGAACAUGAGUCGUAUGGAAGAUACGAUCAACAUGGAGAUGUUCACCGAUGAUGACUAGUCCGUGUCACGUGAUGAUCGGACACGGCCUAGUCAACUCGGAUCGUGUAACACUUAGAUGACUAGAAGGAUAUCAAUCUGAGUGGGAGUUCAUUAAAUAAUUUGAUUAGAUGAACUUAAUUAUCAUGAACUUAGUCUAAAGUCUUUGCAAAAAUAUGUCUUGUAGAUCAAAUGGCCAACGCUCAUGUCAACAUGAACUUCAACGCGUUCCUAGAGAAAACCAAGCUGAAAGAUGAUGGCAGCAACUAUUCGGACUGGGUCCGGAACCUGAGGAUCAUCCUCAUAGCAGCCAAGAAAGAUUAUGUCCUAGAUGCACCGCUAGGUGAAGCACCCAUCCCAGAGAACCAAGACGUUAUGAACACUUGGCAAUCACGUGCUGAUGAUUACUCCCUCGUUCAGUGCGGCAUGCUUUACAGCUUAGAACCGGGGCUCCAAAAGCGUUUUGAGCGACACGGAGCAUAUGAGAUGUUCGAGGAGCUGAAAAUGGUUUUUCAAGCUCAUGCCCGGGUCGAGAGAUAUGAAGUCUCCAACAAGUUCUAUAGUUGUAAGAUGGAGGAAAACAGUUCUGUCAGUGAGCACAUACUCAAAAUGUCUGGGUUGCACAACCGCCUGUCCCAGCUGGAGAUCAACCUCCCGGACGAGGCGGUCAUUGACAGAAUCCUUCAGUCGCUCACACCGAGCUACAAGAGCUUUGUGUUGAACUACAAUAUGCAGGGGAUGGUGAAGACCAUUCCUGAAGUAUUUUUAAUGCUGAAGUCAGCAGAGGUUGAAAUCAAGAAAGAACAUCAAGUGUUGAUGGUCAAUAAGACCACUAAGUUCAAGAAGGGCAAGGGUAAGAAGAACUUUAAGAAGGACGGCAAAGAUGUUGUCGCGCCCCGUAAGCCAGUUGCCGGGAAGAAGUCAAAGAAUGGACCCAAGCCUGAGACUGAGUGCUUUUAUUGCAAAGGGAAGGGUCACUGGAAGCGGAACUGCCCCAAAUACUUAGCGGACAAGAAGGCCGGCAACACUAAAGGUAUAUUUGAUAUACAUGUAAUUGAUGUGUACCUUACUAGUACUCGUAGUAACUCCUGGGUAUUUGAUACCGGUGUCAUUGCUCACAUUUGUAACUCACAGCAGGAGCUGCAGAAUAAUCGAAGACUCACAAAGGACGAGGUGACGAUGCGCGUCGGGAAUGGUUCCAAGGUCGAUGUGAUCGCCGUCGGCACGCUACCUCUACAUUUACCCACGGGAUUAGUUUUAAACCUUAAUAAUUGUUAUUUAGUGCCAAGUUUGAGCAUGAACAUUGUAUCUGGAUCUCGUUUAAUACGAGAUGGCUACUCAUUUAAAUCCGAGAAUAAUGGUUGUUCUAUUUAUAUGAGAGAUACGUUUUAUGGUCAUGCCCCGAUGGUCAAUGGUUCAUUCUUAAUGAAUCUCAAACGUAAUGUUACAUAUAUUCAUAGUGUGAAUACCAAAAGAUGUAAAGUUGAUAACGAUAGUCCCACAUACUUGUGGCACUGCCGCCUUGGUCACAUUGGUGUCAAGCGCAUGAAGAAGCUCCAUGCUGAUGGACUUUUAGAGUCUCUAGAUUAUGAAUCAUUUGACAUAUGCGAACCAUGCCUCAUGGGCAAAAUGACCAAGACUCCGUUCUCCGGAACAAUGGAGCAAGCAACCAACUUAUUGGAAAUCAUACAUACUGAUGUGUGUGGUCCAAUGAGCGUUGAGGCUCGCGGUGGAUAUUAUUAUGUUCUCACUCUCACUGAUGACUUGAGUAGAUAUGGGUAUGUCUACUUGAUGAAACACAAGUCUGAGACCUUUGAAAAGUUCAAGGAAUUUCAGAGUGAAGUAGAGAAUCAACGUGACCGAAAGAUAAAAUUCUUACGAUCGGAUCGUGGAGGAGAAUAUUUAUGUCACGAAUUUGGUACACACUUAAGAAAAUGUGCAAUCGUUUCACAACUCACGCCGCCUGGAACACCUCAGCGUAACGGUGUGUCCGAACGUCGUAAUCGCACUCUAUUGGAUAUGGUGCGAUCUAUGAUGUCUCUUACCGAUUUACCGCUAUCAUUUUGGGGAUACGCUCUAGAGACAGCUACACUCACUUUAAAUAGGGCACCAUCUAAAUCCAUUGAGACGACACCGUAUGAAUUAUAGUUUGGGAAGAAACCUAAGCUGUCGUUUCUAAAAAUUUGUGGAUGCGAUGCUUAUGUCAAGAAACUUCAACCUGAAAAGCUCGAACCCAAGUCGGAAAAAUGCGUCUUCAUAGGAUACCCCAAGGAAACCAUUGGGUAUACCUUCUACCUUAGAUCCGAAGGCAAGAUCUUUGUCGCCAAGAACGGAUCCUUUCUGGAAAAAGAGUUUCUCUCGAAAGGGGUAAGUGGGAGGAAAGUAGAACUUGAUGAAGUACUGCCUCUUGAAACGGAAAGUAGUGCAGCUCAGGAAAAUGUUCCUGUGGUGCCUACACUGACUGGAGAGGAAAUUAAUGAUGAUGAUCAAGGUACUUCGGAUCAAGUUGCUACUGAACUUCGUAGGUCCACAAGGACACGUUCCACACCAGAGUGGUAUGGCAACCCUGUCCUGGAAAUCAUGUUGUUAGACAACGGUGAACCUUCGAACUAUGAAGUAGCGAUGGCGGGCCCAGAUUCCAACAAAUGGCUAGAAGCCAUGCAAUCCGAGAUAGAAUCCAUGUAUGAAAACAAAGUAUGGACUUUGAUUGACUUGCCCGAUGAUCGGUGAGCGAUAGAAAACAAAUGGAUCUUUAAGAAGAAGACGGACGUGGAUGGUAAUGUCACCAUCUAUAAAGCUCGACUUGUCGCUAAGGGUUAUCGGCAAGUUCAAGGGAUUGACUACGAUGAGACUUUCUCUCCCGUAGCGAAGCUUAAGUCCAUCCAAAUCAUGUUAGCAAUUGCCACAUACUAUGAUUAUGAGAUAUGGCAGAUGGACGUCAAAACGGCAUUCCUUAACGGCUAUCUUAAGGAAGAACUGUAUACGAUGCAGCCGGAAGGUUUUGUCGAUCCUAAGAAUGCUAACACAGUAUGCAAGCUCUAGCGAUCCAUUUAUGGGUUGGUGCAAGCAUCUCGGAGUUGGAACAUUCGCUUUGAUGAGAUGAUCAAAGUGUUUGGGUUUAUGCAGACUUAUGGAGAAGCCUGCGUUUACAAGAAAGUGAGUGGGAGCUCUGUAGCAUUUCUCAUAUUAUAUGUAGAUGACAUACUUUUGAUGGGAAAUGAUAUAGAAUUCUUGGACAACAUUAAGGCCUACUUGAAUAAGUGUUUUUCAAUGAAGGACCUUGGAGAAGCUGCGUACAUAUUAGGCAUCAAGAUUUAUAGGGAUAGAUCGAGACGCCUCAUAGGUCUUUCACAAAGCACAUACCUUGAUAAGAUUUUGAAUAAGUUCAAAAUGGAUCAGUCCAAAAAAGGGUUCUUGCCUGUACUGCAAGGUGUGAGAUUGAGCUCGGCUCAAUGCCCGACCACGACAAAACAUAAAGAAGAGAUGAGCGUCAUCCCCUAUGCCUCAGCCAUAGGAUCUAUUAUGUAUGCCAUGUUGUGUACCAGACCUGAUGUAAACCUUGCCAUAAGUUUGGUAGGAAGGUACCAAAGUAAUCCCAACAAGGAACACUGGACAACGGUCAAGAAUAUCCUGAAGUACCUGAAAAGGACAAAGGACAUGUUUCUUGUUUAUGAAGGUGACGAAGAGCUCGUCGUAAAGGGUUACGUCGACGCUAGCUUCGACACAGAUCUGGAUGACUCUAAGUCACAAACCGGAUACGUGUAUAUGUUGAAUGGUGGGGCAGUAAGCUGGUGCAGCUACAAGCAGAGCGUCGUGGUGGGAUCCACAUGUGAAGCGGAGUACAUGGCAGCCUCGGAGGCAACGCAUGAAGCAAUUUGGGUGAAGGAGUUCAUCACCGACUUAGGAGUCAUACCCAAUGUGUCGGGGCCGAUCAAACUCUUCUGUGACAACACUGGAGCUAUUGCCCAUGCCAAGGAGCCUAGGUUUCACAAGAAGACCAGGCACAUCAAGCGUCGUUUCAACUCCAUCCGUGAAAAUGUUCAAGAUGGAGACAUAGAUAUUUGCAAAGUACAUACGGAUCUGAAUGUCGCAGAUCCGUUGACUAAACCUCUUCCGCGAGCAAAACAUGAUCAACACCAGAACUCUAUGGGUGUUCGAUUCAUCACAAUGUAACUAGAUUAUUGACUCUAGUGCAAGUGGGAGACUGUUGGAAAUAUGCCCUAGAGGCAAUAAUAAAAGGAUUAUUAUAUUUCUUUGUUCAUGAUAGUUGUCUUUUAUUCAUGCUAUAAUUGUAUUAUCCGGAAAUCGUAAUACACGUGUGAAUACAUAGACCACAAUACGUCCCUAGUAAGCCUCUAGUUGACUAGCUCGUUGGUCAACAGAUAGUCAUGGUUUCCUGACUAUGGACAUUAGAUGUCGUUGACAACGGGAUCACAUCAUUAGGAGAAUGAUGUGAUGGACAAGACCCAAUCCUAAGCAUAGCACAAGAUCGUGUAGUUCGUUUUGCUAGAGCUUUUCCAAUGUCAAGUAUCUCUUCCUUAGACCAUGAGAUCGUGUAACUCUCGGAUAUCGUAGGAGUGCUUUGGGUGUACCAAACGUCACAACGUAACUGGGUGACUAUAAAGGUGCACUACAGGUAUCUCCGAAAGUGUCUGUUGGGUUGACACGGAUCGAGACUAGGAUUUGUCACUCCGUAUAACGGAGAGGUAUCACUGGGCCCACUCGGUAGUGCAUCAUCAUAAUGAGCUCAAAGUGACCAAGUGUCUGGUCACAAGAUCAUGCAUUACGGUACGAGUAAAGUGACUUGCCGGCAACGAGAUUGAACGAUGUAUUGGGAUACCGACGAUCAAAUCUUGGGCAAGUAACAUACCGUCUGACAAAGGGAAUAGUAUACGGGGUUGCUUGAAUCCUCGACAUCGUGGUUCAUCCGAUGAGAUCAUCGAGGAGUAUGUGGGAGCCAACAUGGGUAUCCAGAUCCCGCUGUUGGAUAUUGAUCGGAGAGAUGUCUCGGUCAUGUCUGCAUAUCUCCCAAACCCGUAGGGUCUACACACUUAAGGUUCGGUGACGCUAGGGUUGUAUGAAUAUGAGUAUGCAGCAAACCGAAUGUUGUUCGUAGUCCCGGAUGAGAUCUCGGACGUCACGAGGAGUUCCGGAGUGGUCCGGAGGUAAAGAAUUAUAUAUAGGAAAUGCUGUUUCGGCCAUCGGGAAAGUUUCGGGGUCACCCGGUAUUGUACCGGGACCACCGGAAGGGUCCCGGGGGUCCACCGGGUGGGGCCACCUAUCCUGGAGGGCCCCGUGGGCUGAAGUGGGAGGGGAACCAGCCCCUAGUGGGCUGGUGCGCCCCCCUUGGCCCCCCUGCGCCUAGGGUUGAAAACCGUAGGGUGGGGGCGCACCCCACUUGCCUUGGGGGGCACUCCACCCCCCUGGCCGCCGCCCCCUUGGGAGAUUGGAUCUCCCAGGGCCGGCGCCCCCCUGGGGGCUUAUAUAAAGGAGGGCAAGGGGGAGGGCAGCCGCACCCUGUGUCUUGGCGCCUCCCUCCCCCUGCUACACCUCUUCCUCCUUCCGUAGCAGCUUGGCGAAGCCCUGCCGGAGUCCUGCUGCAUCCACCACCACGCCGUUGUGCUGCUAGAUCUUCAUCAACCUCUCCUCCCCCCUUGCUGGAUCAAGAAGGAGGAGACGUCAUCCGCUCCGUACGUGUGUUAAACACGGAGGUGAUGUCCGUUCGGCACUUGGUCAUCGGUGAUUUGGAUCACGGCGAGUACGACUCCAUCAUCACCAUUCUCUUGAACGCUUUCGCACGCGAUCUAUAAGUGGUAUGUAGAUGCAAUCUCUCUUCUAUGUCUCGUUGCUUAGAUGAACUCAUAAAUGGAUCUUGGUGAAACCGUAGGAAAUUUUUUAAUUUUCUGCAACGUUCCCCUACAUGUGGCGUACCGCAAAACGGACGAAACGGACCUCUUACGUUCGAAGCGGGGGUCCUGUUGAUCGAGAGGGGUGUGGCGUACCGCAAAACGGACGAAACGGACUUGUGUUGGAGCGCUACGGUCGAAACGGGGGUCCUGUUCAUCGGGAGGGGUGUGGCGUACCGCAAAACGGGACUCCACGAGAUACUGUUCAUCUCCACCGUCGACCUCCUCCAGCCUCCACGGGCUCCUGUUCAUCCAGCCUCCAUCACGCGCUACUCCACCGGCUACUGUUCAACCACCCCUCCACCGUCUACUGUUCAUCCAGCCCUCCACCGUCUACUGUUCAUCCAGCCCUCCACACCACGGGGUCCUGUUCGACCACCCCUCCACGGCCACCCCUCCACCGUCUACUGUUCAUCCAGCCCUCCACACCACGGGUUCCUGUUCAUCCAGAGGCGACGCCACCGCUCACUGUUCAUCCAAACCCCUCCGCAACGCACACUGUUCAUCCCAGAGGCAGCAUCGAUCGGCUUCAGUUAGCAGCAGUAGCAAAGGAAUCGCUCCAUCAGGUUCAGUUAACAGCCAUCGACCGAUCGCUCGGGUUCAGUAACGCGUAGCCUGCAGUGCAAUCGCUCGGGUUCAGUUAGAGCCCAACGCCUCGCUCGGGUUCAGUUAGAGCCAAUGCCUCGCACACACGCGCGUACGUGUGCGAGAGAAACGCGCAUCGCUCGGCCCCCGACCUCCCACCGUAAUCGGCAACUCCCCGGAAUUUUCCUUCCCCUCGCUUCUACCACGGUUUUUUCCGUCAUGGACGGCCCAAAGAAUGUCAUGCAGCUGCGUCUCCGGCCCGCCCAGGACGAAAAACCCAUUUUCUGUCAUGAUUUUUUUUGUCAUAGAAGUAGGAGCCCACCACAUCUAUGAUGAUACCGGGUUUUGUCAUAAUUAUCGUCAUAGAAGUGUCAUAUGUAUGACAGAAAAAAAUUUCGUUCGGCCCAAAAUGUCACGGAUGUGUCUUUUUUUUGUAGUGCAUGUGUGCCGUCCAGGCUCUUUAUCGUCUGUCAGUAGAUGGCAAAGCCCUUUGCAGCUUUGCCGUCAGCCAGCAGGCGACAAAGAUGCCUUUGUUGUAGCCUAUUCAGCCGGACCUGUUGCCGUCUGCUGGCUGACGACAAAGGUUUUUGCCGCCAGACAUCCAUUCCUUUGCCGUCAGCCAUGGCUGACGGCAAAGUGCGUAAUUCCUGUAGUGCAUAUUUCACUAAUUCUAAAAUACAGAUUUCACUCAUUUCAGAAAAUGGAUUGCACUCGUUUCGAAAGGUGGAUUCACUUGCUUCAAAAACAGAUUUCACUGAUCAAUAUAUAUUAAAAUGGGGAUAUGAUUGAAAUAACAAAACUCAAACUAGACGAAAUAUAUUCAAGAUUGGCCUUGUUUUAAAGAUCUGUGCGCCAAAAGUUCAAAUAUAUAAAUAGUUUCAAAAUUAAAAUUUUGGUCUAAAAUAUAUAAAUGAUUUAAAUUAGCAUAGGUAAAAUAGAAAUGUGGAUUUGUUGUGUAAGAGAGGAGAAAGACUGCACAUGUACUUUUGCUGCCACGCAUGUGUCCUACACUACGUGAGUGAGAGGAGCAUGCAUGCAUCUAUCAAAGGUAGGCCCAUGUAAUAAUUUUGAUGGGGUUCGUUCACUGUAUUUUGUCAGGUAUAGAUGUUGUAUAGCAGAAACUGAAAAUAAAUGCGUGACGAAUCUUCACGCACCCAAUGGAUGAAAAGAGCUUUGUGCGGCGACUACGCUCACUCCUCCCUCUCGCCCAUGUCCCGCAAAACCGGCGGAAAGAAAAAAUGAGCGCACAUAUGCCUCAUCCAAUCCGCCGUCGUGCCUCCCCACGACCUCGCACACCGCCGUUGGUGCUAUGUCAUCGCGUCCCCGCGCGGACCCAAAUAUUCGUCUCCCUCUCUUCUUUCAUUUCCCCCUCUCCACUCCUCUGCAAUCACAUGCGCAGACGCCUCGCCGCCACGCUCCCUCUUCGACUCUUUUUUUUGAGAUAGCUUACCAGGCUUGCUGCCUGGUCCCCCCCUUGGACCCAAUCUACUAGGAGCUCUGCCAGGUAACCGAGAGACAUCCGUCCCCUUUCCUCUCUCUCUCUCUUUGAAUUGGACUCGAUGCGUGCUUCCUCGUAAUUGAUUCAUGUGCUGCUCGUUUGGAUCCAAGGAUCUGCCUGGUGAUGGGUUCGUGCGCAGGGUCGCUUUGAUCUCAGGAUUAAUCUAGCGUUCGUGGAUUUAGUUGUCUCAUGGUUGUUGGUGAAGCAAUCCAAUCUGAUUUUUCAUGAUUGACUUUACAUGAUCCUGUCAUUUGACCUCUAUGAGAUUUAGAUUACGGGAAACUGCAGACGAUGAUACAUGAUAUUCCGUCAUACCUCGUAUGUGAAAUGUCCAGAGAAUGAACGGGGUUUUACUUGGUACGCUAGCUAAUGUGUCAUUUCUUUAUCCUUUGUUGUUUCAGGAUUAUAUUUGCCAUAAUUCAACCUCUGUUUCGUUGUCAAAAGUAUGACAGUGGUUAACCCAUGCCGUUUAUUUUUGCUAGAUGAACCUGUUUAUUUAUGACAUGUGGCCUUUCCUGGUAAGGUUUUAAACUAAUCAUUUAGAGUGUUAUUCACCCCCUCAUCAAUUUGUGUGAUGUAUAAACAUGAUUAGCCCAAUAGCUCUCCUAUGUUUAUAGCAGGCAAUAUGCAAAAUAAUUAGUGUGGCAAAGACAAUAUGCGAUCCAUAUGUUGGAAAAUAUAUUAUACUAAUCAAUUGGAUUAGGAAACUUUGACACUUGGUGCUCUUCAACCUACACUCCAGCUAGAUUAAAUUAGCACACUAAUUCAAAUCUGUAAUGUAUAGACAUCCCUCACUGCAGUCCCAUCUAAUGAUCGAAUUGGAUUUAUCAACCUUCAGUUAGUCGUACUAUAAGAUUUUUUUUCUUUUGUGAGAAUAUCGUAAGAUUGUUUUAAGGAGGUGUUACGUUAAGAAAUCAACAUCUAAAAUCAAUUGUUCCUAGAAUUUCAAUAUGCGAUAUGCACUAGAUACUUAUGUUCCUAUCAGUGUUUUAAAUAGUGGGCUAUGCUAAAUAGCGACGGACCUCCAAAUCAGCUAUAGCGGAGCUAUAGCGGGCUAUUUAUACAUGAGACUAUUUAGCGGCACCCUGCUGAAAAGGUCAUAGCGGGCUAUAGCUGGCUAUUUAAAACUAUGGUUCCUAUACAUUUUAUUUGAGCUGGGCAUAAAAGGAUUGUUGCACAUCAGUUCCAGCCUUUUUUAGCUUCUGUUUGUCAUCUAGAUAUUUAAGAUGUUUGGUAUGAUGAUCUCCCUCUACAUUUGCUUGUUUAAGCAAACAAGAAUUAAAAUUUUACGGAAUGCGAGAAAAUAAUUUCUAAUUGAAUCUGUUAUUCGGUGAUUCUGUGAAUGUGAAGGUGUAUUCUUACAAAUUGUCUGCGCAUGUUAGUUUAGCCCCUGGCUGCAUUAUACACACAACAUGUUUUGAUACUUUUCAUUACUAGUCAAUAUGUACGUGCAAUGCACGUUAAUUUAGAAGUAUAUUAAGUGCAUCCGGAUAUUAAGUAGAAUAUUAUUUGCAUGUUAUUAUGUGAUUGGCACUAUAUUUGGCAUGCGGAACUGCUGCGCAGACGACAACAGUAUGCACGACAGAUGAACGAUGCGGGAUCAAACGGUCUGCUGGACUCUGCUACAUGCAUGGACGGACAGGGAUCUGUUGUCGUGCAUGAAUCGUGCGCACAUCAUCGUGUGUGUAGCACUGCUCUUUGGCAUGAGACUAACUACACGUUAAACAUAUUGAGCGCUCGACAUUGAAGCAGUUUAGGUCAUUGGAUUGACAUGAUUUGAUGGCCGAGAUUAAUUGGAUCUGCCUCUUUGGGUCUUUUUAUAUUGGUAUAGAUAAAGACAUCUGACCUGAUCAUAUUGCUAUUUUCAGCUUUUGGAUUUGCAUAUAAUGCUGACACCACGUGGACUCUGAACUCUGAAGGAAGUUGUGCUAACUGCUAGGCUUUCCCUGCUUUUCCAGCUUGUGUGUUUCAUUGAUGGAUGAGGUAUAAAUCUAUUCCUUAAGCGAGCAAAUCAAAACACAAAUGCAGGAGGUAUCGACAACACUGACGACCGCUACAUCAUUCCAUUUAGACCUGAAAGUAACAUCAAAGGAUGCCAGCGGCGGCAGAGAUCAACAAGUUCUUCACCGUCGCAGAGAAGGUGGAGGUCGAAUGUUUCACCGUCAAGUGCACACUUAUCAUUCUGCUACAGUCACUCGAUCAUCGUCAGGAACACCGCCACACUAAGAAUUGUGCAGCUGCUCUACUUUCAGGUCCAAAUUGGACAUCACGUGAGGUGUUACGGUCAACACCAGCCAGUUCAAGGCAACCCUACAGGUGGUCGUCUGAGCGAGUGCUAACAUGCUAAUAGGAGCAGUUUCAUCUCGAGCAGACUUGCACCGCAAUAAGUACAUGCUACUCUCAGCGUCUGCUAACAUGAAGUUGCACUCAGGCUCUCGCAUAGACUACAGAGGUACUGUCCGUAAGUAUCACGGUUCAUAGAUUUAUUUAUAUGAACAAUACUGAUCUCAAGGAUAACAAUCUAGAUUCAUCUAUUACUUCUGCUAAUGUGACUGUAACAACAGUCACUCCCAUUCAAACUUUCUUUAGGGAAACUACAACAUGCAUUUUGCUCACCUCAACAUUAAAUUAAGGAGUGCAGUAGGUUCAGGGCUUAUGCGGACUAUUGAAAUGUUAUAUUUGUGGACAAUGGAGAAAAGCCUGAAUUAGGCAUCAUAGUAGAAUUUAUACUCGUUGUUACAGUGCGGCUUUUGGGCAUCCUUAGAACGAUAAGCCCAAAUACGAAGAUUAGACGCCACCUUAGAUUUGUCUGGUUGUUAACUUGUGGUCAUCAAACACAUUUAUAUUAUGCUCUGUCCAUAUGCUCUAGAGGAAACAAGCAAUAAUACUGGACUGCAAUUUCUGGGGUAUCACGCCCAUUUAAACUGACGGUGCAAGUUCAGGCCGACCUUCCUUUUUUCCUUCAGAUCUUUCUAUUUUAAGAAUUGUACAGUUAUAAUUAUACCAUUAUAUAUUUAUUUUAGAUACAUGUUCAAAGAUUAUUUUAUUUCACCCAAAAUACAAAGGACGCGGGAAAAUUACUAUUUCUCUAUUUCCUGAAAUAAAUGCCUGAAUUUGUUUACCAUGUUUUCUCUUUUUCCUUCCUUACAGCAGUGUCUUCAAUAGAACAAAUAAAGUGUUGAGUAACUAAAAGGCCAUUCCGAUUCCGGUAUGGUAAAUAUUUGAUGGAUGGCAAAGGGUCCCGGGGGAGCUCGUUUGUGCUGACGAUACUCAACAUAUUCUGUAAAUAUCCUCUGAAUUCACCAUCCAUGAGUCGCAAGUCAUGUUUUCUGGUGCUAUAAGUAUAAAAAAGGUUCAUACUUUGUUUUAUUAUCCUUUUGUGGUGUUGGUACUAUACCUUUUGGCCUAAGAAGGCUCUCUGAAACACUGAGACAAACAAAGCUAAACAUUUGGAGUAUGAUUAAGCAGUCCAGUCAGCGUUACUAAUCCCUAUUUGAGCUUGACAUUAUUUUCUGGCUUAAUGUUUGAGAUUCUAUGUUAGCAAAAAUAUGUGCAGAAUUUCAUGUAAGUUUGAAAGUCAAUCGAUUCCAUGCUUUGAGCUCCAAAGUGACCCCUAUUCAGAAUUGGUAUUUGGAUCCCAAAACUCCCUAUGAACAUAUAAUGAAAUUUUAGUUGUGAAACGAGACAUAGACAUGCCAUAUUGCUAUAUCAGGGUGUUGCUAUGUACAAUUAUAGAUGCUUGCAUUUGACUUCCGUUUUGAUGUAACAAUAUACAUGUAGUUUGUUGUCAAUACUGUUGAGAGACCUUGUUCUAAAGUUUAUGUCCAACAUUUAAAUUUUUGUUUUCAUUUUUUCUACUAAAAUAUAUACCCUUGUAUUUUGGUAGUUUUGCGAAGCACUGAUGGUGUCCCGCUUAUACAUGUGAAACCCUACAAUAUGUUUAGAGCAUGGAGGAGUCAGUUUGUGCUGCCAACCCUCACCAUAUUCUACAAAUAUCAUAGAUUUUACCAUCCAUGAGAGGCAAGUCAUGUUUUCUAUUUACUGGUGUUAUAAGUAAAAAAUGUUCAUAUUCGGUGGAUGAGACCCUACAAUGUAUUUAGAACAUCCGAUCUACACAUCUAUAUAAUUUUGAGCCUUGGAUGAAUAAUUGAUGAUUGAAGUGGGAACAUGGGUAGUACCAUAAUCAUGAAAGGUGCCUUCAUGAGUUGAUGCCACACGAUAUAUAUGAGGGUGCAGGGUAACUUUGGUUGCAUCUCCAAAUCAAUAACCAAAGGGAGUAAAUCAUAAACAGGGUUAGUUUGAAAAAAAUAUCAAUCAGGAUACUAUCUUCUUUGUGAUACUGUUAUUAAAAUUGACCAUGAACAUGAAAUUUUCGUGUUUACUUGAUCAUACUAUGAACCCGUAGCAACGCACGGGCACUCUAGUAGUAACAUUUGCAUUUUCCAGUGACUUUCUGUUUGAGAAAAAAAUACUUCUUAUGAAGUGUGUACUGUAUUCUCCUCACAAAAAAAUUAAUCUGCAUUCAGGAACCAAUCUUCUCACCAUCUACUAAAUCAGUAAGCUCCCUUGGGGUGGAAGCCCUCGGACUCAAUUGAGGUUGUCGACUCGAUUUUACGUCGAUUUCGAUUUUGACUCGGUUGUCGAAGCCUGGACUGGGCCGCCUGAGCUGGCUCCCUCUCAUCGUUUCUAUCAGGCCCUGUUUGGUACGCGUGGANNNNNNNNNNNNNNNNNNNNNNNNNNNNNNNNNNNNNNNNNNNNNNNNNNNNNNNNNNNNNNNNNNNNNNNNNNNNNNNNNNNNNNNNNNNNNNNNNNNNNNNNNNNNNNNNNNNNNNNNNNNNNNNNNNNNNNNNNNNNNNNNNNNNNNNNNNNNNNNNNNNNNNNNNNNNNNNNNNNNNNNNNNNNNNNNNNNNNNNNNNNNNNNNNNNNNNNNNNNNNNNNNNNNNNNNNNNNNNNNNNNNNNNNNNNNNNNNNNNNNNNNNNNNNNNNNNGGAUAUUCCUCGUGUGAAAGUGCAACUAUCCUUGGGUGGUUUUGGUAAUUCCUAACAACAUAUAGCUCAUUGAGCUAAUGCUAUUUCGAGAUAAAUAUUUCAGGAAAGCUCAAUGUUUGGCAUGGCAUGGGUUAAGAAAGUGGACCCCUCAAAAUAGUAAGGACAAAAGGAUUGGCUCAAGCUCAAGACUCUGCUUUUCUAUUUUAGUGAUCCAAGAUCACAUUGACUCCAUAGGAAAGCCAAUACUAUUAAGAGGGGGUGAGGUGUUGCUUAAUGAGGUUCUUGCUCAAAAUGCUUAGUGAUAUGCUCCAAAACCCUCAACUACUUCCUCAUAUCCAAAUAUGUCCCAAACCAAAAAGUCAAACUCGGCCCCACCGAUUUGAUCUAUCCAGCGCCACCGAGUUCUCUUGACAUAGCCACUGCCACAAACCCUAGUCUUUUCGGUCUCACCGAUAGGGAUCUCGGUCUCACCGAGAUGGGAUUGUAAUCUCUCUAUUUCCCUUCGUAACGUUUCGGUCCAAACGAGAUGAGUGAUCGGUCCCAGCAAGAUUGCAAUAUAAACUCUCUGUUUCCCUUUCGUAACGUUUCGGUCCUACCGAGAUGAGCGAAUCGGUCCCACCGAGUUUGCCUGAACAACUCUCUGGUUAGCUUAUUACCAAAAUCGGUCCCACCAAGUUUGUGUAAUCGGUCUCACCGAGAUUACGUUAUGCCCUAACCCUAAUGAUAUCGGUCCCAUCAAGUUGACAUGUCGGUCCCACCAAAAAUCCUAACGGUCACAUUAUGAACCAAAUCGGUCCCACCGAGUUCUCUGAAUCGGUCCCACCGAGUUUAGUAAAUUGUGUGUAACGGUUAAAUUUUGUGUGGUGGCUAUAAAUACCCCUCCACCCACUCUUCAUUCGUGGAGAGAGCCAUCAGAACAUGCCUACACUUCUAACAUACAUUUUCUGAGAGAGAACCACCUACACUUGUGUUGAGGUCAAGAUAUUCCAUUCCAACCACAUAAAUCUUGAUCUCUAGCCUUCCCCAAGUUGUUUUCCACUCAAAUAAUCUUUAUACCAAAUCCAAUCCUAUCAGAGAGAGUUGAGUGUUGGGGAGACUAUCAUUUGAAGCACAAGAGCAAGGAGUUCAUCAUCAACACACCAUCUAUUACCUCUUGGAGAGUGGUGUCUCCUAGAUUGGUUAGGUGUCACUUGGGAGCCUCCAUCAAGAUUGUGGAGUUGAACCUACUUCGUGAAGAUUUACCCUAGUGAGGCAAGUCCUUCGUGGGCGGCGACCAUGGUGGGAUAGACAAGGUUGCUUCUUCGUGGACCCUUCGUGGGUGGAGCCCUCCGUGCACUCGCGCGACCGUUACCCUUCGUGGGUUGAAGUCUCCAUCAACGUGGAUGUACGAUAGCACCACCUAUCGGAACCACGGAUAAAAAAAUCUCCGUGUCUACAUUGUGUUUGCUCCCUCCAAACUCCUCCCUUUACCUUCAUAUGCAAUUGUUUUACUUUCCGCCGCUAUACUCUUAGAAUUGCAUGUGUAGGUUGAUUGCUUGACUUGUGCUAUGUUGCUAAAAUCUGCCAAGAAUUAAAAUUGGGAAAAGGCUAGAUUUUUAUUUUGUCAAGUAGUCUAAUCACCCCCCCUCUAGAUAUACUUUCGAUCCUACAAGUGGUAUCAGAGCUUUGGUCUCCAUUUGCUUUGAUUUCCAUAGCUUUUGGUGAUCAUAGCCUUGGUUUCACAACCUAGGAGAGUACGACGUCUAGCGAGGGAAAUUACCACCAUAGAGGUCCUUACUUUGAUGGUACUAUAUUUGCUAGUUGGAAGCAUAAGAUGAAAAUGCAUAUUCUUGGACAUAACCCCGCCGUUUGGGCUAUCUUGUGUAUUGGCUUGCAAGGUGAAUUCUUUGAUGGGAGAGAACCGAACCGUGAAGCUACCGCGGAAGAGUUGAAGAUGCUGUAAUACAAUGUUCAAGCUUGUGAUAUUCUCUUCAACGGAUUGUGCUCCGAAGAAUUCAACAAAAUCAGUCGUCUUGAGAAUGCAAAGGAAAUUUGGGAUACUUUGAUUGAUAUGCACGAAGGUAUUGACUCCGUCAAGGAAUCCAAAUUGGAUGUGCUUUAAAGUCAACUUGAAAAGUUCAAAAUGAAGGAUGGUGAAGGUGUUGCUAAAAUGUACUCUAGGCUUGCUCUCAUCACAAAUGAGAUUGCCGGCUUAGGAAGUGAAGAGAUGACCGAUAAAUUCAUCAUCAAGAAGAUCCUAAGAGCCUUGGAUGGAAAAUAUGAUACCGUGUGCACAUUAAUCCAAAUGAUGCCCAACUACAAAGAUCUCAAGCCAAGGGAAGUCAUUGGAAGAAUUGUUGCUCAUGAGAUGUCACUUAAGGAUAAGGAAGAGCUUCACAACAAGUCAAGUGGUGCUUACAAAGCCUCAUGUGAUGCCCCCACAUCAUCAAGUGAGAAACAAACCUUCAAUGAAGAAUUUAGCCUAAUGGUGAAGAACUUCAACAAGUUCUACAAGAGUAGAAGCAAGGAAAGAAGUUCCAAGUCAAGGUCCUACAAUGACAAAAGAUCUUCUAGUCGUGAGCGUAAUUGCUACAAUUGUGGAAGACCUAGACACUAUUCCAAUGAGUGUACGGCUCCCUACAAAAGAAGAGAAGAUUCUCCCAAGAGAAGAAGUAGGAGAGAAGAAUCACCAUCAAGAGAGAGGAGGAGGAGAUAUGAUCGUUAUGAACGAAGACCCUCUCAGAGAAGCAAGGAUUCGGAGAGGAAGGACAAGUCAUCUAGGAGCUACACAAAACGAAGACAUCAAGCUCAUGUUGGUGAAUGGGUAUCCGGCUCCGACUCCGACCAUCACUCUGAAAGAAGUUAUCAGUCCGACUCCGAAUAUACUCAAGAUGAAGGUGUUACCGGACUAGCACUUGUGACAACAAAGUCCUACGACAUAUCUGACUCACGAAAUUAAGGAAUUGGGAGAUGCUUCAUGGCCAAAGGUCCAAAGGUAACACACCCCGAGUAUGUUGAUUUCAAUAGUGAUGAAGAUGAUUUGCUAGGAGAUGGUGAUUUACUUGUUGACAACUCUAGUUAUGAAAACUAUGAUGAACUUGCUAUUAAUCAUGAUAAUCAAGAUAAAACGAAUGACGAUGAUAAGAAGGAGAUUAAGCGUCUAACUAAAGAACUAAACACUCUUAAGUUAGCUCAUGAAACUACCUUGGAAGAUCAUUGAGAACUUUUAAAGACUCAUGAGAAGCUACGCUUUGAGAAGCUCAACCUUGAGCAAGAGCAUGAGUUGUUAAAAGCAAUCAAUGAUGAUCUUCGCAAGAAAAGUUCUUCUUACAUUAUCAAGCAUUUACUCUUGUCUACUUACAUGCCACAAGUUAAAUCUAGCAAUAAGAACAAGAAAGAUUCUUCCUCUAGUAGUAACAACAAUCAUGCUAAAUCCAAUAUUGUUGCUUCUAGUAGCUCUCUUGAUUCCACUAAUGAUUCUCUUAGCCAAGUUACUUGAGCAAGAAAAUAGCUUAUUGAAGGGAAUUAUAGAGAAAGGUGUUUACAAGAGUCUUGCCGGGAGUAAGCAAUUUGAGGAAAUUGUACGCAAGCAAGGAAGACACCAGAAGAAUCAAGGUGUUGGUUUUGAACGAAAGUUCAACGUCAAUGGAGUUGAGUGGAAAGAAGAUCAAUACCCCAAGACGAAGUUUGUUCCUCAACAAGAGAAGUAUGAUCCUACUUAUUUCCAAGGAACACAAGCUCAAGAUGAUCUUCCACCACAAGACCACAAGCUAAAAGGCAAGGACAAGCUUCAAGAGGAGAUUGAUGCAUUUGAAGAAGCUCCUAAGGCCUUGGUCAGGUGGGUUCCCAAGACUACAUCAAGCUCUAUCUCAUCAAGUACGACUACAACUCCAAGGAUUCCCAUCGAGAUGGUGUGGAUCCCGAAUAAGAAGAACUAGAGAGUUCUUCAGGGUGACUCCGCCAACAUACUUCACUCUUAUCAUUUUGGCAAUGACAAGUGCAAACAACUUCCAUAUCUUGCACUAGUUCAGGGAGUCACAAACCCUCUUGUUGGUAAGACAAGGGACAAGGUAACCUAAUGCAUUCAUGGACAUCAUAUUGUGUGAACAUCACUCUAUGUCUAUGGAUAUCCUUGUUUGUUCCUUGUGGGACUAAGCCAUGUAAGUAUUGAAAGUGCAACUCACUCCAAAGGAUUGCUCCAAAUGAUCCACAUCAACAAUGAGCACCAACAUCUUCAACACCUACAUGAAGUCAUCAUCGACAAAACCCAAGGUUAGUUCAUCCCUCUUAGGGGGGAUAUCACAUCUAGGGGGAGCUUUACUCUAAUCAAUUGAUCUAAAGCAACUCUAAUGGUGUGAGCACAACAAUGCUUUUAUGUAAAAGUGGUAACCCCACUUGUGCUUAAACGAUGAGUAUGACCUAUGAUCAAAUGUUCUCAUUUGACUGCUAAGUCAAUAUACUCAUAUAUAGAUGACCUAGUCAUCGCCAAAUUGCUUGAUAGAUGCUAGAGUGUUUGUGCAUGCUUUGUCACAUAUUUCAUUUGUAAACUUAUUGUGUGAGCAUGUUGGAUGCAUAUUUUACUCAUUCAAGGACAUCCAUUUGUUGCUUUGAUUGUUUGGCUCUUUCUCUUUUGCCAAAUGGAUGGACAAGAAUGCCUAAGAACUCCCUGUAGCUAUCUAUGCUUUCCUCGUCUCAAACUCUAUUCAUGCUACAUCACAAAGUUUGACCAAGUCAGAUUCGAACCACUCUGUGUGAGGAGCACUUGGAGUCCCCAAUUUGUCAUAGACUUAAACUUUCAAAACCUCUUUGUGCAUUUCGGUCUGACCGAUUCACCCUUUUCGGUCAUAUCUAGGUUUUCAAUCUCGGUGCAACCGAUUAGAACUUUUCGGUCACACCGAGUUGUAGUAACUGCUCACAGUUUUGCAUCUCGGUGCCACUGAGUUGUUCCACUCGGUUAGAUCGACAGGGUUAGGUUAUAUAUACUGACGGGUCAAAUUUUGGAAAUUUUUCCAAAACCUUUCACCCGCGCGUGACCUGCUCUGCCUCCUCGGGUUUCCGGAUCGUCCUCUCAUCGCCAGCGACCUCUUGCCGCUGGUCUCCGCCGCCAUCAACGGCAAUCUGCCCCGCUGUUGCCGCCGUAGCAAGUUCAGCAUUGAAGUAGGGUAUGAACUUGGUCUUUGUGCUAUUCCUUAACUCCGAUUCAUAGCACAUUGCUUUGCCAUGAUUCUGUCCAUGUAUGAAAUCAUCCUGUCCAGCGAAAGCAUCCCGUAGAUUAUAUUUGAUUUGAAAAUUUAGGGUUAGGUCUCCGCCGAACUCAUCUCGGACCAACCGAGUUGUAGAAAUCGGUCUCACCAAUUUGACUUAGGCCAUUGCACAUGCGUUUUCGGUCUGACCGAAAAUUGCAAAUCGGUGUGACCGAGUUCGAUUCUUUGUGAAACCCUAGCAGUCUCGGUGACACCGAACUGUGACUCGGUCUGACCGAGUUCACUAGUUUAGGUUCUAAAAGCUUCUUCGGUAUCACCGAGUUUACAAGUCGGUAGAUCCGAAAUGCUUUCUGUGAAGAACUAAAACUAAGUUUUUAAGUCAUCUGUUUUGCAAAAACUCUGUACUUUGUGAUGCUCAUCUACUCUACCUCAUGUACAACCUAUUCACAGGGUCUGCUGACAGUUUUCCUGCAAGAUGUCUGAUCAAAGUGACAACCAGAACAAGUCUGCGGAAUAGGUGCAGAUGAGUGAGGGCUCAGAUCCCUCCAGCACUUCUGAUGAUGGAAGUAGGAGCACUCCAAGCAACUUGCCAAAGCUAGCAACCAGAUCCAGAAAGAGGAGAACCUCAUAUUCUGAGGCCACUUCAAGGAAAAAGGUGCUGAAAAAGGAGUAUGGACAGCUGCUGCAGUUAAGCCAGGGCUGAAUAAGAAGGCACCAGCAAGGAGAAUUCCUAUGUCAAAGGCCAGAGCCUCCACUCUAGACACUUCCAAGUCAACAGGACGAGAUGAUGCUGCAAAGGAAAAGGAAAAAAGAGAGAAAAGGGGGAAGAUGGUGCAAGAAAGUUGACCCCAUGGCUGAAUUUGAAAAACACUCAUCUGAAGAAGAGGAAGAGGAAGAGGAUGAUGCACCAGCACACAAAGCUCAGAAGCUUAUGGGAGAUGCAAUCAGAUCAGGGGCUGCUCCAUCAAAGCCCAAGUCUGCUCCCAAAGCUCAAACUCAGAAGGCCCCAAAACCCAAGAGGAACACCAGGAGCAUUCCAGCCGAGGAAAAGAACAAGGCCCCAGUACCUGAAGCAGCAGCAGAAGAAGAUGAUUCUCUUGUCUUGAGAAAGUUGAAGCCAAAGAUCCCUGACCAUAAUGAUGCACAUCCUGUUGCAGAAGAUAUGAGGAUCAGGAAGGAUGCAGGACUGAGACUGUGGAGACAGUCUGAUCCAUAUUCUGUCAGGAGGAGAACAACAGUUGAUUACAGGUUCCACACAAAGGAACAACAAGAUUUCUAUGAGACUAUCCUGCUUCACAAGAAGCCCAUAGUAUGUGACAUGAGAUGGGUAGACUGGGUCAAAGAAAAUGAAGAUCAUGAUCCAGGAGUCUAUGACAGCUUCAAGGCUUGUGGAGUAGAUACAUUUGUUGGACAGAAGCUCACUAAGUGGAAUGAUGAGCUGAUCAUGCAAUUCUAUUCUACAACCCAUUUCUAUUGAGAUGGGAGGAUUAUAUGGAUGUCUGAGGUACUAGGUACCAAUCCACAGUUGAAGAAUGGGCCAAGCUGAUAAAUGCCCCUGAAGAACAUGAAGAUGACUUGGAUGUGUAUGCCACCAAGAAGAAAGACCACAACACAAUGGCCAACAUGUACAAGGAGAUCCCAGAUAAAGCUUUGGAGACUCACAAGCUUGGAUUAGUACACUUCUUGUUGUCUGGUCUGUCUACCAUCAACUGGAUCUUUAGGCACACAUUGCUACCCAAGUCUGGAGAUCACAAGAUGAUUAGAGGACAUGCUAUCAAUUCGCUACACUUGUUUGAUGUGCCUCAGAAGUUCAAAGUGAUAAAUCUGAUUGUGGAAACAAUUAAGAGGACAACUGCUGACCAGAAGAGAAGCUGUGGGUAUGCUCCACACAUUCAGGAGCUCAUCAACUCCAAGAUGGGCACAUGAACAUACUUGUUGGACAAGGAGCACCUUCCUCUGCAUCCUGAUUUUGAAGAUAACACUGCUAUGAUGAAUGAGGAAGACCCCACAUCUGUGCAAGCACAUGAGAAGAGAGAGAAGGCAAGGGCAGAGAAAGUUGCAAGGAUGUCAACUGUUGAAGAGGCAUCUCAAGUGUUCUUAAAGACCAAGCAAGAUCAGCUUGGAUAUCUGAUCCAAUCAAACUUGAGGAUUGAGAAGGGCUUGGCCACCCUGACACAAAACCAGGAGAGCUUGGAGAGGAUCAUUGUGCAGAAAUUCUAUGAUCUUGAUGUCAAAGUAAUCGAGAUUCAGUCAGCAGUUGAGCAACUUCAGGAGGAAGUGGAGGAGAAGAAGGGCAAGUCAACUACAGAUGCUUUUGCUAGAGUGCCCCGAAGCCAGAGGUCUGCUGCAGUGCCAGUCAUAGGUACUAGAGCUACAACAUCAGCUCCAGCAGCUACAGCUCCAGUGCCACCUCCAGCAGCCACUCCACCAACUCCAGCUACAUCAACAGAAGCUUUCGUCCUUGGGUCAUCUCUACACCACCUACCGAAGAUCAAGCCUGAGAGACGUUUAGUCAUAUGCAUUUUUGAACUUCUUGGUAACUUGUUGCCAAAGGGGGAGAAAAAUGUGUAGAUCAUAGGCUUCGAGAGAGAGUGUUGCUUUUUUAUCUCUCUUGCUAUUUUGGUCGAACUACUUUAUUGCGUGCUUGUGUGAGAUACUUUAUGUCCCUGUGAGAUACUUGUUGAUCAUGUGUUUGAUCCUAUGCUACCUUAAUGAUUGUUGGAUGAUAUUAUCUCUCAUAUCUCAUAUCAUUAUAUGAUCAUUCACUUUCUUGGUGAUGAGUGCAUGUUUUUAAGUUAUAUCAUUUUGAGCGCUCCAUAAAGAUGUAUGUGACAUAGAAGAGUAACCCAUGAUCUUAAUCGAUUGUGCAUUUGCAUUCAAAAGCAAAUUUCUAAAUAAUGCACAAAUUUAGGGGGAGCUGUUGCUUAUCACAUACUUCUGAAAGCGAUGAUGGUUUUCAAUCUCAUGAUCAUUUGUCGAAGCUUUGAUCUAUAUGUUGUCAUCAAUUACCAAAAAGGGGGAGAUUGAAAGUGCAACUAUCCCUGGGUGGUUUUGGUAAUUCCUAACAACAUUAGCUCAUUGAGCUAAUGCUAUUGCAAGGUAAAUAUUUCAGGAAAGCUCAAUGUUUGGCAUGGCAUGGGUUAAGAAAGUGGACCCCUCAAAAUACUAAGGACAAAAGGAUUGGCUCAAGCUCAAAGCUCAAGACUCUUCUUUUCUAUUUUAGUGAUCCAAGAUCACAUUGAGUCCAUACGAAAGCUAAUACUAUUAAGAGGGGGUGAGGUGUUGCUUAAUGAGGUUCUUGCUCAAAAUGCUUAGUGAUAUGCUCCAAAACCCUCAACUACAUUCUCAUAUCCAAAUAUGUCCCAAACCAAAAAGUUAAACUCGGCCCCACCGAUUUGAUCUAUCCAGCGCCACCGAGUUCUCUUGACAUAGACACUGCCACAAACCCUAGUCUUUUCGGUCUCACAGAUAGGGAUCUUGGUCUCACUGAGAUGGGAUUGUAAUCUCUCUAUUUCCCUUCGUAACGUUUCGGUCCAACCGAGAUGAGCGAUCGGUCCCACCAAGAUUGCAAUGCAAACUCUCUGUUUCCCUCUCUUAACGUUUCGGUCCUACCGAGAUGAGCGAAUCGGUCCCACCAAGUUUGCCUGACCAACUCUCUGGUUAGCUUAUUACCAAAAUCGGUCCCACCGAGUUUGUGUAAUCAGCCUCAUCGAGAUUACGUUAUGCCCUAACCCUAAUGAUAUAGGUCCCAUCGAGUUGAUAUGUCGGUCCUACCGAAAAUCCUAAUAGUCACAUUAUGAACCAAAUCGGUCCCACUGAGUUCUCUGAAUCGGUCCCACCGAGUUUGGUAAAUUGUGUGUAACAGUUAGAUUUUGUGUGGAGGCUAUAAAUACCCCUCCGCACACUCUUCAUUCGUGGAGAGAGCCAUCAGAACAUGCCUACACUUCCAACAUACAUUUUCCGAGAGAGAACCACCUAUACUUGUGUUGAGGUCAAGAUAUUCCAUUCCAACCACAUAAAUCUUGAUCUCUAGCCUUCCCCAAGUUGCUUUCCACUCAAAUCAUCUUUCUACCAAAUCUAAUCCUAUGAGAGAGAGUUGAGUGUUGGGGAGACUAUCAUUUGAAGCACAAGAGCAAGGAGUUCAUCAUCAACACACCAUCUAUUACCUCUUGGAAAGUGGUGUCUCCUAGAUUGGUUAGGUGUCACUUGGGAGCCUCCGUUAAGAUUGUGGAGUUGAACCAAGGAGUUUGUACGAGCAAGGAGAUCGCCUACUUCGUGAAGAUCUACGCUAGUGAGGCAAGUCCUUCGUGGGCGACGACCAUGGUGGGGUAGACAAGGCUGCUUCUUCGUGGACCCUUCGUGGGUGGAGCCCUCCGUGGACUCGCGCAACCGUUACCCUUCGUGGGUUGAAGUCUCCAUCAACGUGGAUGUAUGAUAGCACCACCUAUCAGAACCACGGAUAAAAAAAAUCUCCAUGUCUACAUUGCGUUUGCUCCCUCCAAACUCCUCCCUUUACCUUCAUAUGCAAUUGUUUUACUUUCUGCUGCUAUACUCUUAGAAUUGCAUGUGUAAGUUGAUUGCUUGAUUUAUGCUAAGUUGCUAAAAUCUGCCAAGAAUUAAAAUUGGGAAAAGGCUAGAUUUUUGUUUGGUCAAGUAGUCUAAUCACUCCCCUCUAGACAUACUUUCGAUCCUACAUCGUGUUGCCCAGAAACCUCACAAAAACUCGAGGGCUGAUUUGGUAUGCGGGGUUUCUAUGGCUCAACCCCUCCGACCACCUUCGUUCCACGUGGUUUAGAACCCUCGAGCGGGUGCUCGCGGAUUUGGAGGAGGAUACAAUAUCACGUGGAAACCACAUAUUUAGUGAAAUCUUGGAAACUUGAACUGAGGUCAUUGGAUGCUAGUUGUAUGUAUCAGAUUGACUCAUAACUGCAAUGGCGUAUAUGCAGUUUGUAGCGAGGUACACAAUUCUUGCGGGGUUGAAUUUGCAAUUUGUACAUCCUGCCAUCUCGCAGCGCACAUUUUCUGUCCGACGGCACAAGAUCAAGUUUCCAUGUUUCUGCUGAAUGUACGGUUUCCACUAGCUAGAUAUGUAGUCGUCAUGGAUUAGGGGGUGUUUGCCACAUCGGCCCGUCGGUUAUGCGUCAGGUCGAGGACCCUGACGUGGUUAGACUGCAUCGGUAUUUCCCCAAAGAGGAAGGGAUGAUGCAGCACAGUGACAGUAAGUAUUUCCCUCAGUUGUGAAACCAAGGUAUCAAUCCAAUAGGAGAACUAAGCAACACUAUGUAAACGAUACCUGCACACAAAGAACAAAUACUUGCAACCCGACGCGUAAGAGGGGUUGUCAGUCCCUCCUCGGGAAAAAGAUAGAUCGGUUUGUAUGAGUUUGGAUAAAUAGAUCUCACUAAAACACAAAAUAAAAUAAGUAAAGAAAGUGUGGCAAUUGUGUCUAUUUAAGGUUUUUCUCGAUUGAUAUUCAUUUUUCAUCUAUCUCAUGAAAUUUCCAUUCUAUUAAGCGAUAAAGAGCAAUUGACGAAGUCAGCAAGAAGUUCGUCAAGGUAUUUUUGGGUUUUUGGAACAAUAGAUUUGGAAAUAAAAGCGGCAAAAAAUAGAUCGGAAAGCAAAUAUGAUAAAAGGUAGACCCGGAGGCCGUAUAUUUCACUAGUGGCUUCUCUCGAGAAAAUAGCGCAUGAUGGGUACACAAAUUACUGUUGGGCAAUUGAUAGAAGAACAAAUAAUUAUGACGAUAUCCAGACAAUGAUCAAUAUAUAGGCAUCAUGUCAAAGAUUAGUAGACCGACUCCUGCCUGCAUCUACUACUAUUACUCCACACAUCGACCGUUAUCCAAUAUGCAUCUAGUGUAUUAAGUUCAUGGAGAAACGGAGUAAUGCAAUAAUAACGAUGACAUGAUGUCGACAAGAUCUAUUCAUGUAGGAAUAGACCCCAUCUUUUUAUCCUUAAUAGCAAAAAUACAUGCGUGCCUCGCUGCCCCUUCUGUCACUAGGAGAGGACACCGCAAGAUCGAACCCAUCACAAAGCACCUCUUCCCAUUGCAAGAAAAAUCAAGCUAGUUGGCCUAUCUAAACCAAAUAUUCAGAGAAUAAAUAUGAGGUUAUAUAUAAUCAUGCAUAUAAGAGAUCAAAGAAGACUCAAAUAAAUUUCAUGUAUAAAAAUCUGAUCAUAAACUCGAACUUCAUCGGAUCCCAACAAACACACCGUAAAAAGUCACUAGAUCAAAUAGAUCUCCAAGAGACCAUUUUAUUGACAACCAAAGAGAGAGAGAGAAGAAGCCAUCUAGCUACUACCUAUGGACCCGUAGGUCUAUGGUGGACUACUCACACAUCAUCGGAGAGACACCAAUGAGGAUGAUGAACCCCUCCGUGAUGGUGUUAGAUUGGACCUCGUGGUUCUGGAACUAGCGGCGGCUGGAAUUGUUUUUUGUCUACUCUUCUAAGGUUUCUGGAAUAUUUGAGAAUUCAUAGGGCGAAGAGGCAGUGCAGGAGACCUCCGUGGACCCCAUGAUACAUCAAGCGUGCCCUGGUGUAUCGUGGGCCCCUCAGGCCUCCUCCCGGGUGCUUUCUUGAUCCCCAAGAUGUCUUCUAGUAAAAAAAAUCUCCAAAAAGUUUUGUUGCAUUUGGACUCCGUUUGAUAUGGAUAUUCUGCAAAGUAAAAAACAAGCAAAAAACAACAACUGGUACUGAGCACUAUGUCAAUGGGUUAGUCCCAAAAAAUAAUAUAAAGUUGCUAUAAAAUUAAUAUAAAACAUCCAAGAUUUAUAAUAUAACAACAUGGAACAGUCAAAAAUUAUAGAUGCGUUGAAGACGUAUCAGCAUCCCCAAGCUUAAUUCCUACUCGUCCUAACAUGUUCAUCACAUAUUCUUUUCUUUUGUAGCAUGGACAUUUGGACUUUUAUAUGGUUCAAAGCAAUAGUCUAGUUUUGACAUGAAGAUUUCAAUACUCAAGCAUAUCAAUAAGAAACCAUGUCUUUUAAAAUAUAAACACUAAAGAAAGUUAUCCCUAGCCCAUCAUGCUCAAUAAUUGAUCCAUUCACGAAACACACUCGCAUAUUAGCUACAUCCAAUGCUCAAGUAUGAUCAUAGUGCUCCCUAGCUUUAUAAGAAAAGAUGGAGACUCAAAUAAAAAGAAAAAUUACAUAAAAGUAAAUAGAUAGGCCCUUUGUAGAGGGAAGCGGAGAUUUGUAGAGGUGUCAGAGCUCAAAGAAAAAAAACUGAGAGAUAAUUUUUUUUGAGACGAAUACUUUUCCCGCCAACGAAAAUGACCGAAUAGUUCCCAAUACUUUCCAUGCUAGAUACAUCAUAGGUGGUUCCCAAACAUAAAAUAAAGUUUAUUCCUUUUUCCACCAUUCUUUCACAAUCCAUGGCUAGCCGUAUCCACGGGUGCCUUCCAUACCAACACUUUCCAAGGAAUUUAUUAUUUGACAACAUAAAGUAAAUUUAUUUUUCAUUUUGGGACUGGGCAUCCCUAUUACUGCCAUACUCUCGUGCAAUGACAAGUGAAUAAACACUCAUCUUGAGAAUAACACAACUAGCUUGGAAAAAUAUUGGCCACCCCAUGCCGCUUCAUGAGCGGUAUGGGCACGCAAAAAGGAAAUUCUUUUUGAAAGUUAGAGAUGGCACAUACAAAUUUACUUGGAACGACACGGAAAUACCGCAUAUAGGUAGGUAUGGUGGACUCAUAUGGCAAAACUGGGUUUAAGAAUUUUGGAUGCAUAAGUAGUAUUCCCACUUAGUACAAGGAAAGGCUAGCAAAUAGAUUGAGAAGCAUCCAACCUAGAAACGAAAAUUCACAUAAAAAUAAGCGAGCAAUGAGCAUAAGUAACACCGACUAAUGCACCACAAGUAGGAUGUAAUUUCAUUGCAAAACUAUUGACUUUCGUGCUUGUAUAGGUAAUCACAAACCUUAACACCAAUAUUCUUACUAAAGCAUAAUUACUCACCAACAUGGCUCAUAUAUUACUAUCAUCAUAUCUCAAAACUAUUACAAAGAAUCAAGUUUAUUUUGUCCAAUGAUCUUCAUGAAAGUUUUAUUAUAUACCUCUUGAAUAUCUAUCACUUUGGGACUAAUUUUAUAUGUUGCAAUUGCUUUUGGCAAGCUCAAACAAAUUUAAGUGAAGAACACGAGCAUAAAAUUUUCAUCUCUCAAAAUAAUUUAAGUGAAGCAUGAAAGAAUUUCUUCAAAAAUUUACUAACUCUCAAAUAAAUCUUAGUGAAGAUUGAGAGCAUUUCUUCAAAACUAAUAAAGCACACCGUGCUCAAAAAGAUAUAAGUGAAGCACUAGAGCAAUUCCAUAGCUCAAAAAAUUUAAGUGAAGCAUAUACAGCAAUUCUAACAAAUCAUAGCAUAAUUUGGCUCCCUCGGAUAGGUGUGUCCAGCAAGGAUUGUUGGGACAAACUAAAAAAGGAAAAUAAGCAAAGACUCGUAUAAUACAAGACGCUCCAAUAAAAACUCACGAUAUAUUACGAAUAAAAAUAUAGCUCCAAGUAAAAUUACCGAUGGUUGUUAGAAGAAAGAGGGGAUGCCUUCCGAGGCAUCCCCAAGCUUAGUUGCUUGGUUCUCCUUGAAUAUUAACUUGGGGUGCCAUGGGCAUCCCCAUGCUUAGGCUCUUUUCACUCCUUGUUCCUUCAUCCACUGUGAUCUCACCGAAAACUUGAAAAAUUCAAUCACACAAAACUUAACAAAACCUUCGUGAGAUCCGUUAGUAUAAUAAAACAAAUCACUGCUCUAAGUACUACUGCAAACCCAUUCAUAUUUUAUUAUUGCAUUAUAUCUACUGUAUUCUAACUUNNNNNNNNNNNNNNNNNNNNNNNNNNNNNNNNNNNNNNNNNNNNNNNNNNNNNNNNNNNNNNNNNNNNNNNNNNNNNNNNNNNNNNNNNNNNNNNNNNNNNNNNNNNNNNNNNNNNNNNNNNNNNNNNNNNNNNNNNNNNNNNNNNNNNNNNNNNNNNNNNNNNNNNNNNNNNNNNNNNNNNNNNNNNNNNNNNNNNNNNNNNNNNNNNNNNNNNNNNNNNNNNNNNNNNNNNNNNNNNNNNNNNNNNNNNNNNNNNNNNNNNNNNNNNNNNNNNNNNNNNNNNNNNNNNNNNNNAUUCAUCAAAAUAAGCACACCAUGCAAAGAAAACAGAAUCUGUCAAAACAGAACAGUUUGUAGUAAUCUGGACUUUGUCCAUACUUCUGUAACUCUAAAAAUUCUAAAAAAUUAGGACAACGUAGGAAAUUUGUAUACCAAUCUUGUGUAAAAAUUUCAGAAGUUUUCGUCACUUUAUGUAAAUCUAAAGAAUUAUGUUACUGGACGCAAAAGUUUAUGUUUUUCAACAAGAUCAAAUCAACUAUCAUCCAACAUGAUCCCAAAGGCUUUACUUGGCACAAACACUAAUUAAAACAUAAAAACACAAUCAUAAAAGUAGCAUAAUUGUGCAAACACUCAAGAACAGAAAGAAAAAUGCAAAAAUAAAUUUUAUUCAUUGGGUUGCCUCCGAACAAGCGCUAUCGUUUUACGCCCCUAGCUAGGCAUAAAGCAUAGAUUCAAGUAUUGUCAUCUUUGGUUUUUGCCCCAUUGGAUGCCCUCAUGAUAGAUUCAUAUGGUAGCUUAAUUCUUGUUCUAGGGAAGUGUUCCAUACCCUUUCUUAGUGGAAACUAAAAUUUAAUAUUCCCUUCUUUCAUAUCAAUGACGGCACCUAUAGUGCGUAAAAAUGGUCUACCAAGUAUGAUAGGACAAGACGGACUGCAAUCAAUAUCAAGAACGAUAAAGUCUAUGGGCACAUAAUUCCUAUUUGCAAGAAUAAGAACAUCAUUAAUUCUUUGCAAAGGCUUUUUAAUAAUAGAAUCCGCCAAGUGCAAAUUAAGAGAACAUUCUUCAAUGUUGGUAAGACCAAGCACAUCACAUACAAAUUUUGGAAUUGUGGAAACACUAGCACCCAAAUCAAAUGAAGCACAACAUUCAUAAUUUUUAAUCUUGACUUUAAUGGUAGGUUCCCACUCAUCAUAUAAUUUUCUAGGAAUUGAGAUCUCUAAUUCCAACUUUUCUUCUAAAGCUUUCAUCAUGGCAUCUAUGAUAUGUUUAGUAAAACCUUUAUUUUGUUCAUAGGCAUGGGGUGAAUUUAUCAUGGGUUGCAACAAAGAAAUACAUUCAAUCAAAGAGCAACUAACAUAAUUAAAGUCUUUGUAAUCCAACGGAGUGGGCGCAUCACUAGUUAAAGUUUUGACCUCUCCAAACACACCUCUAUUAUUUUUCUCUCAUCAAGAUUUUCACCCUCCGAAUCAUCGGGACGCCUUCUAGCUAAAGUUGACUCUUCUUCAGUGUGGCACCCCGGCUCAGAGAAACUGGAACACCCCUUAUUCCAGCCCAGAGAUCGAGGUGAAGUCUUCUAGAAUAUGACACUGCUUAGCAUAGAACAAACCAGCUCUCUAUUACAACACGAAUAGGAAUCUAAGGUCUUCGAUAUUACAAUGAAUAACAUCGACACAAUGACGCUACCGACCACAGUUGCUCUAUGCGAGCAGCAUAACAACUUGAGGCAGCGGAACCUCUACUGACGGCGGAAUAACUCUAGCAGCAAAACAACGACGAUGGUGAUGGACUCCAAUCCGCAGGGACUCUAGCUGGAACAUUUAUCCUAGCUCGCGAACACAGGAACCACACCAAACAAGCAAGCAGUCCAGGCACGACCUGCAAACUGGCAUGACAUGCUAGGUUAGUAUAUUGAAUGUACUUGCAAGCUCACAAUAAACCAAAAGCUAUCAAGACAGACAACAGCAUGGCAAUUACAUGUUACUUAGCAAUGACGAACAUGAUACUAUCAGAACAACCUGGCAUGUACAACAUGAACAUGAUACAGCUAGAACAAUAUGAGCAUGACAUGAACAUAUGAACAGGAUGAUACUAGCAUGCAACAUGAUGACACUAUCAUGCACCAACUUACUCUGCUCGGGUUACCUCGUAACCAUCACAUGCAUAAGCUUACCAUCACGAACAUCAGACAAUCAUCUCAGGAUCCAAUCAAGCUUGGUCUUACAAUAUCGUAGUAAUCAGUACAUGAUCACAAGGAGCUUGACCUUUACCCAUGAUUCUCGUAUAACACCACAAAUAUCCAACAACUCUGUAUCCUCGAUACCACGGUGAUCCUCUCACGAUCACAUAAAGAUCAACCAACUUCGGUAUCCAAGAUACCUCCGUGAUCAUCUCACGAUCACAACCAAUCUCUUUCUCAUCCUCGAACCAGGGUUGUUAUUAAGCACAUUACUAUUACUGUUGACUCAUAGUGUGACCGACUACGAACUGGGCCCUUAUCCAUGGGCAUGGCUAUCGAUAGAUUUAACACACACUCUGCAGAGGUUAGUACACUGUACCCACACCCCGGAACCCAUGGCCUCGCACUCCCAUUCAGGUGGACCAACGACAUUUCAACAGAACAGAUCUAUUGCCAUCACACUGUCCCAGCCACUCCGACCAACUCCCCUCUGGGCUAAGUCAUGGGUGGCCCCGAUGUCUACCAAAGACAUCCAAUGGCCACUGUCAUGGCAAAACAAUCAACGGUCCCAAACGGGGACAAGGUAUACCAAUCACAACAACGGGCACACAAGGCUUAUGUCCGCCUACCUGAUCAGGGUAGCGCGCGCCCAUAACAUUCCCUCAUUUGAGGCACAGGCGAUAGGCAUGACAAUAGAUCCAGUUAGGACCUUCCCAUAAAAGGCAAAUGUGGUUGCACUGGUCAGCUUGAUUUGGUGGCACCAUGACUCAGCCAACAGUUGUUCAAGUUUGAUUAUUAUCCAGUUAAACUUGAAUGCAAUAAGCUGAGCCAUAUUAAAAUAACAUGAUGCAACUACAAUGCAUGAGCAUGAUACCAACAUGAGACCAUAAUAUAUCAUCGAGCAUAACAAAUGAAGCAUAUAUCCAACUAAGCAUGGCAUACUGACGAGCAUGAUCAUAACACUACACAUGAGAAUGGCAUGGCCACUAGCAUCAUAAAGAAAUACCAUGCAAGAACAUAGCAAGAACACUACCAAGUAAGCAUGUAACCAACUAGCUGCAACGGAACAUGCAUAGCAACUGUACUGAUGACAGAUAUUAAACAUGCAACAGAUGAGCAUCACUACCACCCGCAUGUACUACUACUACCAAGUAUGAGAUGUAACCAUGAUACUAGCAAGCAGUACAAGAUAACAAGAAGCAUCAGAACAUAGCAUGAAGGUGGACAUGAAUCCACGAGCAAAACCGAAACAACGACAACAGUAGCAAACAAGCAGACAGAUAACGGGCAAACUUUUAUUAAAUAUUCAAGUAGAAACCAUGGCUACUGCUGGCUAUCAUGGAAGUGGCUGUUGUCGCUUGCCUGGGGGUGACGGAGACUCCUGGAAGAAGUGCGGUGAAGCCGCGGAACGAAACGCCAAAUGGUUCUCUAACGAAGGGGGCUGAUUAAAAGUAAGGGCAAAAUGGUUAUUUUCACUAUGGGACCACCUAGUGAAAAUUAGACCAACAGAAAUAUCUCGACAAUGCGAAGAAGUGAGCAUUGGUUUCACCUCGAUCAGAGUUACGGUUGCGGAGUUAUGAGGUGUAGAAGAUCAGGGACUUUUCUGUAAAAAGAAUAUUCGCAGUCGGGUCCCUGAGUGGAUAAGACAGAAACAGAUUUUCAAAAAUACGCUUUCUUAUUUGGAAAAUGUACUUUGGUCGAAGGAGGAAGGACGCUUUAGGGAAAAUGAAAGCGUACUAAGGGAAAUACGCUUUCGGAGAACUAAAAGUGCACUCUCCUAAAAGGUGCUUCCACUUAUCCACGUGGACCUGGGCCUUAGGCCACUUACAGACGGGUCCCAUGCGGCAGGGGGGUGACUGGAUCGUCUCCUUCCUCCCCGCGCCUGUAAGCAGGGGAGGGGAGACAGGGCAGGGGGCCGGCCGGCUCCAGCCAUCUCCGACCGAGCCAAGCAUGCCGGCUGGACCGGUGAGGUCUGUCGCACCCAUUCAGAGGGUCGGAUGGUGCCUGGGAGGGCAGGGGAGGCAGCGAUGGGAGGAGGUAGGAGAAGGACAAAGAGGUGGGGGGGCGGCGGUCUUCGGUGGUAUGGGCAGCUCCAGCGAGGGGCAAGUGGUUGGGGCGGUUCGCGGAGGUGAGGGGGAGGCAGUGGAGGUGGAGGGGAGGCUAGAGGGGACCUAUGGUGGCCGGAAACGAGUGGACUCCGGUGACCACCGAUGAGGAGCGGCGAACUCCAGCGAGAUUAGGCAACUCCGGUGGGGAAGGAGGAACAGGGAGAGGCUUGGGAGGUGCGGAAGAACUUGGGCACGCUAUUUAUAGACCGAGGGGAAAGCUCUAGAGCUUUAAUGAAGGACAGAGGCGUUUAGUGGCACGGGCGCGGAGACGACGACCACACCACAACGAUACAGGGCGGAACAGCAAUGUAGGGCGAAGCGGACGGUCACGGGCUACCUCCAGGACAAGGUUUGAUGUCGAGACACGGAGGGAAACGACAGGAACAGGGGCAAGAACGUGCCAGAGCAUGAGCUUUGGCUGAUUCACCCCGUGGUCACCACGUGAACAGGCAUACUAGGUGCCAGGUGAUCGGCCACAUCAUGUCUAGUAGAUAGUACUUAGUGCCCUUAGUCAAAGAAAAGAAAGAAAUUGGUCCAGGGGCAAAGAAGAGAUUUGGAGGAGGAGCCAAAACAUUUGAACAACAAGGUGUUUGUUCUACGGGGAGACAAACACAGGAGGAGGCAGAUGCUGAGCUUUGGCAUGGCUUGAUCACAUGACAAGGUGACUGUGUUAGCAAAAUAUCAGCCCAAAUGGAGGUCUCUAGAGGGUACUUGCUGUAGAAACCACCCUAAUGGCCAGAAUUAGAGAUGAUGAAGUUGCACUCACAUACAUGAUUGCAUGAGCUGAAAUUUGGAGGAGGUGGGUUAUUUGAUCAUAUGAAGCUACUGUAAAAGUUCCAUACUGACACGUCUCCAACGUAUCUAUAAUUUUUGAUUGUUCCAUGCUAUUAUGUUACCCCUUUUGGAUGUUUAUGGGCUUUAUUUUACACAUUUAUAUCAUUUUUGGGACUAACCUACUAACCGGAGGCCCAACCUGUAUUGCUGUUUUUUUUGCCUAUUUCAGUAUUUCGAAGAAAAGGAAUAUCAAACGGAGUCCAAACGGAAUGAAACCUUCGGGAGCAUGAUUUUUGGAAUGAACGUGAUCCAGAGGACUUGGAGUACAAGUCAAGAAGCAGUCGAGGCCUCCAUGAGAUAGGAGGCCCCCCUAUAGGGUGCGCCCCUAUCUCGUAGGCCCCUCGGGCACCCACUGACGUACUUCUUCCUCCUAUAUAAUCCUACGUACCCCGAAAACAUCCAGGGAGCCAACAAAACACAAUUUCCACCGCCGUAACCUUCUGUAUCCGCGAGAUCUCAUCUUGGAGCCUUCGCUGGCACUCUGCCGGAGGGGGAAUCGACCAUGGAGGGCUUCUACAUCAACAUCCUUGCCCCUCCGAUGAGUUGUGAGUAGUUUACCACAGACCUACGGGUCCAUAGUUAUUAGCUAGAUGGCUUCUUCUCUCUUUUUGGAUCUCAAUACAAUGUUCUCCCCCUCUCUUGUGGAGAUCUAUUCGAUGUAAACUCUUUUUGCAGUGUGUUUGUCGAGAUCCGAUGAAUUGUGGGUUUACGAUCAAGUUUAUCUAUGAAUAAUAUUUGAAUCUUCUCUGAAUUCUUUUAUGUAUGAUUGAGUUAUCUUUGCAAGUCUCUUCGAAUUAUCAGUUUGGUUUGGCCUACUAGAUUGAUCUUUCUUGCCAUGGGAGAAGUGCUUAGCUUUGGGUUCAAUCUUGCGGUGUCCUUUCCCAGUGAUAGCAGGGGCAGCAAGGCACGUAUUGUAUUGUUGCCAUCAAGGAUAACAAGAUGGGGUUUAUAUCAUAUUGCUUGAGUUUAUCCCUCUACAUCAUGUCAUCUUGCUUGAUGCGUUACACUGUUCUUUAUGAACUUAAUACUCUAGAUGUAGGCAUGAGUCGGUCGAUGUGUGGAGUAAUAGUAGUAGAUGCAGGCAGGAGUCGGUCAACUUGUCACGGACGUGAUGCCUAUAUACAUGAUCAUGCCUAGAUAAUCUCAUAAUUAUUCGCUUUUCUAUCAAUUGCUCGACAAUAAUUUGUUCACCCACCGUAAUACUUAUGCUAUCUUGAGAGAAGCCACUAGUGAAACCUAUGCCCCCCGGGUCUAUCUCUUAUCAUAUUUGCUCCCAAUCUACUUUUAUUUGCAUCUUUACUUUUUGCAUCUAUAUUAUAAAAUACCAAAAAUAUAUUUAUCUUAUCAUACUAUCUUUAUUACAUCUCACUUUCGCAAGUGGCCAUGAAGGGAUUGACAACCCCUUUAUUGCGUUGGUUGUGAGUUCUUUGUUUGUUUGUGUAGGUGUGUGGGACUUUUGAGGAGCCUCCUACUGGAUUGAUAUCUUGGUUCUCAAAAACCGAGGGAAAUACUUACGCUACUAUUUCUGCAUCACCCUUUCCUGUUCAAGGAAAACCAGCGCAAGCUCAAGACGUAGCAAGAAGGAUUUCUGGCGCCGUUGCCGGGGAGGUCUUCGCUCAAGUCAAGACAUACCAAGUACCCAUCACAAACCCAUCUCCCUCACAUUUACAUUAUAUGCCAUUUGCCUCUCGUUUUCCUCUCCCCCACUUCACCCUUGCCGUUUUAUUCGCCCUCUCUUUCCCAAUCUCCUCCUCUCUUUUCACUUUCCUUUUUCUGUUUGCUUGUGUGUUGGAUUACUUGUUGCCAUGGCGCAAGAUAAUACGAAAUUGUGUGAUUUCUCGAAUACCAAUAAUAAUGAUUUCCUUAGUACUACGAUUGCUCCUCUUAAUGAUGUUGAGUCUUGUGAAAUCAAUACUGAUUUGCUGAAUCUUGUUAUGAAAGAUCAACCCGCCGGCCUUCCUAGUGAAGAUGUCGCUACUCAUCUAAACAACUUUGUUGAUUUGUGUGAUAUGCAAAAGAAGAAAGAUACGGAUAACAAUAUUGUCAAAUUUAAGUUAUUUCCGUUUUCACUUAGAGAUCGUGCUAAAGUUUGGUUUUCGUCUUUGCCUAAAAAUAGUAUUGAUUCUUGGAACAAGUGCAAAGAUGCUUUUAUCUCUAAGAAUUUUCCUCCCGCUAAGAUUAUUACUCUUAGGAACGAUAUUAUGAAUUUUAAAAAACUUGAUCAUGAGCAUGUUGCCCAAUCUUGGGAAAGAAUGAAAUUGAUGCUUCGCAAUUUCCCUACUCAUGGUUUGAAUUUAUGGAUGAUCAUACAAAUUUUUUAUGCCGGUUUGAACUUUGCUUCUAGAAAUCUCUUAGAUUCGGCUGCGGGAGGCACGUUUAUGGAAAUCACGUUAGGAGAUGCUACAAAACUUCUUGAUAAUAUUAUGGCUAAUUAUUCUCAAUGGCACACCGAAAGAUCUUCUAGUAAAAAAGUGCAUGCUAUAGAAGAAAUCAAUGUUUUGAGUGGAAAGAUGGAUUAUUUGCUACUAAAAAUACUCCUCUUGAUCCCAAUGAUAUUCCUUUGUCUACUUUGAUUGAGAAUAAUAAUGAAUCUACGGAUGUGAAUUUUGUUGGUAGGAAUAGUUUUGGAAAUAGUGCUUAUACAGGAAACUUUAAUGCUAGACCGUUACCUAGUAAUUCCUCUAAUAAUUAUGGAAAUUCCUACAAUAAUGCUUACGGUUAUUUUAAUAAGAUGCCCUCUGAUUUUGAGAAUAGUGUGAAAGAAUUUAUGAUUUCUCAAAAAAAAAUUAAUGCUUUGCUUGAAGAAAAAUUGCUCAAAGUUGAUGAUUUGGCUAGGAACGUUGAUAGACUUUCGCUUGAUGUUGAUUCUCUUAAACUUAGAUCUUCUUCUCCUAAGCAUGAUAUCAAUGAUUCUCUCAAAGCAAUGAGAAUUUACAUUGAUGAGUGCAAAGAAAGAACCGCUAGAUUGCGUGCUAAGAAAGAUUGCUUUGUAAAGGCGCGUUCUUCUAGUUUCCAUGAAAAUAAUGAUGAAGAUCUUAAAGUUAUUUCUCCUAUUAGAUCUAUGUUUUGCAAUAUGAAUCUUGAUAAUUAUGGGACUGAUGAUGAGUCAACUUUACCUAGAAGGCGUCCCAAGAAUUCAGAGUUUUUAGAUCUUGAUGCUAAAUUUGGUAAAAGUGGGAUUGGAGAGGUCACAACUUUAAAUAGCAUUGAACCCACUAUCUCGGAUUUCAAGGAUUUUGAUUAUGAUAAUUGUUCUUUAGAAGGUUGUAUUUCCUUGUUGCAAUCCGUUGUUAAUUCUCCUCAUGCUUAUAGUCAAAAUAAAGCUUUUACCAAACAUAUUGUUGAUGCCUUGAUGCAAUCUUAUGAUGAAAGACUUAAUUUGGAAGUUUCUAUACCUAGAAAACUUAAUGAUGAGUGGGAACCUACUAUAAUGAUUAGAAUUAAAGAUCAUGAGUGUUUUGCUUUAUGUGAUUUGGGUGCUAGUGUUUCCACGAUUCCGAAAAAUUUAUGUGAUAUUCUAGGUUUCCAUGAUCUUGAUGAUUGCUCUUUAAAUUUGCACCUUGCGGAUUUCACCAUUAAAAAGCCAACGGAAGGAUCAAUGAUGUUCUCAUUGUUGCAAAUAGAAAUUUGGUGCCCGUAGAUUUUGUCGUUCUUGAUAUAGAUUGCAAUCUUUCUUGCCCUAUUAUUCUUGGUAGACCUUUCCUUAGAACGAUUGGCGCGAUUAUUGAUAUGAAGGAAGGGAAUAUUAGAUUCCAAUUUCCAUUGAAGAAAGGCAUGGAGCACUUUCCAAGAAAGAAAGUCAAAUUACCUUAUGAAUCCAUCAUGCAGGCUACUUAUGAAUUUAGUGCCAAAGAUGGCCCUCGUUAGAUCUAUCUUCACUUUUAUGCCUAGCUAGGGGCGUUAAACGAUAGUGCUAGUUGGGAGGCAACCCAAUUUUCUUUGUGUUUUUUGUUUUGUUCCUGUUUAGUAAUAAAUCUUGCAUCUACAUUAUGUUUAGAUGUGUUUUUAUCUUUUAAUUAGUGUUUGUGCCAAGUAGAACCUAUAGGAUAACCUAUGAUGAUAGUUGAUUUGAUUCUGCUGAAAAACAGAAACUUUGCGUGCACGAAUUUAGUUUUGUUAAAUCAGAGAAACGUAAUUUUGCGUUGAUUAUUUUUUCUGAUGAUCAAUAAUUUUUUUCCAGGACUUCCUAUUUUGGUAGGAUUUUUAUAAUUCCAUAAGUUUGCAUUAGUUACAGAUUGCUACUGUUUUUGACAGAUUCUGUUUUUCGUGUGUUGUUUGCUUAUUCCGAUGCAUCUAUGGCUAGUAAAAUAGUUAAUAAACCAUAGAGAAGUUGGAUUACAGUAGGUUUAACACCAAAAUAAAUAAAUAAUGAGUUCAUUACAGUACCUUAUGUGGUGGUUUUGUUUUCUUUCACUAACGGAGCUUAUAAGAUUUCCUGUUGAGUUUUGUGUUGUGAAGUUUUCAAGUUUUGGGUAGAGCUUUUAUGGACUAUGGAAUAAGGAGUGGCAAGAGCCUAAGCUUGGGGAUGCCCAAGGCACCCCAAGAUAUUCAAGCAUAGCCAAAAGCCUAAGCUUGGAGAUGCCCCGGGAAGGCAUCCCCUCUUUCGUCUUCGUUCAUUGGUAACUUUACUUGGAGCUAUAUUUUUAUUCGCCACAUGAUAUGUGUUUUGCUUGGAGCGUCGUGUAUUAUAUUAGUCUUUGCGUUUUAGUUUACCACAAUCAUCCUUGCUGUACACACCUUUUGGGAGAAGCCUAUUUGAUUAGAAUUUGCUAGAAUACUCUAUGUGCUUCACAUAAAUCUUUUGAGCUUGAUAGUUUUUGCUCUAGUGCUUCACUUAUAUCUUUUAGAGCACGACGGUGACUUAUUUUUGAAGAAUUUGCUAGUCUCUCAUGCUUCACUUAUAUCUUUUUGAGUUCUUUUAGAACAGCAUGUUAUUUGCUAUGGUUAUAAAAUUGGUCCUAGAAUGGUAGGCAUCCAAGUUGGGUAUAAUAAAAACUAUCAAAGGAAGUAAAUUGGAUGCUAUGAUCAAUUUGAUACUUGAUAAUUGUUUUGAGAUAGGGAGGUAGUGAUAUUAAAGUCAUGCUAGUUGGGUGAUUAUGAAUUUAAAGAAUGCUUGUGUUGAAGUUAGCAAGUCCCGUAGUAUGCACGUAUGGUUAAAGUUGUGUAACAAAUUUGAAACAUGAAGUGUACCUGGCUUGUGCAUCCUUAUGAGUGGCGGUCGGGGACGAGCGAUGGUCUUUUCCUAACAAUCUAUUCCCCUAGAAGCAUGCGCAUAGUACUUGCUUUUUGGUGACUUCUAGUUUUUUUGCAAUAAGUAUAUGAGUUGUUUUGACUAAUGUUGACUCCAUGGAUUAUACACACUUUUACCUUUCCACCAUUGCUAGCCUCUUCGGUACCGUGCAUUGCCUUUCUCACAUUGAGAGUUGGUGCAAACUUCGCCGGUGCAUCCAAACCCCGUGAUACGAUACGCUCUAUCACACAUAAACCUCCUUAUAUCUUCCUCAAAACAGCCACCAUACCUACCUAUUAUGGCAUUUCCAUAGCCAUUCCGAGAUAUAUUGCCAUGCAACUUUCCACCGUUCCGUUUAUCAUCAUCAUGACAUACUUUACUUUUGUCAUAUUGCCAUUGCAUGAUCAUGUUGUUGACAUCGUAUCUGUGGCAAAGCCACCAUGCAUUAAUUUUUAUACAUGUCACUCUUGAUUCAUUGCACCAUCCCGGUACACCGCCGGAGGCAUUCAUAUAGAGUCAUAUCUUGUUCUAGUUUCGAGUUGUAAUUCAUAUGUUGUAAUCAAUAGAAGUGUGAUGAUCAUCAUUAUUAGAGCAUUGCCCAAAGAAAAAAAAGAAAGGCCACAAGAAAAAAAAGAAGGCCCAAAAAAAGAAAAAAAAGAAAAAAAUAAAUAAAAAGGGCAAUGUUACUAUCUCUUUUUCCACACUUGUGCUUCAAAGUAGCACCUUGUUCUUCAUGUAGUGAGUCUUAUAUAUUGUGCUUCAAAGUAGCACCAUGUUUUUCAUAUAAUGAGUCUCAUAAGUUGUCUUUUUCAUACUAGUGGGAAUUUUUUAUUAUAUAACUUGGCUUUUAUAUUCCUACGAUGGGCUUCCUCAAAUGCCCUAGGUCUUAGUGAGCAAGCAAGUUGGAUGCACACCCACUAGUUUUCUUUUGUUGAGCAUUCAUUCAUAGCUCUAGUGCAUCCGUUGCAUGGCAAGCCCUACUCCUCAUGUUGACAUAAAUUGAUGGGCAUCUCCAUAGCCCGUUGAUUAUCCUCGUCAAUGUGAGACUUUAUCCUUUUUUGUCUUCUCCACACAAUCCCUAUCAUCAUUCUAUUCCACCCAUAGUGCUAUAUCCAUGGCUCACGCUCAUGUAUUGCCUGAAGGUUGAAAAAGUUUGAGAUUAUUUAAGUAUGAAACAAUUGCUUGGCUUGUCAUCGGGGGUAUAGAAGUUGGGAACAUCUUUGUGUGGCGAAAAUGAAGCAUAGCCUAACUAUAUGAUUUUGUAGGGAUGAACUUUGUUUUUCCAUGUUAUUUUGAGAAGACAUGAUUACUUUGAUUAGUAUGCUUGAAGUGUUACUAUUUCUUUUAUCAACAUGAACUUUUAUUUUGAAUCAUUUGGAUCUGAACAUUCAUGCCACAAUAAAGAAAAUUACAUUAAGAAUUAUGCUAGGUAGCAUUCCACAUCAAAAAUUCUCUUUUUAUCAUUUACCUACUCGAGGACGAGCAGGAAUUAAGCUUGGGGAUGCUUGAUACGUCUCCAACGUAUCUAUAAUUUUUGAUUGUUCCAUGCUAUUAUAUUACCCCUUUUGGAUGUCUAUGGGAUUUAUUUUACACAUUUAUAUCAUUUUUGGGACUAACCUACUAACCGAAGGCCCAGCCCGUAUUGUUGUUUUUUUCUUGCCUAAUUCAGUAUUUCGAAGAAAAGGAAUAUCAAGCGGAGUCCAAACGGAAUGAAACCUUCGGGAGCGUGAUUUUUGGAACAAACGUGAUCCAGAGGACUUGGAGUGCAAGUAAACAAGCAGCCGAGGCCUCCACGAGAUAGGAGGGCGUGCCCCCACCCCUAUAGGGCGCUCUCCCUGUCUCGUGGGCCCCUCGGGCGUCCAUCGACGUACUUCUUCCUCCUAUAUAACCCUACAUACCCGAAAACAUCCAGGGAGCCAACAAAAAACAAUUUCCACCGCCGUAACCUUCUGUAUCCGUGAGAUCUUAUCUUGGAGCCUUCGCCGGCACUCUGCCGGAGGGGGAAUCGACCACGGAGGGCUUCUACAUCAACAUCCUUGCCCCUCCGAUGAGUUGUGAGUAGUUUACCACAGACCUACGGGUCCAUAGUUAUUAGCUAGAUGGCUUCUUCUCUCUUUUUGGAUCUCAAUACAAUGUUCUCCCCCUCUCUUGUGGAUAUCUAUUCGAUGUAAACUCUUUUUGCGGUGUGUUUGUCGAGAUCCGAUGAAUUGAGGGUUUAUGAUCAAGUUUAUCUAUGAAUAAUAUUUGAAUCUUCUCUGAAUUCUUUUAUGUGUGAUUGAGUUAUCUUUGCAAGUAUCUUUGAAUUAUCAGUUUGGUUUGGCCUACUAGAUUGAUCUUUCUUGCCAUGGGAGAAGUGCUUAGCUUUGGGUUCAAUCUUGUGGUGUCCUUUCCCAGUGACAGCAGGGGCAGCAAGGCACAUAUUGUAUUGUUGCCAUUGAGGAUAACAAGAUGGGGUUUAUAUCAUAUUGCUUGAGUUUAUCCCUCUACAUCAUGUCAUCUUGCUUAAUGCGUUACUCUGUUCUCUAUGAACUUAAUACUCUAGAUGCAGGCAAGAGUCGGUCGAUGUGUGGAGUAAUAGUAGUAGAUGCAGGCAGGAGUCGGUCUACUUGUCAUGGACGUGAUACCUAUAUACAUGAUCAUGCCUAGAUAAUCUCAUAAUUAUUCGCUUUUCUAUCAAUUUCUCGACAGUAAUUUGUUCACCCACCGUAAUACUUAUGCUAUCUUGAGAGAAGCCACUAGUGAAACCUAUGGCCCCAGGGUCUAUCUCUUAUCAUAUUUGCUCCCAAUCUACUUUUAUUUGCAUCUUUACUUCUUGCAUCUAUAUUAUAAAAUACCAAAAAUAUAUUUAUCUUAUCAUACUAUCUUUAUUAGAUCUCACUUUUGCAAGUGGCCGUGAAGGGAUUGACAAGCCCUUUAUUGCAUUGGUUGCGAGUUCUUUGUUUGUUUGUGUAGGUGCGUGGGACUUUUGAGGAGCCUCCUACUGGAUUGAUACCUUGGUUCUCAAAAACUGAGGGAAAUACUUACGCUACUAUUGCUGCAUCACCCUUUCCUCUUCAAGGAAAACCAACGCAAGCUCAAGACGUAGCACAUACCAUUUGGAAAUACCAAAAUGGUACUUGCUUCACAAUGCUUCAUUCUGACCAGAAACUUAGAAAAAUUGCACAGGGAAAAUGGAUUAAUGAAUUGAGCCAAAACUUGGUGGAGGGAUUUUAUAUAGAUAGGAGAAUGUCCUGGUAAAUUUUCAGCUUAAAUGAAGAAAUAUAAAAUAUGGUUGCUUCACAAACUGAAAAUCUGUCCAGAAACUAAGAUUUGGAGCUGUCCUCACAUAGAUGAGUUACAUGAGCUCAAAUUUGGUGGAGAGUGAUGAUUUGCUCAAAUGAAGGACCUUGCAAAAUUUCAACUCAUUUUUAUAUGCCUAGCUUGUACUUCCUUCACAAUGACUUCCCUCAGACAGGAACUUUGAAAAAUUUCUCAGGAAUAUUUACAAGGCAAAUUGAGUUUAAUUUGACAUGGGGCAAUUAUAUGGACAGGAAAAGAUGUCUGAAAUUUUGAGGUCAAUCAAGCAUAUAUAAAUGGCACUUGCUUUGUAAAGUGCCAUGUAGGGCAGAAUAGGAAAAUAAUUAUUGGAUGAGGAUUUUUUUAACAUGGCAAUGAAAUGUUUUGCCAUAUUUGAGCAAGAUAGGACCCAAGAAAUUUAUGAGAAUUAUUUGGGGAUUUUGGGAGUGACAGAAAGAUAGGUUGCUUCACAACCUAGAUCAAAUAGGGUUAUUCCUUUUUUGUUAAAGGAAUAUUCCUUAGAAAAAGAAUAUUGGAUUUGGGCUAGGAAAAAAAUGACAUGAUCUAGGGAUGAUGAUGAGGAUGGCAAGCCACUAUAAAACCUAGGAAGGCAUGAUCUUCCCAAGUUUCAGAACCACAUGGCCACGGAAAAACAAAUCAAAUCAAGAAAUCCAAGAAAAUCAUCAGAAAAAGAAAAGGGCAAAAUCGAGGAUGUUGCAAGCCUUCCCCCUUUAAAGAAAUCUCGUCCUCGAGAUUUGGUUGCUUAGGGAACAAGUAAAAAUUCUGACUUGAAGAAACUGUUUCCAACUCGGGUUUCUCUUAUUUACUCUCAUAUAAUGUUCCCACUGAAUUUGAUCUGACUGACUGCCUUGAUCUGGGAUGGUUUGCUUCACUGUAUCUGACAUCCUGAGAGGACUUACCUCAUAUGUUCUUGUACAUACUGACUCAAUUUUUUCUUUCAUAUCUGCUGGCUUAGCUGGGAUCUGAAAGAUUAUCAUUACUGACAUAUGUGUCCUUCUCGAUAUUGAUCCUUGCUGGAGAUGUUAUUAGCGUAUCAAGUACCAAGAAUAUUCCACGGGGUUGGGAACACAUCUUCCCGUGGAACAAGGAAUCUCUUCGAUAUAGGCAUCGUGCUGCUCAAAUAUAUGCAUGCCUUCUGGGUUCAACACAGUGAUGUGAAUCAUACCUGUUCUUCUAAUAGAUUCUGACAUCUUGCAUGAGUUUCUCACUUAUCUUGACUAGCUUCACAGUCUCGAGUAUCCAAUUUGUACCAAGGGUUUAACUGUCGCUUGAUGUGAUUGAUAGAAAAACACACCAUCUCCUGAUGAUAACAUUUGUAGACUUGACUGGCGGUGAUCUUGGCAAAGAAUCCCAUUCACGACAGGCUAUUCUUUAAUCUAUUCCCAUUUGUGAGAGAUAACAAUCCUCAAAGUAUGUGCUCUCACAUUGAUUCUUCAUUUUGCCGAUAUUCUCAUGUGGAUAGUAGGUUGUACGAUACUUUAGCAUGGUUACUGAGGUCAAUAUGUUGAGUUGUUCUUGGGUUGGACUUGAGAGACUCGGGUAUUCAAUGCUGACAGUUCUGAGCAUACUGUGGACUGAGAUAGUUGCCUUGCUAUGAAUCCCUUACCACAAUAGAGUAGACCUCUUAGGCAUAUCUUCACGGGGUUUGAUAUGAAAUAAGAAUGUAUUGUGCAUUCAUACCACAUUGUUCGCACAAUAACUGGCAUACCUGUAUUAUCGGUCUUCCUCUUUCAUUAUGAUUUUCUAUGUCUGGAUCUUUUUGCCAACAGAACUUGGCCACAUAUACCCUUGAUUAUUUUUGUGACCCUGAGUAUUGUCAUGGGCAAUACCAUGCAAUCAUACCCUGGUUUUAUUCAUGUCUCCAGUCUUGGUAUAUUUAUCCGGCUCAUGUGUGAUUGUACGGAUCUCAUUACUGCUUAUGCAAGGUCUUGACAGGAUUAAUAAUUUCACUUUGCCGGGUGUGAGGAGGCUGACCUCGAUGACUACUGCCAAGAUGGUGUCUCAACAUUGUCUUUCUUCAAGACUUGUCGAUUCUUGCAUCACCCACUGGUUUUCCUUCACUUACAUAUCCAGUGAGAUUGUCGGAUGCGCAUCGUUAAUUCUUCCUUGUGCGAGGGACUUGUAUGAACUUGACAUCAUACUCCUUGUAUGAACAAAUAUCUGAUUCUCGAGGCAUACCUUUGUUUUGACCGAUUCUUGUUUCUGACCCAACUGUUGCAGAUUGACACUUGGAAAACACUGCCAUAUGCUAACAACUCAUUGUUAAUAUCUCGUACCAGUUGUGACGCCCGGAUAAUUAAGCUACAAUAAUCCUAUGUUAAGGGUGCCAUGUCAUCACAUUUACUGUUGCUAAACCUCGCUUGAUCCAAAUCUUAAUUCAAUUGAAAUUCAAAUUAAAGUCCAAAAUUCAAAUUCCUCAAACAUGCAUACAAAAAUGUUCAUAAUGUUGCAAAUAAUUGCUUAGUAUUUUUCAUGUUGGAACCAACUUCUUUUGGAUUCCCAAAGUGCCCCUGGAAAGUUGUUCAGUGGACCAUCAACCAUUUAUUUGACCUUUUCAAUUUCUAAAAAUAGUUGAACACUCCCAAAUGCUUUGAAACUUUUUGUACCAACCCUGGUUAUUGCCUGUAAUUUUUGUACCAAGUUUUGUAUUAAACAAAACUCUUUUAGUAGCUCAAGUAAAAUGCAAAGUAGUAAAGAAAUAAAUAAAACAUAAAAAUAAAAAGGGUAAAGGCCUAUUCUAUUGGGCACUAUGGCGCGUCUAGCAAACAGGCCGACCCAGCCACCUCACUCAUUCCUUCCUCAUGCUAUAGAGGACAUGGGUGGGCGUGGCGGCCAUCCACCAGCCAUGGCCACGCCAGGGCGUGUGUGGCGGCCAUCGGUCGUGCCCUUCCCCCUACAAAACCCCCGGGUCGAACCCGAUUCCUCCCCCACUCCCUCUCCCUCUCGUUCCUCCCUCCAGAUCCGCCGCACCCGAGCCGGGAGCUCAUCGCGCCACCACCAUCAGCAUGCUUCGGUGCCAGCCCGUGCUGCAGCAGGGCGUCCAGGAGCUACCUCUUCCUCGCCUACGUUGUCUACCCCUCCCCGUCGAGCCACACUACACCGGACGGCCGCGUGACGCCGCCCCCAACCUCAACUUCCUCGUCGGGCUCCGGUGGCCAGUGUCGAUCUGCGCACCCUCGAGCUCCUUCGGCGUCCCCGGGCCUUCUCGUCAAUGCUGUGAGCACCUGCACGAAUCUCCUUUACCUGCUGCUCGACUCGUUGCUCCUAGCUACUGCCACCAUCGAUGUCGAGCUACGCUGCCACCGCUACGCCUUGCUCAUUUUCAUCGUGAAACGAUGAACCCGAGCACCCAGUGCUCCGGCCAUCACCUGCCAUCGCUACAGCCCUCACCUCCGCCCCCAGCUUUUGCCGGUGCAUCCAUGUACGCCCGCGAUCACCCAGCGCUACCUGCUGCUUGCUAUCGUAGUCACGCGCCCGGAGCUCUGCUCCCCUAGCCGAACCCCACCCCAUCGCAUGCCCCCCUUGCCCCGGUGCGCAUGCUGCCGGCCCGCGCUCAUGCGUCUCCCCUGGUCGCACCCUUGCUCCCCUAACGCUAGUGUCGCUACCACCUGCUCUUUACUGCUACUCCCGCGGCUGCUCGCCGCCUGUGCCGCAUGCGCCCACAGUAACCCUCCCGCCACCGCUGUUGCCCUGACGCCUCCAGCGCCGGCGCCGCCCGCUGCCAGCCGCGCCUCGCUGCCAUAGCCGCCCCGCGCUGGUUGCUCUCUAGCGCCCGCUGGGCCCCACCAUGGUCGCGUCCCUCCUCCGCCUCCCUGGCCUCCGUCGCACUGUGCCCUGUCGGCCCAGCGCCGCAGUCCGCCGCCCGCCAUUCCCCAUCACCUGAGGGCCUGCUCCUCGCCGGCGGCCACCCGCCCAGGGCUGCCACCGACCGUGGCCAUGGCCUCGCCGGCCCUGCUCCGCGAGCGCCCACCCGGGGCUUGCGCCCGACCCCAUGGCUCUACCCGUUAACCCGCCCCGCUGGGCUGGCCUUGUGGCACCGCUAGUGGGCCCCACGCCCCCUUUUCUGUAAACCAAAAAAUGAAUUAGUAAAAACAAUUAAUUAAUUAAUUGACAUUGUUUGUUUAUCCUAAUUAACUUGAUUAGUUUAACUUAAUCUGCUAAUUAAACUGUAUAAUAUGUAAUUAGUUAGCUGUGAGUAUGACAGGGGCCCCCACCCCCUGUUGACCAGUCAAAUGUUGACUGGUCAACUGGGACCCCUGGCCCACCUGUCAGCCACUAGGUGCAAUUCUAUGUACCCUGUGCUGGGUGCACCUAGCAUUUAACCUGUAUUUUCCAAUUAAUAGUAAUUUCAAAAUAGUAUUAAAACUUUGAAAAAUCAUAUAAAAGAAACCAUAACUCGGAUGAAAAUGUUUUCUACAUGAAAGUUGCUCACAAAGACGAGACGGAUCUGAAUACGCAACCCAUUCGUCUGCCACACGUCCCUAGCAUAGCGAACCUGCAACUGUCCCCCUCCGUUUCAUUUGUCCGAAAAUGCCAAACUUCGGGAAAGCUUUCCCAAAUGUUAUGCCCCUUCGCCGGUAUCGUGUAGCCCUGCGUUAGCACACUCCUAGCUCUGCUUAUUUUCAUGUCAUGCACUUGUUUGCUCUGUAUUUACUGUUUCUUCCCCCCCUCUUCUCUGGUAUAGCACGAGACCAUUGUUGAUGCCGUUGUGAUCGACAUCAUCGACGACUCUUCUUCCUUUUCAGCGGAGCUUCAAGGCAAGCCCCCCCUUUGAUCAUCCCGAUAUCUCCCAUUCCAUUCUCUCAUGCUUGCAUUAGAUUUUGCUACUGUUAUUGUUUCCUCCUAUUCUGAUGCAUAGCCUGCUUUUGUGACGUUCUCAUUGUACCUUACCUGCUUAUCCCAAACUGCUUAGCAUAGGUUGUUUAGUGAUCCAGCAGUGACCCCCACCAUGUACUUGUUGCCCCUGCUUCAUCAUCGACGACUCAAUCAACGUGAUCGACGACCAGAGCCCGACACCUCACAUCACAUCACGCCCCUUUUGUUGCUUGACUCUGCAGAGCUACGAUGGAGUGUCGAGGGUGAUACCUCACAACGCACUCCUGAUGACAACUCUGUAUUGUUGCUAUUCGGUCGUGGUCAACGAGGGUGGUUCCUCCUUCACCAUUCUUGAUACGGCUCUAUCAUGCAACACCUCAAGUGUGAACCUCGAGGGUGGUUCCUCAUAUGUUCACCUUGAUGAUUACAUUGAGUGGAAUCCACCGAGGGUGAUUCCUCAUGUUUUCCCCUUGAUGUUUGGACACACGGUUACCUUGACUUUACUUGAGACCAUUGUUGAAGUCGGGUCGGCCCUGAGGGGUACCCGCGAGUUGAUAUGAAAGUCGGGCGGGCCUGUAGAGCACCCGUGAGUUUUCUACAUGGCACAGCCGUGCAUUCUGGGCCCUUGCCGUAAGUCCAUGAGACGGGGCGACGGGGUCACAUUAUCAUGAGUCUCUGCUCCUCUCCGCGAGCCCCCAAUGCACUAACAGGUUUGGGUAUUUGUCCUAAGUUGGCCUUUGGCCUUUACGCACUGACCACCACGUGAGAAUAGAUAUGGGCCUUGACGUCGUGGUAUCAGUCGAAGCUUUGUCAGAUGUCCAGUUCAACAUUGUGGCACGGUCAGAUCGUGCCAUCCACUACACGGGUGGUGCUGGUAUCCACCCUGCACACAAUGACCCGGAGUGCAAUGGGCAAUGGGCCCAGACCCCAGAGUGCUUAGGAUGUAGACCGACGGUGACCUCUCUAUUGAGCCUAGGUAGGGAUACUAUGUGUUGAUCUUCCGAGGCUGGGCAUGACCCAGGAAAGUGUGUCUAGCCAGAGUAAUCAAGCAUGUUGGAAAACGUGGUGCACCCCUGUAGGGAAGAUAUAUAUUCGAAAAUUGUGUCCACAGUAAUGGACGUUCAGACUGGUAUCCUGAUCUAUUAUAACUAAAACUAGUUCCUUGCGACAUGUGAUGGAUAUGUGGCUCCGGGAUUGCUUUCUCGCAGGGAGUCGAGGAAGGAUCUCUGGGCGUUAAUGAUACAACAUGCUUGUUAAAUAUAAACUGUUAUUCUUUAGUAUUCUACAUGCUGCAAGAUGCUUGGAGCUGCUUGAAGAUGCUAGUCUUUGAUAGGCUAGGCCUUCCCCUCUAUUCUGGCAUUCUGCAGUUCGGUCCACAGAUACAUACCUUCCAUUGAUACCAAUGCAUAAUUAUAAUAGAUCUGAUGCUUGUGAGUACUUUGGAUGAGUACUCACGAUUGCUUUGCUACCCCUUUCCCCCCUUCUUUGUUCUUUCUAGUUGUUGCAACCAGAUGGUGGAUCCCUGGAGCCAGAUGCCACCGCCGACAGAUACUACUACAUGGAGGUCACCGAUGACCAGGAGUAUUUAGGAGGUCCCAGGCAGGAGGCCUUGCCUCUUCGAUCGUUGUUUCCUUUGUGCUAGCCUUCUUAUGGAAGUCUUGUCUAACUUAUGUAUGUACUCAGAUAUUGUUGCUUCCGCUGACUCUUGUGUAUCGAGCUAUGUAUUCAAGCCCUCAAGGCCCCUGGCUUGUAAUGUAAAGCUUGUAUUAUUUUGAUUUGUGUCUAGAGUUGUGUUGUGAUAUCUUCCCGUGAAUCCUGAUCUUGAUCAUAAACAUUUGCGUGUAUGAUUAGUGUACGGUCGAAUCGGGGGCGUCACACCAGUGUCGUACUAAAGAAGACUAGGCAGCUUGCGUUGGAAACCACCGGGAUAUCGUGCUGAGGAAUACUGGAUGGCUUAUGCUCAAAGCCUUCAGUGGAUAUCUUGCCGAGGAAGGCUGGGUAGCAUACCUUAGAAGCUUCCCCCCUUAAAGACUUGCUGGGGAAGACUAUGUACCUUAUUGUUGGCAUCCUGGGAACGGGGGUACCCAGACUUGCCUGCCCGCGGCCCACGGUGUGGCUCCGUCAACGGCCCGGUAUGACCCAACUUUAGCAACACUCGCGAGGGGCUAAGCCUCGUGAGGGGGACGACACCAAGACCUCCCUGGGAGGCGGCCUCGCUAGGCUGGCUCCCGAGGAGCGGAGAUAUCUAUGCAAGAUGAACCUCGCGAGGUUCAUAUGACGUGCGCCAUGAUGACCAAGGCCAUGCAUGCGCCAGUGGGAGCAGUGUACCAGUUUCCUCUUUGGUGCUAAGGAGGCAAGCGCAGGCGUGGUGUCCCGAGGAGUCAAGCAAAGGUUUACAUAUCGGUGAAACAAGACCAAGACCGCAAGGAAGGUAGGACAGAGAUCAUCGCGGAGACCACCGCAAUGUCACCACCAGAGCCUUUUGCAGGUGAAGACUACUUUUGUCAGGAUAGCUUGUACUAGUUGUCUCCCUUCAAAUUUGGCCGUUGUGGGAUCCCUUCCCGCCUACAUUUGGGAAGAGGGCCAAGGCCACUAUAAAUAGGACUUAGCCACCACCAUAGAGAAGGAGGGGAUCGAUUCCAUCCUGACCAUCUCACCAGCUCAUCGAGCUCAAGAACACCUCACCUCCUGAGGCUGUUCCACCGCUGUACUAGUUCAUCCUCAUCCCCUCAAGGCAAUCCACGACAAAGCUGGAGUAGGGUAUUACACCGCAAGGUGGCCCAAACUAGGGUAAACUAUUUUUUCUCUUGUCCCCUGGGUUCGUCGAGCUAGGCCAUGGAAUCAUUGAGCAGGCAGAUUGGAAAGGGAGAGUUUUUCGCAUGCACCCCAGAGUUUGAACCUCUCAAGGGUCUGCGGAACCCUGAAUCCGACAUUUAGUGCGCCAGUUAGGGGUGCGUCGAAGCUUUCCUUCGCCGUCUUCUUCACCUCACCAACCUGCUCCCAUGGCGAGCACCGCUCCUCCAACAGGAUCGACGCGCGCACGGAGGCGUUGCGGGCUACGGACUUUCACCCCCGCCUUGCGGCAGCUACAGUGGCCACCCAAGUUCAGUUCGGAGAUGCCGCCUUGCUACGACGGUGCAGCGGAACUGGUAGGUUUCUUCCAGGCCUACGAGGAGGCUGUUUGGGCGGCCGGCGGUGACGACAAGGUCAUGGCCAACUAGUUCCCCAUGGCCCUCACUGGCGUACCACGCGCCUGGCUUCUUAGCCUGCCAGGGUCUGAUGUCUACUACUCAACUUUAUUCUUGUAGACACAUGUUGGGCCUCCAAGCGUAGAGUUUUGUAGGACAGUAGCAAUUUUCCCUCAAGUGGAUGACCUAAGGUUUAUCAAUCUGUGGGAGGCGUAGGAUGAAGAUGGUCUCUCUCAAACAAUCCUACAAUCAAAUACAAGAAAUCUCUUGUGUCCCCAACACACCCAAUACAAUGGCAAAUUGUAUAGGUGCACUAGUUGGGCGAAGAGAUGGUGAUAGAAGUGUAAUAUGGAUGGUAGAAAUAUAUUUUUAUAAUAUGAAUAAAUAAAAACAGCAAGGUAGCAAAUAGUAAACGGUCAAAAAACGGUAUUGCAAUGCUUGAAAAUGAGGCCUAGGGUCCGUACUUUCGCUAGUACAAUCUCUCAACAGUGCUAAUGUAAUUGGAUCAUAUAACCGUCCCUCAACGUACAACGAAGAAUCACUCCAAAGUUCCUAUCUAGCGGAGAACAGACGGAAUUGUUUGUAGGCUACGAAACCACCUCAAAGCUAUUCUUUCCGAUCAAUCUAUCCUAGAGUUCGUACUAAAAUAACAUGAAGCUAUUCUUUUCGACCGAUCUAACCAAGAGUUCAUACUAAAAUAACGCCAAAGCAAAUUCAGAUUCAUAAUAUUCAAUCCAACACAAAGAACUUAAAGAGUGCCCCAAGAUUUCUACCAGAGAAACAAAGACAAGAACGUGCAUCAACCCCUAUGCAUAUAUUACUCCAAUGUCACCUCGGGAAUCCGCGAGUUGAGUGCCAAAACAUAUAUCAAGUGAAUCAGUACGAUACCCCAUUAUCACCAUGAGUAUUCAAUUGCAAGACAUAUAUCAAGUGUUCUGAAAUCCAUAAAAGUAUUCAAUUUGAUAACAACGAAAUUUCAAAGGAAAAAUGUCAAUUCAUCACAACAAGAUAGAGAGGGGAAAACACCAUAUGAUCCGGCUAGUACAAACCCUCAGCCCCGAGGGUGGACUACUCCCUCCUCAUCGUGGUGGCCGUCGGGAUGAUGAAGAUGGCCACCGGAGAUGGUUCCCCCCUCCGGCAGGGUGCCAGAAAGGGUCUAGGUUGCUUUUCGGUGGCUACAGAGCCUUGCGGUGGCGGAACUUCUAAUCUAGGUUAACCCUUGAUGUUUUCUCUAUUUACAGGAAUUUUUGGCGUUGGUUUCUAAGAUGGGCCUCGAGGUGAGCACAACCCACCGGGGCAUGAACAAGGGUCCAGGCAUGCCCCGUUGUCUUGUUCCCAACUCCUUCACCUUCUGGUCCUUCCACGAAGCUUCGUGGGUCUCUUUUUUUCGAAAAAAAAUCGUCAAAAAGUUUCAGCUCAUUUGGAGAACUUUCAUUUCUGCACAAAAAACAACACCACGAUAGUUCUGCUAAAAAUAGCGUCAGUCCAGGUUAGUUCCAUGCAAAUCAUACAAAACCAUAUAAAAUUGUUGUAAACAUGGCAUGAAUACUUCAUAAAUUAUAGAUACGUUGGAGACGUAUCAGCAUCCCCAAGCUAAAUGAUAAAAGAAAUAAUUUAUGAAGUGUGAAUGCUAGCAAAGUGUAUAAGUUUGAUCAAUGAUAAUUUCAAUCACUUUUCCUAGCAUCAUAACAACAACUCUUUCUCAUAAAACUUAUCAUGAUAAAGUAGCAAUUGAAAAUAGAAUAUUUGUUUUGGAAAGCUACCUAUCAUAUUCACCACAUAUUAUUUUCUUUAUAGCAUGGACAUUGGGACUUUUAUAUGGUUCAGAGCAAUAGUCUAGUUUUGACACGAGACUUAAAUACUCAAGCAUAUCAACAAGCAACCAUGUCUUUCAGAAUAUCAACGCUAAAAUAAGUUAUCCCUUAGCCCAUCAUGCUCAAUCAUCGAUCCAUUCAUGAAACAUACUCGCAUAUUAGCUACACCCAAUGCUCAAGUACGAUCAUAGUGCCUCCUAGUUGGUGCUUUAUAAGAGAAGAUGGAGACUCAAAUUCAAAAUAAAACUUGCAUAAAGUAAAAGAAAGGCCCUUCGUAGAGGGGAGUAGGGAUUUGUAGAGGUGCCAGAGCUCAAAGCAAAAAUUGAGAGAUAGAAACAUUUUGAGUGGCAUACUUUUCCCACCAAUGAAAACGACUUAGAGCUCCCAACACUUUCCAUGCUAGAUAUACCAUAUGCGGUCCCCAAACAGAAAAUAAAGUAUAUUCCUUUUUCCACCAUACUUUGACUUUCCAUGGCUAGUCGAUUCCAUAGUUGCCCUCCAUACCAACACUUUCCAAGGAAUUUAUUAUUUGACAACAUAAAGUAAAUUCAUUUUUCAUCCCGGGAUUGGGCAUCCCUAAUACCUUUGCCUUACUCUCGUGCAAUGACAAGUGAAUAAACACUCAUCGUGAGAAUAACACAUCUAGCAUGGAAAAUAUUGGCCACCCCUCACCGCCUCGCGAGCGGUACGAGCACAGAAAAGAGAGAUUUAUUUUGAAAAUUAGAGAUGGCACAUACAAAUUUGCUUAGAAUGUCAAAAGAAUACCGCAUAUAGGUAGGUAUAGUGGACUCAUGUGGCAAAACUGGUUUAAAGGAUUAUGGAUGCACAAGUAGUGAUCCUACUUAGUGCAAAAUGAAGGCUAGCAAAAGACUGGGAAGUGACCAACCAAGAAACGAAUAAUCUCAUAAGCGAGCAUUGAGCAUAAUUAACACCGAAUAAUGCAUCACAAGUAGGAUAUAAUUGCAUUGCAUAAUUAUUGACUUUCUUGCUUGCAUAGGGAAUCACAAACCUUAACACCAAUAUUCUUACUAAAGCAUAAUUACUCAUCAAGUUGACUCACAUACCACAUCAUCAUAUCUCAAAACUAUUACUAAGAAUCAAGUUUAUUUUGUCCAAUGAUCUUCAUGAAAGUUUUUAUUAUAUCCUUCUUGGAUAUCUAUCACUUUGGAACUAAUUUUCAUAUGUUGCUUUUGAAAAGCUCAAACAAAUAUAAGUGAAGAUCAUGAGCAUAUUUUUUUUCUCAAAUUAAUUUAAGUGAAGCAAGAGGUAAUUUCUUAAAAAAUACUAAAGCACACUGUUCUCAAAAAGAUAUAAGUGAAGCACUAGAGCAAUUCCAUUGAACAGAGCUUCAUUGACGGGAUGUGCGUACCGCUUACCUAGCCUCCCUGGCAACUAUUUGAUGACUCUAUUUUAUUUAAAAACUUUCAGAUCUAAGUAUCUUAAUAAAACAGCAAGCAAAACAAAAUAAAAUUACAUUCUAAGAAUAGCACAACUCAUGUGGAGAAGCAAAAACUUAGGCUCAAUCGAUACAACCGAUAAUUGUUGAAGAAGAAAAGUGGGAUAUCUACCGGGGCAUCCCCAAGAUUAGAUGCUUGGGACGUCUUGAAAUAUUAUCUUGGUAUGCCUUGGUCAUCCCCAAGCUUGAGCUUUUGUGUCUCUUUAUUCUUCUCAUAUCACGGUUUUCCCAAAUCUCAAAAGCUUCAUCCACACAAAACUCAAUAAGAACUCGUGAGAUAAGUUAGUAUAAACCAAUGCAAAAACCUUAUCAUUCUCUACUGUACCAAAUCACUAAAAUUAUUAUUCAACAUCGAAUACUAAAUGCCUUUGCAUAUUUAAUACUCCUAUCCUCAAAUACAAUCAUUAAACACGCUCUGCCGGGGAGCAAAAGUGCUCCUACCCAAGUACCACCUCGAGACGGCGGUGCUCCGUCCUGAAAGUCAUGUCCUUUUUUUCUCUAGGGCAAUUGGGCUUAUAUACCAGAAGUUGGGCACCGGAGGUUGGCUAGGGGCCCCACAAGCCACCAGGGUGUGCCUUGGGGGGUGGGCACACCCUGGUGCCUCAUGGGCACCUGGGUGGCCUCCUCUGGUACAUCAUUGCUCCAGUAUUUUUUGUUUAUUCCAUAAUAGAUCUCCGUAAAAUUUCAACUCAUUUGGAGAUGUUCAGAAUAGGUAUCUCUGACAUUAGCUUUUUCAGGUCCAGAAUUCCAGCUCCCGGCAAUCUCCCUCUUCAUGUAAAUCUUGCAUAUUAAGAGAGAAAAGAUAUUAGAAUUGCUCCACAAAGUUUUAUCUUCAUUAAAAACACUAUAAAUAACAGUAGGAAAACAUGAUGCAAAAUGGAUGUAUCAAUGAUAUGAACAUGCCAUGCACAUUAACUAAAAGAGAUACAAUGAUUGUCUUUUGCCCUGCAUCUACUCCAUCCGUCCGGUGAAGAGUAUACGUUUGUCUUUAAAAUUUGUCCACAAAAGAGUGUACUUAUAUCUUCCCAACGCAUUUUAAAGUAGAAAAAAUAUUUUUCUCUCAUCACACGAUAAUCAAGACUAAUAACAUUCUACUCAUGCUCUCCUUAAUUUCUACAUGCACUUAGCUCAUUGGGGAUUGGGUAAUUAAAGAGGAGAGAUAUGAUGGCUUGCAUCUUCCCAAUGCAUUUUGCACCACUCCAUAAUUUGACCUAAAAUUUCUAAAUGUACACUUUUCAUAGGGCCAUCUAACUAAUCUACUAAUAAGAAACAUGGGUCGGUCCCAAUUAGCCCGGUCGACCCCUACGUGCAAUGUCCCAAGGCCACGACUAGGUGCACUAACCAGUGAGGCCAGCGGUGGUGGCCACCGUGCGGGGGAAGCUGGGUGUGGUCCUGGCAGGCGCGUGCAGUAGUGGCGGCAGGCUGAGCACACAGAAGAGAGCAGCGGCAGCGUGCAGGAGGGUGGUGAGUUGAUGAGGGGUAGCUGCAACAGCGAUAGGAGAAGUAGAGGCAACAACGCAGGGUCGUGGCGAAGCGCGGGUGCACACUAUGCACGCGCGUGAGGGCCCAGGCAGGGGCGUGCAAGCGCAGCCAAGGUGCGUCCUAGGAGAGGAAGGCUGUGGGCAUGCAUAUGCGCGCUGAGUGGAGCUCCAGUCAUGGCAGCCGAACGCGGGGGGAGGCCAAACAAUGACAGACCAAGGCCGAAAGAAGGGCGAUUCGAGGGAGGAGCUCACCACAGGGUAGAAGGCGUUCUCGAGGAGGACGGGGACAGGCUGGAGAGGCAGUGGUGACGCUAAGACGGCGACGAUGUGUGGCGGGCGGAUGAAGAACAUGAAGAUGGUGUCGGCUCGAGGACGUCCCGGCUUGAGCUAGUCCUCGGGAUAGACGAAACCGACCGCGGUGGACCCUUUGGAUGUGUUCUCACACGCCGGAGUUGGCUGUGACCGCGACGAUGAUGGCGAGGCAGCGGUGACCGUGACUACUUCAAGCUCGAUUCCGAGAAGAAGAGGAAGGAGGCGAAGGGGGAAUGAGCUAGACGGAUGCUAGGGUUUUGGUGGAUGCCUUUGUAGGCCGAGGGAGCAUGUGGAGGCCAUCCAUGGCCAUGGUACCAUGGAUGCACGCCACACCCAGGCCUCUGCAUCCCCAUUGUACAGAGGUGGGGGAGAGGCUGUCAUGGGCUGGGCUUUGGGGCACUGUGGACACUUGAGCCCAUAUGCACAAUAGUUUAGCUCCUUUUCCUUUUAUUCUUUUACAUUUUUAUUUUAAUUAUUUCUUUUCUACUUUGCAUUUUAUUUUAAAACCAAUUGACUUUUGUUGAAUCUGAAAAUUGGCACAUAAAUAUGAGACAACAUUUUGAGCUAUCACAAACAGUUUCAAUUUAUCUUGAAUUGUUUAACUAUUUGUUUAAAUCAAAAAAGCUCACCUUAAUGGUGUUGGUUCUGUUUUAAAUGAAGAUAAGGGAAUGUUAAUAAUAAGAAGAGAUAUUGGUUUCUUCAUGAAAAUUAGUUAGUGAAUACUUGCAACCCAACGAACAUUUUAAAUUUACCUUCUGAAGAAUUACAAAUUUGACUUGUAUUUAAAUUUGAAUUUGACUUAGGUUUUAACUAGGAGAGACUAAGCUUAGCAAAAUGGGAUGACAUGGCAUCAUUAGUCAGGGAUUCAUUGUAGCAUAAUUACCGGGGUGUUACACCUGCAUUCAACGGGCCAUAAUUGGGUCGGUCCGCAACAUGCUGUAAUGGGGCUGCGGCGGACCUGCCGUAUGGGCCCUUCAUGGAUAUUGAAUGCCUAGGCCCAUAACUCUACUGGGCCUUUAGCGUGCCCAACUUUAGUUCGACCCAUGUAGCUUUGGGCCAUUAACAUGCUGAAUAUUCUGCUGGCAUGUGUUGGCCCACAAGAUACCAUGGGCCUUUAGCAGGCCGAGAAGCAUGUUGGGCCUCAAUUUUUAAGAGUAGUCCUCGGGCCUUGGUUUGCCCAAUCAUAUCAUAGGCCUUUAAUAGGCCGAAAGCUCAGUAGAGGCACCAACGGGCCGAAAUGUAUGACAUGCCUUUAAUUGUCCCAAAGUCAGGUUGGGCUGAAAUGUUGCCACCGAGAUCAUGGGUCAUUAAUGGGCCAAAUGUCAUGUCAGACCAUAAAUGGCCCAUGUGCAACACAGGCCAUUACCAGGCCAAAAGACACAACAGGUUGAAAUGGGCCCAUUUCUACAUCGUGACUCUUUUUUUCGACAGUACACCAAUGGUGUACCUUAGCUUUAUAGAAGGCAGAAAUUUAAUUACAAGAGACCAUUACAAGAUGCAAACAUCCCAAAUGGCAACCCACUGACACCAGACCAACCCGACACACCUAGGCUACUCUCUCACAAAGGGAUCUAAACCUCCGACACUAAAACCGGCCGUUCUCCAAUCCUUAAUCUCUUGGAGUACCCGAUCAACUAACUGUGGAUGAGUUUUUUUGUUGAUGUGGUCGAUUAAACACCCUUGCAUUCCUUUGCUUCCACAAUGCCCCAGCCAUCCCUAUAAAGGAGUCGAAUCCUCGGACGGUCCUACCGAAGAGGUUCCUUCUCUGCUGAAGCCACCAAUCUUGAAACCUGCUCAAGUUCGUCGGAAGGUCGAUGUUUAUCUGGAAGAUGUCGAAGCACCGAUGCCAUACCUCCUCAGCAUAGACGCACUGAACGAGUAUGUGGUCAAUGUGAUCCUCCUCUUGUAGACAUGUGAAGCAAGUGGAAGGCUGGUCUUGUAGUCCGUGUCGAGCUCGCAUGUCCGAUGUCCAUAACCUGUACUGCACCGCUAGCCAUGCAAUUUUUUUGCACCGCAACGGUGCCCAACUCCUCCAUAUGCAAGGCACCAUGUGUGAUCUUGUGAGGCCCAAACACAGCUUUUGAUACACCGAUUUUGUUGUGUAGGCCCCAGUCACGUCGGCUGGCCAAGCGAACUAGUCUUCUUGCUCCUCGUUGCGAGGUGCUGUGGUUAUCGCGAGACAGAGAUUUGCAAUCUGAAUGUGUGCCAUGAAGGAGAUGUCGCCCCGCACAUCGGAGGCCCACACAUUGUCGAUCAAGGCCUGCCGGACCGUUCUGGUGUUGUGAUAACCCAUAAGUAUAGGGGGUCGCAACAGUUUUUUAGGGUAGAGUAUUCAACCCAAAUUUAUUGAUUCGACACAAGGGGAGCCAAAGAAUAUUCUCAAGUAUUAGCAGUUGAGUUGUGAAUUCAACCACACCUGGAAGACUUAAUAUCUGCAGUACAGUAUUUAGUAGCAAAGUAGUAUGGAAGUAACAGUAACAAUGGCAAAGGUAACAGUAGCAGUUGUGUAGUAGUUGUAAUAGUGGCAACGGAAAAGUAACUAAGCAAAGAUCAAUAUGUGAAAAGCUCGUAGGCAUUGGAUCAAUGAUGGACAAUUAUGUCAGAUGCGAUUCCUCAUGCAAUAGUUAUAACAUAGGGUGACACAGAACUAGCUCCAGUUCAUCAAUGUAAUGUAGGCAUGUAUUUCGAAUAUAGUCAUACGUGCUUAUGGAAAAGAACUUGCAUGUCAUCUUUUGUCCUACUCUCCCGUGGCAGCAGGGUCCUAUUGGAAACUAAGGGAUAUUAAGGCCUCCUUUUAAUAGAGUAGUAGACUAAAGCAUUAACACUUAGUGAAUAAUUGAACUCCUCAAACUACGGUCGUCACCGGGAGUGGUCCUGAUUAUUGUCACUUCGGGGUUACCGGGUCAUAACACAUAGUAGGUGCCUAUUGACUUGCAAGAUAGGAUCAAGAACUCACAUAUAUUCAUGAAAACAUCAUAGGUUCAGAUCUGAAUUCAUGGCACUCGGGCCCUAGUGACAAGUAUUAAGCAUAGCAAAGUCAUAGCAACAUCAAUCUCAGAACAUAAUCGAUACUAGGGACCAAACCCUAACAAAAUUAACUCGAUUACAUGAUAAAUCUCAUCCAACCCAUCACCGUCCAGCAAGCCUUGAUGGGAUUACUCACGCAUGAUAGUGAGCAUCAUGAAAUUGGUGAUGGAGGAAGGUUGAUGAUGAUGAUGAUGGCGACGGAUUCCACUCUCCGGAGCCCCGAACGGACUCCAGAUCAUCCCUCCCGAGAGAGAUUAGGGAUUCGUGGCGGCUCUGUACCAUAAAACGCGAUGAAUCCUUCUCUAUGAUUUUUUUCUCCCUGAACAUGAAUAUAUAGAGUUGGAGUUGAGGUCGGUGGAGCCUUAGGGGGGGCCACGAGACAGGGGGGCGCGCCCAGGGCGGUAGGCGCGCCCCCACCCUCAUGGAUAGGGUGUGGGCCCCCUGGUCUUGAUUCUUUCACCAGUAUUUUUUAUAUAUUUCAAAAAUAUUCUCCGUGAAGUUUCAGGUCAUUCCACAAACUUUUAUUUCUGCACAAAAAUAACACCAUGGCAAUUCUGCUGAAAACAUUGUCAGUCUGGGUUAAUUCCAUUCAAAUCAUGCAAGUUAGAGUCCAAAACAAGGGCAAAAGUAUUUGGAAAAGUAGAUACGAUGGAGACAUAUCAUGUUGCAGGCCCGAGCGCUGACGAGCUCCAUGAUCAUUGGAGCAAUUUCGGCGACCGUAAAACCGUGGAUCCACCUAUCUCUCCAGAAGAGUACUUUUUGGCCAUUGCCCAGCGAGAUCUUCACCAAAGAGUUGAAUACCAGUUUAGCCUCAUCGUCUUCCACCAUUGGUAUGCCCUGCGACGACCUACUUGGAUCUGUUUGGCGCAGCCACUCCCACCUGACCCUGAGAGAAAUUGCCUAUAUCCUGAGAUACUUCACCCCCAAGCAGCCAAAAUAAGUUGGCCUGCACACCAUCUCCCAGGCAACCAGGCAUUGGCCUCCAUUCACCUUCUCCUUCCCCGCCCAAAAAAGGCACGAAUACAUUUUUCAAUGUCCUUGAAGACCCAUUUCGGCGCAUCGAGAACCAAAAGCUGGUGGAUCGGCCUUGCCGAGAUCACGUACUUGACCAGAACAAGGCGUCCAUGCCUCUGAAUCAAUCCAUGUUGCCAGGCUGGGAUGAAUUUCCUUGCCUGGUCUACCAACGGAUGCCAAUCCCCUCGAGUGAGAACUUUCAUUGCGAGCGUGAUACCCAGAUAUAUGCAGGGGAAAGCACCCAUCUGGCACUGCAAGAUGAUAGCCACCUGAUGUCUCUCCUCCUCGGUUCCUCUGAUCAAGAUCAUCGCAGAUUUGGCGUAGUUAAUCCUCAAGCCAGAAGCUAUGCCAAAAGCAUCAAGGACAGCUCGUACGCAGUGUAGAUCUUGCGUGGAUGGCUUGAUGAAGAUUGCAACAUCAUCCACAUAUAUUGACAGCCUUUGCAAAGGCGAAAUUCCUCGGAACGAACUGAGCGUGCCCUCCUCAGAUGCCUUGCAGACAAGGGCCGUAAGUGCAUCCAUGCUUAUUACGAACAGAAGAGGUGAGACCGGAUCCCCUUGCCACAACCCUUGGGCAUGGAAGAUGGAUCGUCCUGGAACACCGUUGAUUAUGAUUUUCGUACUCGUCGUGGUCAACAAGGCGACUACCCAUUGAAUCCAUCUAUCUCCGAACCCUCUCUCUCUCAAAACCUCCAUCAAGAAUGCCCAUGAUAGUGAGUCGAAUGCCUUGGAGAUAUCCAACUUAAGGAAGAGUCCAGAGGUCUUUGAAUUAUGAAUUUUCUGGGCCACCUAGCGGACUAGAAGGAAGUUAUCGUGAAUACUUCUGCCUCUGAUAAAUGUUGAUUGGUUUGUGCUGACGAUCUCGUGCAUCCUCUUGUGUGCCCGAGUGCCGAGCAGUUUGGCGAACAGCUUGGAAAAGCUAUGGGGGAGGCUGAUUGGCCUGUAGUCACCCACCUCAAUGGUGUCGGCCUUCUUAGGGAUCAGCACCAUGUGAGCUUUAUUGAACCUACCGAAUCCCUUGUAAUCCUCCAUGAAGAGUUUAAACAACACUGCCAUUAUAUCCUUCUUGAUCACCGACCACGCUCUCUGGUAGAAGGUACCAAUGAAGCCGUCGGGGCCGGGCACAUGAUCUGGAGGGAUUGCCUUGAUAACCUCCCAAACCUCCUCUUCCGUAAAUAUGGCUUCAAGCUCGAAAAGCUAAAGAUGCGACAAACCCAAGUACUGGAGAUCGAGUGAAUGAUCUUUAGCUAGCACCUUACCCAACAGACUAUCGUAGACCUCCGUGAAGACCUCCUCCAUCCUCCCUUGAUCCGUGACAAUCUCCGAUCCAUGCCUGAUUUUAAGGAUGAAAUUCUUAGAUCUCCUUCCGUUGGCACCGCCUGGAAGAGUUUUGUAUCCGCGUCCCCUUCUUUCAGCCAUCUGAUACAUGAUCUUUGUCGUUCGAUGGUCCGCUCAAGCGAAGCCAACCCGAGGAGGGAGAGCUUCAAGGUUCUCCGUAACCAUAGUUCCAUGUCAGUCAGGAUCCUCACUUCCUGCACUUGGUCGAAUCUGAAGAUCAACCAGUUGGCCACCGCCAUGAGGAUCUUAAUAUUACCUAUUUUCCAUUGCCCCAUGCCUGAAGGUAUGCCGUCGCGUUUCUGACGAGCAUACCAACGCAACAUAGAAAUUUGAUCCCAUAAUAGUUUCCCUUUUUGUGUCAAGCGAUAAUCCCUAAAGUAUUCACGUUGAUCCAACAUGUCUCCCAUAACAAAGUUGAAUGGGGUUUUCUCAGGAUUAUCAAAGUAGUACAUAAUUUCUGUCACAUAACGAGCAUCGAGGGUUUUAGGAGGUUCCCCAUCUCCAUGAGUAACAAGUACACCUAAUUUUUUUGGUAUUUAGUGUUCCAUAUCCAUAACUAAAGAUAGAUAACAACUUAGAACAACAAAUAAAAAUUACUUAGUGAUAAAGCAAACAAGCACACACGAGAAUAUUCACUCCAUGCUAUGACUCCCCGGCAACGGCGCCAGAAAAAGGUCUGAUAACCCACAAGUGUAGGGGAUAAUUGUAGCCUCUUUUGAUAAGUAAGAGUGUCAAACCCAACGAGGAGCUAAAGAUAGAACAAAUAUUCUCUCAAGUCCUAUCUUCCACUAAUACGACUCUACGCACGCUUAGUGUUCGCUUUACCUAGAACAAGUAUGAAACUAGAAGUACUUUGUAGGUGUUGUUGGAUAGGUUUGCAAGAUAAUAAAGAGCACAUAAAUAAAAAGUAGGGGCUGUUUAGAUAAAGAAGCAAUAAAGUAAAUAUAGCGAGUGUGGAAAAGUGGUGGUAGGAGUUGUGAAAUUGUCCCUAAGCAAUUGACUAUGUUACUAGACCGGUAAUCACUAUUGCAAUUCUAUUUGAGGGAGAGGCAUAAGCUAACAUACUUUCUAUUCUUGGAUCAUAUGCACUUAUGAUUGCAACUCUAGCAAGCAUCCGCAACCACUAAAGAUCAUUAAGGUAAAACCCAACCAUGGCAUUAAAACAUCAAGUCCCCUUUAUCCCAUACGCAAACAACCUACUUACUCGGGUCUGUGCUUCUAUCACUCAGGCCACCCACCAUAAGCAAAUCAUGAACAUAUUGCAAACCAUACAGCGGGAAUCCCUCACGCUUGCGUGACAUGGAGGGAAAGGACAACACCAAUAAUAAAACAUGAAAUUCAAACCAAUCAUAGCAAUUCAUCAAUCACCGGUAGGACAACGAAAAUCUACUCAGACAUCAUAGGAUGGCAACACAUCAUUGGAUAAUAAUAUGAAGCAUAAAGCACCAUGUUCAAGUAGAGGGUACAACGGGUUGCGAGAGAGUGGACUGCUGAAUAUACAUGGGGGAAGGUGAUGGAGAUGUUGGUGAAGAUGGCGAAGGUGUUGGUGAAGAUGGUGGUGAUGAUGAUGGCCCCCGGCGGUGUUCCGGUGCCACCGGAAGCAAGGGGGAGAGAGCUCCCCUUCUUCUUCUUAUUCCUUGACAUCCUCCCUAGAUGGGAGAAGGGUUUCCCCUCUGGUCCUUGGCUCCCAUGGGCGUGGGAGGGGCGAGAGCCCCUCCGAGAUUGGAUCUAUCUCUCUGUUUCUGCCUUCUCAGAUUCUGCCCCUUCACCGUUUCUUUUAUAUUCGAAGAUUCGUAACUCCGAUUGGGGUGAAUCUUUCGCCCAGAUCUUUCACAUAAAAUUAGCUUUCUUGUGGCAAAAUAAGAGCAUCAACCGCCUUAUGGGAGUCCCAGGAGAGUCCAUGGCGCGCCUACCUCCCUGGGGCGCACCCCCUAUAUCCUGGCCCCCUCGGGCACCGUCUCGCGUUGAUUUUACUUCCCAAAAAUCACAAAUAUUACAAAAUAAUUCUCCGUCCGUUUUAUCCCGUUUGGACUCCAUUUGAUAUGGGGUUUCUGCGAAACAUAAAACAUGCAACAGACAGGAACUGGCACUGGGCACUGGAUCAAUAUUUUAGUCCCAAAAGUAAUAUAAAAAGUUGCCAAAAGUAUAUGAAAGUUGAAUAAUAUUGGCAUGGAAUAAUCAAUAAUUAUAGAUACGACGGAGAUGUAUCAGCAUCCCCAAGCUUAAUUCCUGCUCGUCCUCGAGUAGGUAAAUGAUAAAAAAAAGAUAAUUUUUGAUGUGGAAUUCUACCUAGCAUAAUCUCGAUCAUAUAUCUAAUCAUGGCAUGAAUAUUAAGACACGAGUGAUUCAAAGCAAUAGUCUAUCAUUUGACAUAAAAACAAUAAUACUUCGAGCGUACUAAUAAAGCAAUCAUGUCUUUUCAAAACAACAAGGCCAAAUCAAGCUUAUCCCUACAAAAUCAUAUAGUUUGGCCAUGCUUCAUUUUCGUCACACAAAAUGCUCCCAUCAUGCACAACCCUGCUGACAAGCCAAGCAAUUGGUUCAUAAUUUUUAACGCGCUUCAGCUUUUUCAACCCUCACACAAUACAUGAGCGCAAGCCAUGGAUAUAGCACUAUAGGUGGAAUAGAAUAUAAUGGUGGAGGUUAUGUGGAGAAUACAAAAAAGGAGAAAGUCUCACAUCGACGUGGCUAAUCAACGGGCUAUGGAGAUUCCAAUCAAUUGAUGUCAAUGCGAGGAGUAGGGACUGCCAUGCAACAGAUGCACUAGAGCUAUAAGUGUAUGAAAGCUCAAACUGAAAACUAAGUGGGUGUGCAUACAACUUGCUUGCUCAUGAAGACCUAGGGCAUUUGAGGAAGCCCAUCAUUGGAAUAUACAAGCCAAGUUCUAUAAUGAAAAAUUCCCACUAGUAUAUGAAAGUGACAAUAUAGGAGACUCUCUAUAUGAAGAACAUGGUGCUACUCUGAAGAACACAUGUGAUAAAAGGAUAGUAACAUUGCCCCUUUUCUUUUUCUUUUUUUUUUCUUUUUUUUGUGGGCUUCUUUGGCCCCUUUUUUUGUUUAGGCUUCUUUGGCCUUUCCUUUUUUUCAUGGGGCAAUGCUCUAUAAUGAUGAUCAUCACACUUUUAUUUACUUACAACUCAAUAUUACAACUCGAUACUAGAACAAAGAUAUGACUCUAUAUGAAUGCUUCCGGCGGUGUACUGGGAUGUGCAAUGAUCUAGUGUAGCAAUGACAUCAAAAAAUGGACAAGCCAUGAAAACAUCAUGCUACCUAUCUUACGAUCAUGCAAAGCAAUAUGACAAUGAAUGCUCAAGUCAUGUAUAUGAUGAGAUGGAAGUUGCAUGGCAAUAUAUCUUGGAAUGGCUAUGUAAAUUCCGUGAUAGGUAGGUAUGGUGGCUGUUUUGAGGAAGAUAUAAGGAGGCUUAUGUGUGAUAGAACGUAUCCUAUCAUGGGGUUUGGAUGCACCGGUGAAUUUUGCAACAACUCUCGAGGUGAGAAAGGGAAAUGCACGGUACCGAAGAGGCUAGCAAUGAUGGAAAGGUAAAACUGCGUAUAAUCCAUGGACUCACAUUAGUCAUAAAGAACUCAUAUACUUAUUGCAAAAGUUUAUUAGACCUCGAAGCAAAGUACUACUACGCAUGCCCCUAGGGGGAUAGAUUGGUAGGAAAAUACCAUCGCUCAUCCCCGACCGCCACUCAUAAGGAAGACAAUCAAAGAAACACCCCAUGCUUCAAAUUUGUCACACAAUGGUUACCAUACGUGCAUGCUACGGGACUUGAAAACCUAAACACAAGUGUCUCUACAAUUCACAACCACCCACUAGCAUGACUCUAAUAUCACCAUCUUUAUAUCGCAAAACUAUUGCAAGGAAUCAAACAUAUCAUAUUCAGCGAUCUACAAGUUUAUGUACGAUUUUAUGACUAACCAUGUGAAUGACAAAUUCCUGUCAUCUCUCUAAAUAGAUAUAAGUGAAGCAAGAGAGUUUAAUUCUUUCUAAAAAAGAUAUGCCCACGCUCUAACAAGUAUAAGUGAAGCAAAAGAGCAUUCUAAUAAUGGCGGUUUUCUAUGUGAAGAGAAACAGGCAAUCCAAACUUCAAAAGAUAUAAGUGAAGCACAUGAAGCAUUCUAUAAAGCCAUACUCAAAAGAUUUAAGUGAAGUGCAAUGAGCAUUCUAUAAAUAAACCAAGGACUAUCUCAUACCAUCAUGGUUGAUAAAUAAAAGUGAAAACUAAAUGCAAAAGACGCUCUAAGACUUGCACAUACCGCAUGAACGAAACGAAUACGAAAACAUACUGAUACUUGUUGAAGAAAGAGGGGAUGCCUUCCGGGGCAUCCCCAAGCUUAGACGCUUGAGUCUCCUUGAAUAUUUACUUGGGGUGCCUUGGGCACCCCAAGCUUGAGCUCUUGCCUCUCUUCCUUUUCCUCAUAUCGAGACCUCCUCGAUCAAACACUUCAUCCACACAAAACUUCAACAGAAAACUCGGUAAGAUCCGUUAGUAUAAUAAAGCAAAUCACUACUCUAAGUACUGUAUCAAACCAAUACAUAUUUUGUUUUUGCAUUGUGUCUACUGUAAUAUAGCGUUUCCAUGGCUUAAUCCACUGAUAUAAAUUGAUAGUUUCAUCAAAACAAGCAAACUAUGCAUCAAAAACAGAAUCUGUCAAAAACAGAACAGUCUGUAGCAAUCUGAACAUUCACCAUACUUCUGGUACCCCAACAAUUCUACCAAAAUUAGGAAAAAUAAAAAAUUUGUACAGUAAGACAGUGCAAAAGGAAUCAGAACCAUUUCAGGAUCCAGUUAAAAAUGUAAAAUCGUGCACUACAGCCAAAGUGUCUGUCCUUCACCGUACAAACCAACAAGCAUUGUAAACAUCCUAAAGGCAAACCUUAGCACAUUAUUUUUAUAAUACAAUGGAAUUGUAAAACGGGAUAUUUAUUUUUGAUGAAAAGUUUCUGUAAUUAAGAUUCACAAAGUUUCCGUGAGCAUGAACAAAGUUCAAGGAGCUCUCCCACUUCAACAAUGCUUGUCUUUCUCACUUUCACUUUCCUUUUUGAAAAAGUUUUGGGUUCCCCUCUUUAUUUUUUUGUUUUUAAACUAAAUAAAAGCACACCACAGAAAUAAAAUGACUCUCUAAAACUUCCGGGUUGUCUCCCUGGCAGCGCUUUCGUUAAAGCCAUUAAGCUAGGCAUAUAGUGCUCAAGUAAUGGAUCCACCUGGAUCCCAAGGUAUAUCAAAGCCAAUUUUAAUUAACAAUGAUUUGUAAUUUAAUAGUGAGCACAAAGUAACAUAUAUCAUGCAACAACAAAGUCUAACUCUCUUCCUAUGCAUCGGCAUGUCAUAAAAGAACAAUUCAUGCACACAUAGUAAAGGCCAAUGCAUAGUAUAAACAGUUUCUUGCAAUUUUAUCAUAUUGGAAACAUAGAGAGGUGAAGAUAUAGUUCCUCUCUUAUAAUAAUUGCAAGUAGGAGCAGCAAGCACGUGCAUAUUAUAUCUAGCAAAAUCAUCAUGUGUAGUAGUAAAAGGUAACCCAUCAAUGCAAUCCUUAGUAAGCACAAACUUCUCCGAUAUAGUGUAGUUUGGAGAAUUCAAAAAGAUAAUAGAACUAUCAUGUGUGGGUGCAAUAGCAACAAUUUCAUGUUUAACAUAAGGACCUAUAGCAAGUUCAUCUCCAUAAGCAUAAUUCAUAUUGGCAUCUUGGCCACAAGCAUAACAAGCAUCAUCAAAAAGGGAUAUUUCAAGAGAAUCAACGGGAUCAUAACAAUUAUCAUAGCAAUCAUCCUCCGGUAAGCACGAAGGGAAAUUAAACAAUAUAUGAGUUGAAGAGUUACUCUCAUUAGAAGGUGGGCACGGGUAGCUAAUCCGCUCUUCCUCCUUUUGUUCUUCGCUCUCCUCAUCAUCUUUUUCAUCCAAUGGGCUCACAGUUUCAUCAAUUUCUUCUUCCAUAGACUCCUACAAAAUAUUAGUCUCUUCUUGGACAGCGGAGACUUUCUCAAUAAAUGCAUCAAUAUUAUAAUUGUAUUCAUAAUUCUUAUAACAAUAUUCAAGUAUAGCAAAAUUUUCAGGUCUAUAAACUGAAUCAUCAAAAUCAUCAAACUCUUUAAACAUAGAUUCAAUCUCAUAAGAACCCAUAAAAGCAACGAAUUCUUCUAUUUGUUCCACAUCAUAGUAAUCAUAUCUACCAUUAGCAUAAGAAGCUAAGGUUUUAUUAUGAUUGAAUUUGCAUCAAAAGGGAAGGUGUGGAGCCUUCAUCCUAGAGCAACAAGUAUAAUCAUGUAUCAAGCAUAGUUGACGAGCAUACCAACGCAACAUAGAAAUUAGAUCCCAUAAUUGUUUCCCUUUUUGUGUCAAGUAUUCACAUUGAUCCAACAUGUCUCCCAUAACAAAGUUGAAUGGGGUUUUCUCAGGAUUAUCAAAGUAGUACAUAAUUUCUGUCACAUAACGAGCAUCGAGGGUUUUUGGAGGUUCCCCAUCUCCAUGAGUACCAAGUACACCUAAUUUUUUUUGGUAUUUCGUGUUCCAUAUCCAUAACUAAAGAUAGAGAACAACUUAGAACAACAAAUAAAAAUUACUUAGUGAUAAAGAAAACAAGCACACACGAGAAUAUUCACCCCAUGCUAUGACUCCCCGGCAACGACGCCAGAAAAAGGUCGUGAUAACCCACAAGUGUAGGGGAUAAUUGUAGCCUCUUUCAACAAGUAAGAGUGUCGAACCCAACGAGGAGCUAAAGGUAGAACAAAUAUUCUCUCAAGUCUUAUCUGCCACUGAUACGACUCUACGCACGCUUAGUGUUCGCUUUACCUAGAACAAGUAUGAAACUAGAAGUACUUUGUAGGUGUUGUUGGAUAGGUUUGCAAGAUAAUAAAGAACACGUAAAUAAAAAGUAGGGGCUGUUUAGAUAAAGAAGCAAUAAAGUAAAUAUAGCGAGUGUGGAAAAGUGGUGGUAGGAGUUGUGAAAUUGUCCCUAAGCAAUUGACUAUGUUACUAGACCGGUAAUCACUAUUGCAAUUCUAUUUGAGGGAGAGGCAUAAGCUGUCACGCCCAAGAUGCGACCCUACCCUAAAGGAACUCGAAGGUCCCACCAAGGAUAGAAGCGCAUCUUGAAGACCCUUUUGCAAGGUGGAUAUCAUUACAUCAACAUUACAUAAUAGAUGGGGAUACAUACAGAAGGCAUAGAAUGCCACACGAAUACAACAUCAUCAUACAUAAGAUCAACAUCCGACUACGGAUUAACACAAACAGAAACUCAAACGACAUCCACCCUGCUAGCCCAGGCUGCCGACCUGGAACCUAUCCCCUGAUCAAAGAAGUAGAACUCCAAAACAAGUAAGCAUCGCUCUCGCGUCAUGAUCAUCGCAAACCUGUACCUGCAACUGUUGUUGUAGUAAUAUGUGAGCCACGAGGAGUCGGCAAUCCCAUUACCAUGGGUAUCAAGACUAGCAAAGCUUAAUGGGAAAGGAAGGGGUAAAGUGGUGAGGUUGCAGCAGCGGCUAAGCAAGUAUGGUGGCUAACAUACGCAAAUAAGAGCGAGAAAAGAAGCAAAGGAAUGGUCGUGAAGCUAGCAAUGAUCAAGAGGUGAUCUUGAACUCGUACCUAUGUCAAUCAAAACACAGGAACCGUAUUCACUUCCCGGACUCCACCGAGAAGAGACCAUCACGGCUACACACGCGGUUGAUGCGUUUUAAUUUAGAUCUAGUGUCAAGUUAUCUACAACUGGACAUUAACAAAUUCCCAUCUACCACAUAACCACGGGCAUGGAUUUCGAAAGAUAAUACCCUGUAGGGGUGUCCCAACUUAGCCCAUGAUAAGCUCCCGCGAUCAACGAAGGAUAUUCCUUCUCCGAGGAAGACCUGAUCAGUCUCAGAAUCCCGGUUUACAACACAUUUCGACAAUGGUAAAACAAGACCAGCAAAGCCACCCGAUGCACCGACAAUCCCGAUAGGAGCUGCACAUAUCUCGUUCUCAGGGCAACAUCGGAUGAGACAUCCUACGAGUAAAACCAGACCUCGAGUUUCCCCGAGGGAGCCCCGCAGUCUACUCGGUUCAGACCAACACUUAGACAAUCAUUGGCCAGGGGGGGCUAAAAUAAAGAUGACCCUUGGGUUAAUUACUCCCAAGGGAAAUGUAGGUGGUGGUGAGGCAAAUGGUAAAUCCAAGGUUGGGCCUUGCUGGAGGAGUUUUAUUCAAAGCGAACUGUCGAGGGGGUCCCAUAAAUCACCCAACCGCGUUAGGGACGCAAAAUCCGGGAACAUAAUACCGAUAUGAUGGAAACUAGGGCGGCAAGAGUGGAACAAAACACCAGGCAUAAGCCCGAGUCUUCCACCCUUUACCAAGUAUAUAGAUGCAUUAAUAAUAUAAGAUAUAUUGUGAUAUCCCAACAUAAACCUGUCGACCAUGGAGCAAUCUUCAACUUCACCUGCAACUAACAACGCUAUAAGAGGGGCUGAGCAAAAGCGGUAACAUAGCCAAGCAACGGUUUGCUAGGAAGGGUGAAAAGGUUAGAGGCUGACAUGGCAAUUUGGGAGGCUUGAAGAGCAAUUGAUAGGUAGCGCAGCAAAGCGAUAGAACGAAGCAACUAGCAUAGCAAUGAUAGUAGUGAGAUCCAGGGUAGCGGUCAUCUUGCCUGAAAUCCCGCAAGGAAGAAGAACGAGUCCAUGAAGAAGAUGAAGCCACGAAGACGAACCAAGCAUGGACGAACGAAUCCUCACCAUCGCAACGAAACGGGAACUAACGAGAAGAAGCACACAACAUAGUAAACACAUCACACAUAGACAAGACAUGAUGCACAACAAGCAUGAUGCAUGACAAGGCUACAUGGAGCUACUCAUGGAAAAAGAUGAUGCAUACAAGACCAACACAUCAAAGCAAGUUUAAAUGAGGCCGAAAACAACAUAGAACAAUUCCGGUAAGUCCUCAUAGGCAAGUUCCAAAGUUGGUCCAGAUCUGAACAAACAUUAAGUUGAAGUUGUUAAACAGCAAGUUAACGAGCACCAAGAGGAUCUACACGAAGUUCUAGUCAAGUUACAUAUAAAGUUCAUUUAGUUCGGAGCUACGGCCUAGAAGAUAUGAGCAAAACAAGUUAAACAUGGCAUUGAUGCUAAAUGCAUCCAAACAUCGAGCAAACACCUCAAAACAAGGAUACAACAUGAUAAUAUGAAACUACAUGCAAAAAAUGGCAAGUUUCAUAAAGAGCACACUCAAUACGGAGCAACGGUUCAACACAUACACUCUAUACAAGUUUAAAGGACAAGCUGUCCAAAACAGCAACUAGGCAUAUUGCAAGCACCAAAACAACAUGCUACAGUACCACAAUAUGAAAACAAAAGGCAUGGACAUGAUGUAUAGAUAAAGCACAACAAAACAUGAACACUGAGCUAUCUCCAGAAAUCAAUAGAACAUGCUCCAAAGGACAUCGCAAGAUUGCAAAUAAUAACAGUUUCAGACUUAACAGAAAUAACAUCGGGUUGCAAUGUUUAGAGCUAUCAAACAACAUGUUACAGAAACUUAUCAUGGCAAACAAAGGCAUGGCAUGAAUCUACUAAUUGCAUAGAACAAAGGUCCCUUACUGAUUAUGAGCCAAAAAGGGCACAGAAAAUAUGAUGGCACCCAUGUAAACAUAGCAAGUGAUAUGACAUAUUCAUACAUGGCAGGAACAACAAUGAGUAGGCAUGUUGGUGAGCUGGUACCACUCACCACAGAGCAAUAUAUGGCAUGGCAAGGCAACCAACAGUAAGAAUACAUGUUUGUGAAGCUAAGCAUGUCAAGAUCAAGUUCAUAGGGUGCAUGGAUCACUAGCAAGGCUCAUGGCAAAACUGAACUUAAUGUUAACAGGCUGACAUCAACAUUAUUUAGCAAUUUGAGAGCAAGAUUACAACAAGUUACAGCAGGCUAAAAAUGCAACCAGGGGCAUAAAUGGAUAGAUCAUGACAUGUAUAAAAAAACAUCCUUAGUGAACAUCUCCAGAUUAUGCAUAGAAUGACUUGUAGCAGCAGGUUUACAUAGCAUCAUGUUAUAGCAGAUCCAGCCUAGCAAAACAGAAACAGCAAGAACCCUACUUCACGAGCUCGAUGCACUCACUACAAGCCUCGCAAAAAUACAUGGAUGGCACCACUGUGAAGAUGGCUUGACAUAGUUCAAAACACAUGUAGGGCUGAAGCUCAUAGGAUGCACACACAAAAUUCAAUGAAAAAGACAAAACAGCAAGUUAUAACAGUUUCAGCAGGUUAAUAUCAUAUAGCACUCUUGCAACGAUGAUUUGGGCAUCAAGAUGAACUCAAAUUAACAUGGAAAAAUGGAAUGAAAAGAAGAGCAUCUCAUGUUGAACAUUUUGAUAUAUUAUGCACGCAAAACGGAUCUACGGAUGAGGAGAUAUGGCAUGUCGAAAAGGGCACCAGAAUGCAAAUUAUCUCAGGGACUUGGGCAAUUUCGGGGUAAACCUUCGUGGAUCUGGAUACAGAUCUCGCGCACGGAAGUCGAGGCACGUCGGGGAGGUCGCCGGAGAAGGAUGGAGAUGGCCGGAGAAGGGCGGGGCGGCGCUGGCAGAGGAGGACGGCGGCGGGGCAGCGCCGGAUCUGGCCGGAGGAGGCCGGGACGGCGCCGGCGUCCUGGGCGGCGGCGUAGGCGGGCAGAGGCGGCGGUCGCCGNNNNNNNNNNNNNNNNNNNNNNNNNNNNNNNNNNNNNNNNNNNNNNNNNNNNNNNNNNNNNNNNNNNNNNNNNNNNNNNNNNNNNNNNNNNNNNNNNNNNNNNNNNNNNNNNNNNNNNNNNNNNNNNNNNNNNNNNNNNNNNNNNNNNNNNNNNNNNNNNNNNNNNNNNNNNNNNNNNNNNNNNNNNNNNNNNNNNNNNNNNNNNNNNNNNNNNNNNNNNNNNNNNNNNNNNNNNNNNNNNNNNNNNNNNNNNNNNNNNNNNNNNNNNNNNNNNNNNNNNNNNNNNNNNNNNNNNNNNNNNNNNNNNNNNNNNNNNNNNNNNNNNNNNNNNNNNNNNNNNNNNNNNNNNNNNNNNNNNNNNNNNNNNNNNNNNNNNNNNNNNNNNNNNNNNNNNNNNNNNNNNNNNNNNNNNNNNNNNNNNNNNNNNNNNNNNNNNNNNNNNNNNNNNNNNNNNNNNNNNNNNNNNNNNAGGCCGGAUCUGGGCCCCGGGCGGCGGCGGCGAUGUGGGCGCGGGGGAGGUGAGGUGGCGGCUCCGGAUUGGGCGCGCAGGCGGCAGCGCUGAGGUGGCGGUGGCUGAUUCGUCGGAGCGACGUGUCCAGCGGACAUGUCCGGUGCGGACGGACGUGUCCGGCGGCGCGAGGAGGAAGACGCUAGGGUUUGGACCCGGAUUUGGACGGGGGAAGGCAUAUAAAUAGCUAGACGGAGCUAGGAGAGUCCAAAUGGGGAGCGGUUUUCGGCCACGCGAUCGUGAUCAAACGACCAAGAGCAUGGAGGGGAGCUAGCUGGGUUAGUGGGCCACUUUGGAGGGGUGUUGGGCUGCAAGACAAAAGGGGCUUUCGGGGUUACAUGGUUAACCGUUGGAGUAUCAAACGGACUCCAAAUGGACGAAACUUGACAGGCGGUCUACCGGUGGUGUACCAAGGCCACUUGGCAAGCCUCGGUCCAUUCCGAGAACGUUUAACAUCCGCACAUGAAAAGAGACAAGAAGGGGAUGCCGGAUGACAUAGGAGUGCCGGAUUGAAAAACGGACAGCGGGGAAAAUGCUCGGAUGCAUGAGACGAACACGUAUGCAAAAUGAGAUGCACAUGAUGACAUGGCAAAAUGCAACACACAAGCAAAUGACAUGGCAACGACGGCGAAUAACUGGCGGACACCUGGCGCAACGAAUCCGGGGCGUUACAACACUCCUCCACUAACAAGAGAUCUCAUCCCGAGAUCUUAGAAACGAGACGGAAGGGAAAAGUGAUGAGGUGAAACAAGAACUCAAGAGAAGAAGCAAAGAAUCAAGAGCACUCGAGAAGAAGAGAGGAACGACGAGAAUGACGAGAAUCGAAAGCUCACGGAAUCAGAUAGACUAUGAAACCACUCCGGUUAGAACGAGAUAAGAAACGAAUAAGACUGGAAGAAUUUAGGCAGCACUCCGGCUGAACAUGGAAAGAGUUGGAACUGAGAUUGACAAAAUGGAACGAUAGUUGACUAGAGGAACAACACAAUGCCUCCGGAAGAACUGAAAAAGUUGAAAGAAAAGAACGGAGAAGAAGAUGACACCUUCUACCACGAAUGAACUAGAAAGCAACCUUAGAAGAAAGGAUUGAACGGAGUUGUUAGAAAUUCAACAACAAAAGAAUAAGAUUGUUGUGGACUUAUGGAUAACAUCUCAGAAUUACGAGGUGAUAACCGACCACAAACGGAAAAGAUUAAAUAGCUGAGAAGAACGAAGAAAUGCAAAACUCCACUUCAAAAGGAUAUGGAGAAUUAAUUGCACUUCGAGAUGCAAGAAGAAAAGGUACUUGAAUUUCUCCAACAAAAUGUUGAUGAACUCUUGAAGAAUGAAUUAAAUCAUGAAGAACCCCCAUGAAGAACUCCGGCAAACAAAAGGAUUAAAUAAACGAAGGUUGAAAAGAACAAGAUAAGCCUUGUGAUGAUUUAGAUGGAGGUCCGGACGAGAUGGCUGAGGAAAUAGAACUCCGGAAAAGAAAAGAUGACAACACUUGGAACCGAGAAUGUGAUAGGAUGAACAAACUCCGAAGGAAGGAAUUAAUCAACUUGAUGAAAGAGAAUAAGAACUAUGUUAUGCUUAUCCUCCACCAAUUAAAUUGAUGCAAAGCAAUGAAUUUGCAUACUACUUAUUCACAUUGGGAAAAUAUUAAGGGAAGAUAUAGUGCCAAAUUUGGGGAGGUCUUCAUGAGCCACCGGUAGGAUUUGAAAGAACGAACGAAAUGAUAUGAUGAGAACGGAAAAUUAUUCUUGAACGAACCACCGUCAGAAUUCAAAAUUGAAUAACGAAAAAGGAAUAAAUCAUUGGGAAGAAUUAGAACAAGCACGAAGAUGCUUGAGGGAAUUUGAUACCGCAGAAUGAAGAGGUCUCGAACUGAUUAAAGAAAGCUUGAACAAAGCACUGGAAGAAUAUUGAGACGAACGAAGGGGCACGGAUAUAGAAUAAUUGGAGAAUGAAUUCGAAAACUUAGAACGAAGUAAUAUUCCGAAAAGAUGGCCUCCGGAUGAUCGAGAGAGACAACAGCUCCUGAACUGCUCCGGCAGGAUGAAAAUAAUUUGCAUGACUGGAAACUAUAAGAGGAUAACAUGUAGAAGAACCACGAAUCUCCGGGAGAACGGACAAGAUUUAAGAGAAAUUCUACUUCAGUCUUCACAUGACGACAAGAAACACCUUGCAGAAUUUGUUGAAACCCUCCGGAAGAAUGAAAAAGAGGACAGAUUGACCCGAACAUGAAAGAAUUUGGGAGCGAUCUUGGAAAAGACAUCUGACUGAUGAAAAUCAUACUUACGUCAAACUUCAAAAUGAUUUGAGAAUAGCUCCGGGAAAUUAGAAGAGUCAGGUAAGAUCCUGGGAAAAGACCUGUGGGUUAGGGCCCACUAAAGAAAACACCGUUGGGAAGGAAUGUUGAACAGAUAAAUGAUGCACCGGAAGAAUUGACAUAUUUGAAUGAGGUGAAAAUCUCGAAUUACUUGGAACACAAACGAAUCUCCUGAGAUGUCCUAAGCACUCCGGAAGGAUAAACUGGCGAGAGACGAAUGAGCAGGGAAAACACUUGAUCCAAGGAAAAGAAUGUGAUCAACCCGAAAAACUUGAAUUGAGUCCACCGGAGAAGAAAAAGAGCUGAAGAAUGUCCACCGAGACGAGAAUUCACCGAUUGAAAUGAUUGAGGGAAGACUGAAGAACCUCCGUACGAAUCAAAUUGAUGCUCAAAACGGACUCAGACUCCGGGAAGAAGAAGGGUGGGAGGUUGGGAAAAACAAAGGCAACUUGGAAGGGGGAACCAACGAAUAUCUUGAAGGGAAAACACCGGUUGAAAUCAUUGAGGAAAGAAAGCAAAGACUUCACACGAGUAGGAUGGAUACUCGAUUACAGACUCCGGCUCCGAGAUGAAAAAGGGUGGGCGGGUGGGAAAAGAAAACAACUGAGGAUUGAACUUGGCAAAGAUGAAGAGGCUCGAGUCAACUUGACGAGAAAUGCACCGGAUGAAAAGAGCUGGGGAACAAUGAUAAAAAACCAACUGCGUGAUCCUAAAUACAAAAUUUGAAGGGGAAGAGGAGUAGUUCAAAACACCUAUGUCAAGAUUCCUUACUAGAGCGACGAAGGGGCAGAGGAGUAAAAAGAAUUCCGACUCUCUGAUAUAACUAGACUCCAAAAAGUUUUCUUCUAGACUCAACAACGGCCAAACUACAUGAUCAAACAAGGGGGCUCCUAAGGUCGGUCGAGGCUUAGAUAGAAACUUAUCACGCCCAAGAUGCGACCCUACCCUAAAGGAACUCGAAGGUCCCACCAAGGAUAGAAGCGCAUCUUGAAGACGCUUUUGCAAGGUGGAUAUCAUUACAUCAACAUUACAUAAUAGAUGGGGAUACAUACAAAAGGCAUAGAAUGCCACACGAAUACAACAUCAUCAUACAUAAGAUCAACAUCCGACUACGGAUGAACACAAACAGAAACUCAAACGACAUCCACCGUGCUAGCCCAGGCCGCCGACCUGGAACCUAUCCCCUGAUCGAAGAAGAAGAACUCCAAAACAAGUAAGCAUCGCUCUCGCGUCAUGAUCAUCGCAAACCUGUACCUGCACCUAUUGUUGUAGUAAUCUGUGAGCCACGAGGACUCAGCAAUCCCAUUACCAUGGGUAUCAAGACUAGCAAAGCUUAAUGGGAAAGGAAGGGGUAAAGUGGUGAGGUUGCAGCAGGGGCUAAGCAAGUAUGGUGGCUAACAUAUGCAAAUAAGAGCGAGAAGAGAAGCAAAUGACCGAUCGUGAAGCUAGCAAUGAUCAAGAGGUGAUCCUGAACUCCUACCUACGUCAAUCAUAACACAAGAACCGUGUUCACUUCCCGGACUCCGCUGAGAAGAGACCAUCACGGCUACACACGCGGUUGAUGCGUUUUAAUUCGGAUCUGGUGUCAAGUUAUCUACAAUCGGACAUUAAAAAAUUCCCAUCUGCCACAUAACCGCGGGCACGGCUUUCGAAAGAUAAUACCCUGUAGGGGUGUCCCAACUUAGCCCAUGAUAAGCUCCCGCGAUCAACGAAGGAUAUUCCUUCUCCGAGGAAGACCUGAUCAGUCUCAGAAUCCCAGUUUACAACACAUUUCGACAAUGGUAAAACAAGACCAGCAGAGCCACCCGAUGCACCGACAAUCCCGAUAGGAGCUGCACAUAUCUCGUUCUCAGGGCAACUCGGAUGAGACAUCCUACGAGUAAAACCAGACCUCGAGUUUCCCCGAGGGAGCCCCGCAGUCUACUCAGUUCAGACCAACACUUAGACAAUCAUUGGCCAGGGGGGGCUAAAAUAAAGAUGACCCUCGGGUUAAUUACUCCCAAGGGAAAUGUAGGUGGUGGUGAGGCAAAUGGUAAAUCCAAGGUUGGGCCUUGCUGGAGGAGUUUUAUUCAAAGCGAACUGUCGAGGGGGUCCCAUACAUCACCCAACCGCGUUAGGGACGCAAAAUCCGGGAACAUAAUACCGAUAUGAUGGAAAGUAGGGUGGCAAGAGUGGAACAAAACACCAGGCAUAAGGCCGAGUCUUCCACCCUUUACCAAGUAUAUAGAUGCAUUAAUAAUAUAGGAGAUAUUGUGAUAUCCCAACAUAAACCUAUCCACCAUGGAGCAAUCUUCAACUUCACCUGCAACUAACAACGCUAUAAGAGGGGCUGAGCAAAAGUGGUAACAUAGCCAAGCAACGAUUUUCUAGGAAGGGUGAAAAGGUUAUAGGCUGACAUGGAAAUUUGGGAGGCUUGAAGAGCAAUUGAUAGGUAGUGCAGCAAAGCGAUAGAACGAAGCAACUAGCAUAGCAAUGAUAGUAGUGAGAUCCAGGGUAGUGGUCAUCUUGCCUGAAAUCCCACAAGGAAGAAGAACGAGUCCAUGAAGAAGAUGAAGCCACAAAGACGAACCAAGCGUAGACUAACGAAUCCUCAUGAUCGCAAUGAAACGGGAACUAUCGAGAAGCAGCACACAACAUAGUAAACACACCACACAUAGACAAGACAUGAUGCACAACAAGCAUGAUGUAUGACAAGGCUACAAGGAGCUACUCAUGGCAAAAGAUGAUGCAUACAAGACCAACACAUCAAAGCAAGUUUAAAUGAGGUCGGAAACAACAUAGAACAAUUCCGGUAAGUCCUCAUAUGCAAGUUUCAAAGUUGGUCCAGAUCUGAACAAACAUUAAGUUGAAGUUGUUAAAGAGAAAGUUAACGAGCACCAAGAGGAUCUGCACGAAGUUCUAGUCAAGUUACAUAUAAAGUUCAUUUAGUUCAGAGCUACGGCCUAGAAGAUAUGAGCAAAACAAGUUAAACAUGGCAUUGAUGCUAAAUGCAUCCAAAAAUCAAGCAAACACCUCAAAACAAGGAUGCAACAUGAUAAUAUGAAACUACAUGCAAAAACAAGCAAGUUUCAUAUAGAGCACACUCAAAAUAGAGCAACGGUUCAACACAUACACUCCAUACAAGUUUAAAGGACAAGCUGUCCAAAACAGCAACUAGGCAUAUUGCAAGCACCAAAACAACAUGCUAAAGUAGCACAAUAUGAAAACAAAAGGCAUGGACAUGAUGUACAGGUAAAGCACAACAAAACAUGAACACUGAGCUAUCUCCAAAAAUCAAUAGAACAUGCUCCAAAGGACAUGGCAAGAUUGCAAAUAAUAACAGUUUCAAACUUAACAGAAAUAACAUCAGGUUGCAAUGUUUAGAGCUAUCAAACAACAUGUUACAGAAACUUAUCAUGGCAAACAAAGGCAUGGCAUGAAUCUACUAAUUUCAUAUAACAAAGGUCCCUUACUGAUCAUGAGCCAAAAAGGACAUAGAAAAUAUGAUGGCACCCAUGUAAACAUAGCAAGUGAUAUGACAGAUUCAUACAUGACAGGAACAACAAUGAGUAGGCAUGUUGGUGAGCUUGUACCACUCACCACAGAGCAAUACAUGGCAUGGCAAGGCAACCAACAGUAAGAAGACAUGUUUUUGAAGCUAAGCAUGGCAAGAUCAAGUUCAUAGGGUGCAUGGAUCACUAGCAAGGCUCAUGGCAAAACUGAACUUAAUGUUAACAGGCUGACAGCAACAUUAUUUAGCAAUUUGAGAGCAAGAUUACAACAAGUUACAGCAGGCUAAAAAUGCAACCAGGGGCAUAAAUGGAUAGAUCAUGACAUGUAUAAAAAAACAUCCUUAGUGAACAUCUCCAGAUUAUGCAUAGAAUGACUUGUAGCAGCAGGUUUACAUAGCAUCAUGUUAUAGCAGAUCCAGCCUAGCAAAACAGAAACAGCAAGAACCCUACUUCACGAGCUCGAUGCACUCACUACAAGCCUCACAAAAAUACAUGGAUGGCACCACUGUGAAGAUGGCUUGACAUAGUUCAAAACACAUGUAGGGCUGAAGCUCAUAGGAUGCACACACAAAAUGCAAUGAAAAAGACAAAACAGCAAGUUAUAGUAGUUUCAGCAGGUUAACAUCAUAUAGCACUCUUGCAACAAUGAUUUGGGCAUCAAUAUGAACUUAAAUGAACAUGGCAAAAUGGAAUGAAGUGAAGAGCAUCUCCUGAUGAACAUUUUGAUAUAUUAUGCACGCAAAACGGAUCUAUGGAUGAGGAGAUAUGGCAUGUCGAAAUGGGCACCAGAAUGCAAAAUAUCUUAGGGACUUGGGCAAUUUUGGGGUCAACCUUCGUGGAUCUGGAUCCAGAUCUGGCGCACGUAAGUCAAGGCACGUCGGGGAGGUCGCCGGAGAAGGAUGGAGAUGGCCGGAGGAGGAGGCCGGGGCGGCGCCGGCGUCCUGGGCGGCGGCGUGGGCAGGCGGCGACGGCGGNNNNNNNNNNNNNNNNNNNNNNNNNNNNNNNNNNNNNNNNNNNNNNNNNNNNNNNNNNNNNNNNNNNNNNNNNNNNNNNNNNNNNNNNNNNNNNNNNNNNNNNNNNNNNNNNNNNNNNNNNNNNNNNNNNNNNNNNNNNNNNNNNNNNNNNNNNNNNNNNNNNNNNNNNNNNNNNNNNNNNNNNNNNNNNNNNNNNNNNNNNNNNNNNNNNNNNNNNNNNNNNNNNNNNNNNNNNNNNNNNNNNNNNNNNNNNNNNNNNNNNNNNNNNNNNNNNNNNNNNNNNNNNNNNNNNNNNNNNNNNNNNNNNNNNNNNNNNNNNNNNNNNNNNNNNNNNNNNNNNNNNNNNNNNNNNNNNNNNNNNNNNNNNNNNNNNNNNNNNNNNNNNNNNNNNNNNNNNNNNNNNNNNNNNNNNNNNNNNNNNNNNNNNNNNNNNNAGGCGCGCGGGGCCCGGAUGGAGGCGAGCGGGCCCGGCGAGGCCCGGUUCGGCCCCGGGGCGGGCCGGAUCUGGGCCCCGGGCGGCGGCGGCGAUGUGGGUGCGGGGGAGGUGAGGUGGCGACUCCGGAUUGGGCACGGAGGCGGCGGCGCUGAGGUGGUGGCGGCUGAUUUGUCGGAGCGACGUGUCCGGCUGACAUGUCCGGCGCGGAUGGACAUGUUCGGCGGCGCGAGGAGGAAGACGCUAGGGUUUGGACCCGGAUUUGGACGGGGGAAGGCAUAUAAAUAGCUAGAGGGAGCUAGGAGAGUCCAAAUGGGGAGCGGUUUUCGGCCACGCGAUCAUGAUCGAACGACCGAGAGCAUGGAGGGGAGCUAGCUGGGUUAGUGGGCCAGUUUGGAGGGGUGUUGGGCUGCAAGACAAAAGGGGCUUUUGGGGUUACACGGUUAACCGUUGGAGUAUCAAACGGACUCCAAAUGGCACGAAACUUGACAGGCGGUCUACCGGUGGUGUACCAAGGCCACUUGGCAAGCCUCGGUCCAUUCCGAGAACGUCUAACACCCGCACAUGAAAAGAGACAAGAAGGGGAUGCCGGAUGACAUAGGAGUGCCGGAUUGAAAACGGACAACGGGGAAAAUGCUCGGAUGCAUGAGACGAACACGUAUGCAAAAUGAGAUGCACAUGAUGACAUGGCAAAAUGCAACACGCAAGCAAAUGACAUGGCAACGACGGCGAAUAACUGGCGGACACCUGGCGCAACGAAUCCGGGGCGUUACAUAAGCUAACAUACUUUCUCUUCUUGGAUCAUAUGCACUUAUGAUUGGAACUCUAGCAAGCAUCCGCCACUACUAAAGAUCAUUAAGGUAAAACCCAACCAUAGCAUUGAAGCAUCAAGUCCCCUUUAUCCCAUACGCAAACAACCUACUUACUCGGGUCUGUGCUUCUGUCACUCACGCCACCCACCAUAAGCAAAUCAUGAACAUAUUGUAAACCCUACAGCGGGAAUCCCUCAUGCUUGCGCGACACGGAGGGCACAAUAGGACAGCACCAAUAAUAAAAAAUGCAAUUCAAACAAAUCAUAGCAAGUCAUCAAUCACCGGUAGGACAACGAAAAUCUACUCAGACAUCAUAGGAUGGAAACACAUCAUUGGAUAAUAAUAUGAAGCAUAAAGCACCAUGUUCAAGUAGAGGGUACAGCGGGUUGCGGGAGAGUGGACCGCUGAAUAUAGAUAGGGGAAGGUGAUGGAGAGGUUGGGGAAGAUGGCAGAGGUUUUGGUGAAGAUGUCGGUGAUGAUGAUGGCCCCCAGCGGCGUUCCGACGCCACCGGAAGAAAGGGGGAGAGAGCCCCCCUUAUUCUUCUUCUUCCUUGACCUCCUCCCUAGAUGGGAGAAGGGUUUCCCCUCUGGUCCUUGGCUCCCAUGGCGUGGGAGGGGCGAGAGCCCCUCCGAGAUUGGAUCUAUCUCUCUGUUUCUCUCUGUUUCUGCCUUCUCAGAUUCUACCCCUUCAUUGUUUAUUUUAUAUCCGGAGAUCCGUAACUCCGAUUGGGGUGAAUCUUUCACCCAGAUAUUUCUCAUAAAAUUAGCUUUCUUGCGGCAAAAGAAGAGUGUCAACCGCCUUACAGGGGGGCCAGGAGAGUCCAGGGCGCGCCUGCCUCCCUGGGGCGCGCCCCCUAUCUCCUGGCCCCCUCGGGUACCGUCUCGCGUUGAUUUUACUUCCCAAAAAUCACAAAUAUUUCAAAAUAAUUCUCCGUCCAUUUUUAUCCAAUUUGGACUCCGUUUGAUAUGGGGUUUUGGCGAAACAUAAAACAUGCAAUAGACAAGAACUGGCACUGGGCACUGGAUCAAUAUGUUAGUCCCAAAAAUAAUAUAAAAAGUUGCCAAAAGUAUAUGAAAGUUGAAUAAUAUUGGCAUGGAGCAAUCAAAAAUUAUAGAUACGACGGAGACGUAUCACGGUUCCACCAACAAUGGUGGUAUUUCCUGUGGCCCCUGCGGUGCCAUGGCCACCCUAGUUGAGCCUAGGUGGGCUCUAGCCUCGAAAGUGACUCCAUCUCUCUGGCUUUGCCCCGUAACCGCCUCCUGAGUGGCUGAUGUCAGCUCCCUGCUUUGGAGUGGGGUCACCUCCCUUUGGUCCACUACCGGGGCAGCUUCGGCAGAUGGGCCCCCUGAUGUCGCGUCCAGGUGGAUCCCCUGCCCUGAUCUUCUCUGGUCUCCACUCCGUUCCAGCUUUGAAACCCGGCGAGACGGUGUGGCUGCUCCCUGUGUUGCCCACUCGCUGGUCUAGCCGUUGGGCUACCACCAGCGAUACGCACUUCAGCUGGUCUGGUCAAACGGUCAAAAGCUGACGGCCUUUCUGUGAUCCUGUCCCACACCACGCUCGGCCAGAUGGCCGGGAUCGGUGCCGACGCCAGCGGCAUGCGAGGCAGCCUCCAAUCCAUCUCACAGCGCCUCUGCGCCGAACUACCCGCCAAGCCACAGCCGUCGGCCACGCCGCCAUGGCCGCGGCGAACUGGCCUCUGUCAUCACGAACGCCAAACCUUCAAUCUCUGCGAGCAGAACUGGCUCCUCACCCGCCCCCCACUCCCCCACUUCCGCUCGAGUUGGGGAUGCCGCUCUGGCCGCUGCCGGAAGAAACGCCCAGGAACGUCGGCUCCUCCGCCGCGGUGUAGUCCGAGACCUCAUCUAGGUGGAUGAGCACUUUAUAUUGCAGCGUCAUAGGCUCCAUCAGCGGCGAGCGCAUGCCCGGUUCAGGAACCGCCAGCCACCAGAGCGAGGGGAUUUCCUUCGGCUGCAUCGUCCAAGUAGAGAGCUUGAAUGCAGACAAGUCUGCCCUCAAGCUCGUGUCUGGCUCCAGCAUGUCCACCAGACAGGAAGAACUGAGCAGACACUCCACCACUUCCCUGUCCCACGCGUGCGGAGGAAUACCUUCGAGCACCAGCCUAACCUUGAAUUGAAAUGCGGCGUGCACCACCUGAGCUUGGCGGUUCCAUGGCCUAAAGAACAGCGGCACCCCUCUGUGAUCAACUGCAGGCAUCGCACUGACCCUGUUCUUGUGCUCCUGCCUCACAAAGACGACGAUGUAGUCCUAUGUCCUGAAGCGAUGAAUCGACACCCACUCUGCCUCAAUGUCAGCCUUGGUGUGCAGAGCGUCGAGAAUGAACUCCGGGGAAAGGUCCCGGCGCGCUCCGCCAGCGUAAACCACCAGGGUGGACUGAUGCCGCCUGUCAAGAUGUUCCAUGGUUUGGGCGCACCUAACCACGCACAGCUCAGAAGGGUUGAUGGUCGUGUCCAGAGGUAGCAUCAACCUCGGGGCCGCUGGGAGCGGGCUAGGAGCAGUGAGACGGGGCCACGGGUUCUCCACGGCCCCGGCCGGCGGCGGUGGAGGUGGCGGAAGCGGAGUGCCGACCUGCGCCCUGCUGCCAGCCGUCCUGCGCGCGACCUUGGCUAUGGCGAGGCGACGGAGCUCGACCUCAGAUGACAGACUGUGCGGGCGCUUGCAAUCCCUAGAACCAUGGCCUUCUUUGCCGCAUCUGAUGCAAACGAUGUCAUUGGUGUAGUCUUGACGAUGAUGGCCCUACCGAAGGCACCGGAAGCAGAGGCCGUCCAUGUCCGGGGAGGCCUCACGCCUGGCGGGGGGGAGGGAAGGAACCAGUGGUUGGGGAGCCAGAUCUCCCGCAUGGCGCCGUCUCCAGAGCGACCUCUUGACAGCUGGGCGGGAACCAAAAGCCGACCGCAGCCUCCCACCGCGGCAGCAUCCGCCUGAGCCGUGACCGUAGCGGGGACCGCCAGCGCCUACGACGAGACUUCUGGCACAUCGUGGCCGUCAGACGACUCAGAGCAGGAGGAGAUCCCCAGGACGGAGCCGCCACCGAGUUCGAGCUGGACGACAUGGCUGGGCCACGGAGCAAGGGGAAGGGGAGGUGGCCGACACCAUCGGAGUGGUAGGCGACGGGGAGGUGGAUGCCGGUGCUGGAGUGACGCACGGCGGGCUCAGCGCUAGGAGGAGAGGAGCAAGGGAGGAAAAAACAUUAGGACUCUAACAGGCCAAAAACACACUGGGCCGUAAUGGGGCCCAAAGGCUGAGCGAACAAUUAACGAGCCUGAUCUGGCGGUGGACCGUAAAUGGCUCAACCCUCUAGUACCUGAGCAAAGCUUAUGGGCCUUUGACUCGGCCAGCCUUUUUAACCUAAAUGGGCCACUGUUGGGUCGUGCCAUGUGUCAUUUUUUCAAAGGCCCAUCUUGUCCAAUGGAUGAAUGACAUCCGUCGCGACGCUGAGCUAACACGUGUUUCCUUUGGCCAAUGAGAAUUUUACACGUGGAAAAUCUCCCUUGGCCUGGGCUGUUAGCAGGUUAUCAGAUCCAAAACCGGACCCGAUAGCUUAACAGUGACCCAUUACAGUAGAUGCCACAUGUCGGUUACCCUUGACGAAAACAUUUUGAUGACGUGCCAUUUAUCGUCAUGGAAGUGGACACUUUCGUAAUGAUAAUUUGAGUAUUGUCAUGGAACACUUCCACGACAACACAUGUAUGACUAUCUUGAUUCUGUCAUAAAAUCGUCAUGGAUGUACAUGCAUGACAGAAAACAUGACCUACUGUGACAAACAUGUAUCAUCACAUAAGUGUUUUUUUGUAGUGAUGUGUGCUGGCACUGCUCCUCAAUGGAAAGCAAGAGAAGGUAUUGUUUUCAAGAUGGCCUAAGGUAUGAGCGCAGUUAGUCGUACCAACCUUGACUUCAGUGACAGGUUUGAAAAAUAAGAGCUUGUGGCGACCAGUGGCACAAGCAGUGAUACACCUGCAUGCGGCCGUACCAAAGGUCAUUGAUCGAUAUUUUUUCUUGAUUCUUUCCGGAUUUUGGUUCAAUUUUCUUCUAACUUCCUCUCUAAGAUUGAUCCUCUAACCAUUAUUUAAGGCCAAGGGUUACGUCCCUUCACUCAAUAUCAAUCUAAUCUCGAGUCCUUCUUGCAUGACACCUCUUCACCAAACCUUGUUCUACAAGAUAAACAAACCGGUCACCGCCAUGAGAAAUGGAUCUUCCCCAACUUCCAUCAAGAUCAUCUCCUUACCAAGCUUGGAGGAGGUCGUCCUGAUGGGAUGGGAGGAUCCCAGAAAAAUGAGCCUAAAGGAGGAUAUGCCAGAGGAGGUGGAGACUAGAAAGGGGAAGAUCAUCGAGGAAGAGAAGGAAAAAAAGAAGAAGAACAAGUUUAACAUCCGAGGAUCUAUUCCUCUAUCUCCUCUUGGGCCGGAACCACGUGAGUGGGGAAAGGAACAGCUGUCCCCCGACGCAAUAAGGGGAUAGAUCAAGGAUCUCGAGGAAGUCUCUAAGGCAUGACUUGACACUAUUGGUGAGGGGAUCGAUUCUUAUUGGAUGAUUAGCAAAGACAUGAAAGGUAGGGUCGACGAUCUCUUCCAUACGAUAGAGGGUUGGGCGAUGGAGAUACUUGGGAUUAACCAAACUCGUAAUUUCAUAACACUCUAAAUGUAGUUGUGCUCAACUUUCAAGUGAUGUAGACUGUUAGAUCCACAUAGUUUGACAACUAAGAUAGCUUGGAAUUGACCAAUUUUUGCUUUUGUGUAAUUUAUAUAAAAAUAGUAUCAUCAAGCUUGCAAGUUUAAUCAUUAGUGGAACUUAACGUAACAAGGUAAGGGCAUCUACUUCUUUUAGUCAUCCUUGAAACACAACUAAAACACAUUUGUAUCACAAACUUCCAUGCUUUAUUCCCAUUUAUUUUCGUAAGCAAAAAAAUUAAAAAUUACUAUUACAAGUUUCAAUAGUACAACCACAAUAGAGCAAAGUACCAACGCAAGUGAGACCUGGAUUUGUAGGAUCAUUGCAAAUGAACUCGUAGCAACAAGUUUUUUGUGCACAGCCUCUGCAUGGUGUGCACCGUCUUGAAACGGUUCUUUGAGGCAAAUAGGUCCCUUGGACAAUUGUCUUCCUGUCACGUACUGAGUUGUUAGUUGCGACACUUUCUGUUGUUCCUGUUCAUCAUGCACAUCAUAUAUUUAUGUUAAUUUGAAAUAUAAUGAUAAAGGGCAGUGGCAUCUCUUUUUAUAGCAUGAGAAUCUAAAUAAGAACUCAUAAGUCCAACCAACAGAACUCCAUUUUUUUACUCAUUUUUGUGUGCAAGUAUAUAUAAAAACCGUUUUAGCGGACACACACCCGUGGGGCCCGCACAACAACAACACUUUUAACCUAGGUAGUAAGUUAUCAUCGAUGGGGUGGCUCAACAAGGCGGUAAUUAACCCUAUAAAUAUUUUAUCUGAACGGAUAUUCAAUUAUGCAUAAAUAAAUAGCAAUUUUUCGUACAUAGUGUAGAAUAAAAAGUACACAACGACUUUGUCUAGAUAUAUUCAUGCUUAAUAAAUAGAAAGUUAAGAUUUCUUAAGCAAUAAAUGGUAAGUGAUUACCAAACUUUAUGAACAUUGAGCAACAUAUGAAUAACCAUAGGUGUACAAUGUUCGAACUUUGUCAGCCUGUAUAAUAAUAGGUUUUGCUUGGCCUUUUAGGCUAUUAUUAGUAUUAAUCGGCCAUAAAAGAUGUUAAAACUCGAGAUUUUUGUACCAGUAGCGGAUAUGUAGAUGAGGGUACCUAGUACUUGCAUAAGGCAUAUUUUAACGGAAUAUUCCACGCCUUGUGUCUAUAUUGGCAUAGGAUUGAUAUAUGAAUCUGGUAAAAGUCCACUUCUUUUUGUAGAUCUAUCACUCCAACAAAAAAGAUGUCUAUACAUACCUUGGGCUUGGAAGUGGGCACUGAGAAUAGAAACGAUGACAAGGGUGAUAAACAUAUGUGAGUAUGUCGCCAUGGGUAUCUAAUAAGAGAGAUCACUUAGGG